rnacentral:lncRNA from 1 species
UGAUGCAGAGGAUGAUCUCGAUCUAUCAGGUUUGCACUGUUACCAAAGAUGUUUUUGUAUUAUCUAAAGAUGCUAAUCAUCUAUCAUUGUGUGUAGAGACAACAACCUCAAAUCCUACUUGGUUGGAGAAGAUACAAAAGACCGUCAAGAGCAUUUUACAGGCUGUGAAUCUGAUCCAAACCACACCAGUUGACAAAUCGGGUAUAAACUAAUAGUCUAGCACUUCCACUAACAGUUAAAAGCAAGACUCAGAUUCUUCAGUGAUUCAUCUGUUGCGUUGUGGUAUAUGUGCAGAGGCUGAUCGGGUACGCAAGGAAUACGAUGAGUCGAGCUCAAAACUGAACAAAAUACAGUCAAGGGUGUCGAGCUUAGAGAAGAAGCUAAAGCAAGACUUUGGUCUGUAUGAUAAAAAGCAUCAUAAGCCUCUUUACUUGCGUUUGGCUUUCUUUGAGGUAGUCCUUGAUAUGUUAUUGUUUGUACAGGACCGGAGAAAGAGUUCUAUUCGUUCCACGCUCGGUGUUUUGAGAGUAAACAGGGCAAGUAAGGAAAAUCUUAGCAAUUUAUUGUCCUCUUCCUUUCUUUAUUAGCAUUUUAAGGGAUUACAAUUAAGUUUAUCUUAUACAUUGCUUACCUAAUGUUUAGGUAUACUUACAAAGUCUGCGGAUAUAAAGAAGCAACACAAGAGGAAGGCUAUUCGAAAACUCGGUUAGGGUAAGUGUCGCUGCCAUUUUAUCCUUUUCUGCUAACAUAACGAGGAAUUAGUUUGAAGUUGAGAAUCAGAUAUCAGUAACUAUAUAUCUAUCAAUCUAUGUGUUUGUAUUUAACCAUUUACGCUCUCUUCUUUCUUGUAAUGUAAUAGGGAAUGGGAGAAGUUUGAGAACUCGUACCAGUUCAUGACAUAUACAAACGGAGAUAAGUGCUGGAACGGUCCAGAUAGAAGCCUGAAGGUAAAUGUUUGGAUAUAGAUAGCUACAUCCAAGAAAUUGUUUAAAUAUAGUUAGCUCCAGUUAAAAUACAUCAUACUAUCUGAGAACUGAAUGUUGGACUUGCAAAGAUCACAGAGACGUGGAUUGUAAAAGGCUUGAUUAAUUCUUGACAUGCAGAUUAAGCUAAGAUGUGGGUUAAAGAAUGAGCUUAUGGAUGUGGAUGAACCAAGCCGUUGCGAGUAAGUUCUUGUCUUGGUCUUUCUUUACCUGUCACUGGUCAAUGGUCAUCGCUUUUUUAAUCUCUGGUUUGUAAUUUUUGUAACCUUAUUUAUUUCUCUCUUGUUGCAGAUAUGCAGCAGUUUUAUCUACUCCAGCUCGGUGUUUGGAAGAUAAACUUAAAGUAAGCUGAUGUGUUCAUCUCAAAUCUCAAAACCAUACCUUACCCGAUCUUUGAUCUUAUUACUUAUUUUACACGUUAACACUACAUAAACCCCGUGUUUGGCCCUUUUUAUAUAGGAACUAGAACAAAAGCUGGAGAAGAUGAUGAGCCAAGACCAAUCUCACAGUCACGACGAACUCUGAUGAUGUUCACCUUAAAUAAUCCUUAUCCGAUGCCGCACCGGUUAGGUUUGUGUGAGUUAGACUAGUAAUCCUGCUCAAUCUCAAAAGUCAAAGAGGACAACAGAAAGAUAACUAUGAACAGAGACGCUAUUUUGGUCAGAAGAGAAUGAAUGAUAGGUUUAAGUUUGCCUCAUUGAACAAUGGAGAAGGUUCUAUUUAUCAAAGAGUAUCUUAUUAGACAAUAUGUUCAACUUUUGGUUAAGCUCAAAGAACAAUUCUUAUAUAUUUAAAAACAUUAUGAAAGAUAGGUAACUCUUUCUAUAUUGCCUAACAUUUCGAAGUUCACUUUGUUAUUAAACAAGUCGUAGGUUUUGUUCGGUUUUGUAUGCCAUCUUUUAAAAAGAAAUAAUCAGAAACUUUUAAGAUCCCAUUUCAGAAGAGACGAAAAACUCUGAACAUAGUUUCAUUAACGGAAACAAAUUAUUGCAUUUAACUCUAUUCAAAACCAGUAUCAAAUACUCCCUCUUUUUCGCCGAAAGUGUCACCUAUCUUAUUAAAACAGAAACAUUGUGACUUUUUCUAGGUGGAUUUUAAGUUGGAUUUACUAUUAGAUAUGAUAUAUUUUCUGAUUUUUUUAGUUAACAAUUAAUAUUAGUGAAUUAUUUCCUUAUUCUAUUUUGAUAACUUAAUACCUUAUAUGCAUUUAUUUAUCAGUUGGCCCAUAUGCCUGAUAUUAAAAAAAAAAAUCUUGCCCAAUCGAUUUCAUAAACAACGUGCAAUAAUAUUUAAUUUUGAGAUUUCAUAACCACUAUCCAAUAAGUCUAUGAGAUAAUCACCAUGCAGUAUAUUACUCUGUAACCAAUUAAUUAUAUAUAUAGCCAUACUAUAUGAUAUAUUCAAAAUGGAUUCAAGUCAAACUUCUUAACCCAUUACCCUUUAACCAAUCUAAAUUAGAUUACAUAUCAUAUUAACGGGUUUACCGGCUCGAGGGUAUAAGUUAGAUUUAAAAGUGUUGAUUUAAAUGUUAAUUAUUUAAUAGAAUUUUUUUUUAUAAAUUAAAAAAAUAUUUGUAACAUUGUUCAUAGAAUUUUGAAUAAAAUAUUUCGCGCUUCCGAAGCGCGGGUCAUGAUCUAGUUGAUGUUAAAAUGAUAUUCCAUUUCACAAAGAUAAGAUUUUUAGUGUUUUUACAUAUUAAAAAAAUAUAUUAAAUCACUAUAAUGUAUCGUUUUAUGUAAUUUUCAAUAGUUUUUAACUAAUAGUAAUUCAAUAAAAUCAAUUAAUUUUUUCGAAGAUCAUAAUUUUUUUAUAAAAAAAGAAAAAAAAAUUCUUUGUGAAAUAAUUUUUUUAAAACAUUUAACUUAUUAAAACUGAAGGAAUACUUAAAAAAUCAGAGGGAAUAUAAAUUUUUAAAAUUAUUAUUUUACUAAAAUAAUAGCUUUGCGAUUUUAAAUUAUAGAAAUCAUAGUUGCAUAUAUAUAUAUAUAUAUAUAUAUAUAUUAUUUUUUAAAGAUCACACAUCUUAAAAUUGUUCGGAUAAAACGGUGCAAAUUAGUUCGAAAAAAGAACCGUGCAAAUUAGUUACUACAAUUUGACAAAAUAUUUUUGACUAGGAAAAAAUCAAUCCGAGAUAUUUAUGUUUCGAAAACCAUGGCCCAACAAUGGUUCGAGAAGACAGAAAGAAAAAGGUAAACGAGACAAAUAUUAAACAACGUGCGUGACUAAACCGGUGGUAAUCAAUGAAUUGUUGACCCAAUCUAAACCAGCGACCUUCGAUUUCCCAUUUUCCAAGUCAAAAAGGGAGAGACUCAACACAAGACUUUGCUCACAAUCCCCGGAAUCUCUCUAUACUUUCCCUAGUCCCCAAGGCCCAAGCCAGAUCUCUCUCUCUCUCUCUAUAAAUCUCUCUCGGUCUCUACUACCAUCUCUGAUCCAACCUAUUUCCCCAUUGAACUCGCUGUUUUCUACCAAAGAUGGCGAUGAUAGAGCAAAGGCCGAAGACGAAGAUCGUGUGUACCGUUGGUCCCGCUUCCAGAUCCGUUGAGAUGGUCGAGAAGCUUCUCAGGGCUGGCAUGAACGUCGCUAGGUUUAACUUCUCUCACGGAUCUCAUGAGUACCACCAGGAGACUCUCGAUAAUCUCCGUCAAGCUAUGCUCAACACUGGUAUCCUCUGCGCCGUCAUGCUCGAUACCAAGGUUAGUUAUGAUCUCUGAUCUGGAUUCAUUCGACUGUGAUCUGACUUUAUUAGGGUUUGUGAGAUUUUUCUGCAGCUUUCGUUUGGUUUCUGAUUGGUUUAUUCCAGUUUUCGAUCUGCAACAGUGACGCGUGUAUGUUUAUUGUUAUUGUGCCAUUUUUGUAAUCAUCUUAUGCCUGGUACAUGUGUUACUGUUUUGUCUCUUUAUGCCAUUUCCUGUAGAUUAAAAAAAAAAACUAUUAGUAUUGGUUUAUUCUGAGAAUUAGUAAAUUUAUUCUGAAUUAUAAAUCUAGAUCUAUGAGACUCUUUUUUUUUUUGUAGUAGCUUAAAUGUCCCCAGUUACAACUUGAAUUACAACAAAUCAAUUGAGAAAAGUUGAAGCUUGUUAUAGAGGAUGAUGUUCCCCACUUAGAUCUCUUAAAUUAGAAUAUCAUCAACUCGUGAGACCCUGAUUUUUGUAGUGAUGAAUAUGUUAUUACAAACAUUUUUCUUUUGACUAACAUGUUAUAACAAAUUUGUUAGAUGUUAGAUUAUGUUCGUGUAUUGUUCUCUCUCGUCUGUGUAGAACUUUAUAACCAAAGUUCAACUCACGUUGGUGUUUAAUUAUUUUUUUUUCUGCUUGACAUGGUUCUUGUUUAUUAUAAAUGUCACACCUGCUUUCUGUAUGUUUAGAUUAAGGCAUACAUGUCCACAAUUAAAGAGACCUGUGAUUGCUGAGUUAGAAAAAGCUAGCUUUGGUAGACAUGUUCUUGAAUUGUUCUCUUGUCUCUGACUAUGGUUUCUUGGCCAGAAACUAUAGUUAGUGUGUGAAGUAGAAGUUAUACCCAAAUUUCACUUGAUGCUUUAACUUAUUUUGUUGUUUCUGUUGAACAUUUCUCCUGUUAACUUCUUUCUUGUACAUGUAAAUGUAUAAACUGAGGCAGAUCUAUUUUGGUUGUCUGAUCAAACUAACGGGACUGUUCUUUAUUUUUCUCAUAAAGGGUCCAGAGAUCCGAACCGGAUUCUUGAAAGAUGGGAAACCAAUCCAGUUGAAACAAGGCCAAGAGAUCACCAUCUCCACUGACUACGACUUGCAGGGAGACGAGGAAACAAUCUGCAUGAGCUACAAGAAGUUGGCUGAGGAUGUGAACCCAGGGAUGGUUAUCCUCUGUGCUGACGGUACAAUCUCGUUACUGGUCCUCUCCUGUGACACAGAGAACGGCACAGUCCGUUGCCGCUGCGAGAACUCUGCCAUGCUUGGUGAGAGGAAGAACGUUAAUCUCCCAGGUGUUGUUGUGGACCUCCCAACUCUAACUGAGAAAGACAAAGAAGACAUCAUGAAGUGGGGAGUCCCGAAUCAGAUCGAUAUGAUCGCUUUGUCUUUUGUCAGAAAAGGUUCGGACUUGGUUCAGGUCAGGAAACUGUUAGGAGAUCAUGCCAAGAACAUUCUUCUCAUGUCAAAGGUAUGUUGCUCUCUUUAAGGUUUCAGAAACUACAUGAACUCCUGUUUUGAUUGUGAUUGGUUUUGUCUGUGCUAGGUUGAGAACCAAGAAGGUGUGGCGAACUUCGAUGACAUUCUUGUCAACUCCGACGCGUUUAUGAUUGCAAGAGGAGAUCUCGGCAUGGAGAUCCCAAUCGAGAAGAUCUUCCUAGCUCAGAAAGUGAUGAUCUACAAAUGCAACAUCCAGGGAAAACCAGUGGUCACAGCGACUCAGAUGCUCGAGUCCAUGAUCAAAUCCCCUCGACCCACAAGAGCUGAAGCCACUGACGUAGCAAACGCAGUCCUCGACGGCACCGACUGUGUCAUGCUCAGCGGAGAAACCGCAGCUGGAGCUUACCCUGAGCUAGCUGUACGCACGAUGGCCAAGAUCUGCGUUGAAGCCGAGAGCACGCUUGACUACGGAGACGUCUUCAAGAGGAUCAUGCAGUACUCUCCGGUUCCAAUGUCCCCGCUGGAGUCACUGGCCUCCUCUGCAGUCAGAACAGCUAACUCGGCUAGAGCCACGCUCAUCAUGGUCCUAACCAGGGGAGGAAGCACGGCGAGGCUUGUGGCUAAAUACAGACCAGGGAUGCCUAUUUUGUCAGUCGUUGUUCCCGAGAUGAAAACAGACUUCUUUGACUGGUCUUGCAGCGACGAAUCGCCGGCGAGGCACAGUCUCAUCUUCCGUGGGUUGAUUCCGGUGCUGUACGCAGGGUCUGCUAGAGCCUCGCAUGAUGAGUCCACAGAAGAAGCUAUUGAGUUUGCGACUCAGCAUGGGAAAGAGAAGCAGCUGUGUAAGACUGGAGACUCUGUUGUUGCUCUGCUCCGAGUUGGUAAUGCUUCUCUAAUCAAGAUCUUGACCGUCAAGUGAUGAUUGAUGAUUCACGAUCUUUAAAAAGGAGUCCCGUUUUUGGCGUUUGGCGGUUGGGGGAAACGCAACUAUAAUCGGUUUUUGUUAUGAAUUUUUUUUAUUCAAGAUUGUGAUUACAUAUCUUGAGAUAGGAAACUCAAGUUCUCUUUCUUGCUAAUUACAACUACUGUGGUGACCAGUGAAUCCACUUACGGCUCUCUUUGUUUUGGAUUAUUGGUUGUAUGGAACUAAUCAAUCAUACACGUAUCUAUUAUCAUGAUUUUCUUCUUUUUUAUUUAUUUGGUUAUUAACCUUUUUUGUUGCUAAAAAGGUUAUUAUCUUUCUUUUAUUAUAUAGGUCGGAGAUAAUGGGCAUUUGUAUAUUUAUUUCAUGCUUUUGUGUUUUUGGAAAAAGACAGAGUAUGAAGACAAAAAGAAAGAAGACAGCGCAUGAAUCAAUCGCCCAUACAAAAUCAUGCCGACAAAGAUAACUUAAUCAUCACUAUGUGGGAGUGGGCUUCAAUAUAAUUUUCAUGUAAACGAAGUCAAACAAAAUAAUAGAAACGCACUGUCAUAAUUUGAUCAUCUCUGUAUAUGAACGAGAUUGAAUCAUUAUCGCCCCAUACAGAACCCAUUCAUGCCAAUACUAAAUCAUUUUUCUUUCUUAAAAUACUUUUACUAAAGUUCCAUGGAUCAUCUCCGCACAGCACCAAUGAAAGAAGAUUGAAACGAAGAAUAACAUAUAGUACCUCCAAGGAUUUUUCAACAGUCUUUUGAGUAAAUAAACAGCAUUGUUAUGUACAUAAAAUGCAGCGAAAUGAAAUACAGAGAAACAAAAUGAAGAGCUAGAAAAUGAGAAAAUACAAGACAAGGCAACAAGAACAGAACCAACAUUCUUAGUUUCUGGAUGUUUAGUUAUUUUAUCAGCGAGAAGAACCAUAAGAUCUUGAGUAGACAUUGUUCUCACCAGACUGAGCUGAUCCAGAUGAUGAAGGAGAAGACGAAGAAGAAGAAGAAGAAGAAGAGAAGAAACCACUGAACGGCCAUGGAAUCGAAAACCUCCUCCCAUUCCCACUCCUCACAUCCUCCUCUCUUCCUCUCUCCACACUCCCCACAUCCUCAACAACCUCCUCUCUGUUACUACUCUCAGGAACAGUUCUCGUUCCUCUCUCAGACACAACCUUACUCUCAUCAUCACCAUCAUCAUUCCCAGAAGGAAGCUCAAACCGACAAACAGGACACGAGCUAUGAAUCUCAAGCCACGGAACAAUACAUUUCACAUGAAACUUAUGCUUACACGGCAUCUCCUUAGCCUCCACGCCUCUCUCAAACUCAUCCAAACAAACCGAACACUGCAACAACGGCUCCGUCACUUUAACCGUCGGCAAAGCUUCAACGGCUUCUUUACGAGCAGGCGGAGUCCCUUGCCUGUUGGGAUCAUUCUCAGCCAAAUGCUGAAGCAAAAGAUCCAAACCAGGUCCGAUGAAGUAGUCUCCAAGCGAAGUCAACGCAGAAUGAGUCUGCGUUUGAUCUCUAACAACGAGGGACUGGUUAUAAGGAUUGAUCAUGAUCACUCUCUCGUUAUUAUCAGAGCUUUCGUACUCUGAAGCAAUCCCUGCACGUAUCCCUUGAAGGAGCUGCAGUAUAUUCCCUGAGCUUCUUCGUCUUCUCCUUAACAGAGAUUCAAACUCUCUGUCCAAAUCAAUCUCUCCACCGUGACGCCUAGCUCUAUGAUGAUGAUGAUCAACAUUGUUGGAUUCGUCUUCGUUGUCUUCUUCUUCUUCAACAAACUCUGCUCUUCUGAACCUUCUCCGUCUACGAGGACUGCUCAUCAUACCAAGCAAGAUUGGUGCCCAUAGAGUCAUCGCACGGUCUGUUGUUCCAAACUCUGUUUCAGGGUCUUGAACGUCUCUUAAGCCUCCGUUACCGUUACCGUUACCGUUCAUUUCUUCAACGAAACCGCUUUGGCAAAAGGGGCAUUUGAUCUCGGAUUCGAUUGUUGGGUUCACCAUCUGUGAACACAUGUGACACCAGUACCUAGCCGCCAUUGUUUCCUCCAUGUCUCUCCUCCUCCUGCAAAUAAGAAGAAAAAUCAUGUCUUCGAUACAGAUCUAAAACCCAAGAGGAUCGUGAAAAGUUUCGAACUUUACAAUAAUAUCCAUCUUAAAGGAGUAAACUUUGUUAUCAAUAUCCAAGAUUUAAUGAUUUUAACAAAUCAAAUACGAGAUUCAGACAAAAGUCAAGCUUCUUACACAAAGUUCUUGUCUUUUUUUUUUUUCCUCCUGUCUUAAAAACAUGAAAACAAAACCCAGAACAAGAAAAGAUCAUACCUUUUAAAUGUCUUCUGCCUCUUUUCUGAAGACCCAAGAAAAUUCAAAUCUUGUUCUUCCUUUGUUAUGUGACUCUUCUGGAGAAAUUAAACCCCCAAAAAAGCUCAGAUUUUGUUGUUGUACCUCCUUGUUGGUCUGGCGAAGGGCUGGAGAAGAAACAAACAAACAAGAAAGAAAAGAGUGGAUGGAAACGAAACAACCCAACCACGUCCUCUUCUAAACCCCCCAACUCCUUCCUUUGUUGUCUCCUCUUACUUUUCUUAAUUACCAUUUAUUCUGUUAUUAAAUUAAUAAAUCUUGUUUUAAGACUUUUGUUAAUUAUAGUCUUUUUUCCCCUCACUAAUUUUGAGAUUUAUUACUAAUUUAUCAUCAGCUGUUUCAACGCUUGUGGUGGUCUCGGUCUAAUUACGUUUCCAUGCUAUUUGUUUUGUCAUAUACGUGUGACUACUAUAUAUAUAUGCUACUUGCAAGGGAAUAUAAAGUAUCUAUCUACAAAUGUAAAUAUUCGUUUGAUGUAGACUUCUCUGAUUAUUAAAUUUUAUAGUAUUAAAAGAAAUUUCAACUUUAUAAACGCGUGAAGUGAAGUGUAGAUAACUUAUUUUUGACGGGAUUGGACCGAGUCUAUCCAUUAGUUCCAAUAAUGUGUUCGCAAACUACCUUGCCACCUUGGUUUUCACAAACUAACCAAAAAAAAAAUUCAAGAAAUCCAGAACCUUUUCUUUGUGAAAGAAGAAAUACAAAACUUUAGCUCGGUCUAUGUAUUGAUCUAGUCUAGAAUCAAUCAUUAUAUAUAUGGGUUUUGAACAAGAUAAAUCAUUGAAUCCUGAUGUUUAAUUAGUUCUGGUUAUCAUUUUUCUCAUAUAUAAUGCCAUAGCUAAACUGUUGUUACAAAAAAAAAAAAUGCCAUAGCUGAACUUGGUGAGUGAACAAAUUGCACAACAGUGAUAUUGCUCAGGCCAAACAAUGAUAAUAAAUGUCUAAACUAUUAAAAAUUGAAAAUUUUAAAUUUAUGGAGAUUUUAUUUAACGCAUGUACGCCAAAGAAUCUAAAUAUAUAAUACGGUAUGAUACAACUUCAUAGUAUAAAAUUUUGGCAAAUACGCUUAUUAAUCUUACUUCAGCAUUUGGCCUCUUGACCUAACUACUAGAUUCAUCUUAUUUUUGAGAAAGAACAAAAAUAAAUUUUUUGUAAAAAAAUCUAACAAUUCAUUUGCCGCAGAAGGUAACUCUGAACCAAACAGUUUCAAAUUGAAUGAGCUAUAAAUGUAGCAAAUAAAAACAUAACAAGUUGUACUUUAUUUCUAAGAUUCAGAUCUGGAAGCUAACCCACACACUGACGCAUACUCAUAAAUUCAGCGGAACUCAAGCUGACAGGCUGGCGAACGCCUCGACGACGAGAACAACUCCUUGAUCACCUCAAGUUUCUUGUCAGUGUCAUUGGUUUUACUGUGGAAAUUAAUGGUUGCCUUCUUUAAACACUUUGCGCUUCUAAAAACAAAUGCUACUACUUCUUUCUCUUCUUCUGCUCCUUCGUAUUUUACCCAUUCGAAAGUUUCAAUACUUGAUAACAAACAUUCAGGAACUGAACUCGGUUCAUUCCAUGCCGGGUUCCAGCAUGGGCGCGGCUCCUUAGAUCGAAGGAAAUGACACUGAUACAAAGUACAAAUACAAUGCACUAGAUCAUCAAUCAUACUUAUAAACUACUGGAUAAUAUAACCUUAUUCAAAUAUACUUAUAUACAUACCUGGUGAAGUUUGAGAGCUCGUAGACUAGGAGAAUCUUUGAGCACACACAUAAGUACAUUCACCCAUUCUGUCUCACAUGUGCAUAUCUUCAAAUGCACAAGACUGGAGAAGACACUACCGGCAGGAUACAUAUCCUGCAUGCAACAAGAAUGGCAUUAAGUGCAUGGUCAAAUGUAAUCUCAAUAGUUUUGAUCACAACACAUAUAAAUUUAUAUAUUACGUUUAAGGAUGGUAGGCACAGAUAAAGGCGCUUGAACGAAGCAAUAGAACCCAACUUCUUCCAUAACUUCCAAGUAUUAAGGACAAGUUUUGCCUCCACAAUCUUACUCAUAUUGCUCUCAAAGGUACAAAACCCACUAAAAUGAAAAAUGUCGAAAUUUUCCAAAGAAGGAGCAUCUAUCACAAACCCAUGAGCAUCGUUUCCAAGUUUGUUUUCUAAUGUUUUCAAGACUAAACUCUUUAAAGAAGGCACGAUAACAGUGAAAAUGGUAGCAUUGUCAGCUUCACAUUGUUCCACAACCAAGUUUUCAAGGACAUGGCAGUUGGAUAAAAGCUUCUUCACAAAUUCACCACUUGGAUACUUCAUGGACUCAAGACUCAACGUUCUGAGGAAUGGGAAAGAAAUUGGUUGCUCAAGAUCAUCCACAAGAACUGCAUUGCGUAUAUUCAAGGUCACAAGCAUGCUACAUCCCCCUCUAUACAAGCUCCAAGGAAGUAAGACUGAAUCAGUAUCAGUAUAAAUCUUGAUAGUCAGCUCACGCACACAACGUUUAUCAGCAGAUCUCAUCCACGCUUGAAUAUCUUCACUACCACAAAUACUACCAAGUUUGAAAUGCAAAGCUUCUAUAACUGGAGCCUCGUGCCUAAAGAAAGAUCUGUCUACAAACAGAGAAAAGCUUCCGUACUUGGGGUUCUUAUAGGUAUCUUUGUAUUUGAUUCUUGGAACCAUCAUCCAAAGUAACUGCCAUCGCUUUGACAAAAGCAUAGUGUCCACAACAUCUUUCAUGGUAGGAAGCAUUGCCAAUAUUUUCAGUAGAAGCUCAUCGGGCAACUGACUUAUCCUGUCCAUAAUUAAGAGCUAGCUUCCGGACAGAACCUAUCGCCUGAAAAACAUUCGAAAAACGAAACGAUAAAAAACCCUAGCUAGGUGUAGAACAAACCUUUUUUUUUUUUUUGAACACGGUGUAGGACAAACCAAUAUAAGAAAAGAGAAGCACAUGAAAUCUAAACAAGACGGGAUUCUCAAAUACCUAAAUGUCAUUCUGAUUUUAUUUCUCAAUAAUAAAAUGAACAUUUUUGGUUAAAAUAUGACUUUAUUUAUCAUUUAGCCAAAUUAAAGCUAAUCUUUGUGUUUGAAUCAUUAUCAUCUAAUAAUUAGUUAUGUGUAUAUAAUAAUAAAAAAGAUUGUGUUACAUGUGUAAAGACGAUAAUGAUGCACAUUUGAAGCAGCAAGAAGAGAACUUGGGAUUAAUAAUGUGUUUAACUAACAAGAAAAUCAAGACUUUAACUCGGUCUAUGCAUUAAUAUAGAAUCAAUCACUAUAUAUAUGAGUUUUAAACAAGAUGAAUCAUUGAAUCCUGAUGCUAAACAUGGUGAGUGAAUAUACCAACUUUAGUGAGUUGAACUGAUUGCGAUAUAUUGUUCAGGCCAAACAAAUUUUUUUUUUUUUUUGAAAAUUGGCUUUCAAAAUUAAGAGCAAAAAAGAAAACGUUUACAAGGCCAUUAAGGUCUUAAGUGAGCAAUACCCAAUAGUGAAACUAAUAGUUUAGAACUUUCUUUAGCCCUAAGCCCAGUAAGCCCAUUUGAUGGAGAAUGGUUAACGACUUCUGGUAUUUUCCAGCGGAACAGAGAUGAUCAACGAUCAUACAGAGGAAAGCGGUCGCAAGUGAGAUGGAUGAGAGAUGAGGCUUCAUGCAAGAUGGAACCAUGUCUGCAUCAUACUAGAAGAUAGGCGUGGGUUUGAUUCUCUGAAACUUUGAAUCCUGUUUCUGAUUUGUAAAUCUACAACCCGGAAGAGGCGAUCAGCAGAACGAAAGGAGUUGGAAUGCAGUCUGGCGUUCCUUUCAUUCCAGAUCCAGUAUAUUGUUGACUGCCAUGCCAGUAGGGUGAGUAAUCGAAGUGCCCUUGAAGCUCUGCUAGUUGGUAAUGUAAUCAUCUGAUUAAGCGCGUCCGGCCAGUUGCGUGAGGGUGUAAGGGAACAUCUUCUGGAGCUUUUCAACCAUAAGUCAUAAGCAAAUUCACACUCAAAAUAGAGAUGAUCACGAGUUUCGGGGAAGCUGUUACACAGUAAGCAGACAGGCGGAACCUGAAGGCCCCAACGUAGAAGACGAUCCCGUGUUGGGCAGCGAUCCAAAACUACUAGCCAAGUGUGAAAAUUAUGUCGGGGGAUUCCGUAAGAUGUCCACACCGCAGUCGUCCAAUUUACUUCGUCAUGCGCCCCUCUCAGGUAAUGAUACACUUCACCAGUAGAGAACUUGCUGGAGAUCCUUCCUUCUAUCUCCCAUUCAAAGUAGUCUGGCUCAGUUGUGAGGUUGACUGUGGUUAAAUGUGCUUGAAGUUGUAGCUGUUGCUCUGAUCUUGCAGGUGGAAGACGCCAUGAUCCAUUACGGAAUAGCGAAGCCACUGUUGCUUGUUGAGGAAUGCCUAACCUUGAUGAUUGAGCGUUCAGCAGCGUAGCAACAUUACCUAGGGGGGACCAGUUGUCAUGCCAAAAUCUAGCAGAUAGUCCAUUCUCCAAUCGCAGUUUAAUCAAUGGGUAGACAACAUCUUUGAAUUUGAGGAUCUUGUUUGCGAGCCAAGAGAAGGAAGCCUUUGGCUUGGUAGUCCAGUAGUUGUGGAUCGAUCCCUUAGGUAAUUUAGAAGCACUAUGAAAGAACAAAAGGUUAAACCAAAAAUGUUUAAUAGAAAUAGCAAAUUUUGAAUGUAAAUUGAUUCCCAAGCGCAAGGGUUGAUUACUUUUUUGUUAAUUCUACAAAUAAUUUUAAUUAUUUUAAUUAGAAAGAGAAGAAAUUAUGUUUAAAUUUUCUUUGGAAUUUUACAUAGAAAUGUAGUUGAUAUAUUUCCUUGAAACCAAUUUUAAAAAAAAAUCAAAUAGGCUAUUACAAAUUGGUAUUUAUAAUUCAUAAAGAUAAUAAAUAUCUAUACUAUUCAAAAUUGAUAAUUAUGGUGAUUUGAUUUAACAGAUGUACAAGAGAGAAUCCAAAUAUAUAAUAUGGAAUAGUACAACUUCAUCUGGUAUAACAUAAGUAUAUAUAUACUAUUUUCGUAUCACUUUUAAGUGGUGUUUACUGAUUUUUAUUUUGUUUCAUAAUAAAUGGUGUUCUUACUAUUCAAAAUAAAAUUUAAUGUAAUUUAAAAUUUGUGACUAAUUAUAAAAUAUUAUAUAUUUUUAUUGGUCGAAUUAGUUUUAUUUAAUGUUAUUUUUAUGUAACCAGGAUAAAUUACAUAAUUUCUUUUUUUAAUAUUUGUGUAAAAACCUUUAAAAUCAUUUGAAAUGAUACAGAGAGAGUAUAUGUUAUGAACGAAUAUGCUAAAGAUUGACCAAAGUUCUUAAAUUUUAUUUUUGUAAAUAUCACCUAUUAUUUAGUUUAUAUUAAAAAAAUUCAAAACUAUGUUGAAUGUAAUGUGACACAUAAUUUUGGCAAAAUAUACUUGAAACAUAUGUAAUUAUCUUACUUCAAAAUUUGACCUUUUGACCUAACGACUAGAUGCAUUCUCUUGGAUUUUCUGUGAAAGAAAAAGAAGAUUAAACAUUUUGGGUAUAAAGUCUUAUCAAUUAAUUUGCUGCAGGAGAUACCUGAAUCAAACAGUUCAAAUUGAAAUGAGCUAUAAAUGUAGUAGAAAAAAAAACAAGUUGUACUUUCUUUCUUGUCUAAGAUUCAGAUCUAGAAACUACCCAAAAGAUGUUACUUGAUUCUCACUCAUAACUUUAGUGCGUAACUCAAGCAGUCAAGCUGACAGGCUGGUGAAAGCCUUGUUGAGAACAACUCCUUAAUCACCUCAAGUUUCUUGUCAAUGUCAUUUGUUUUACUGUAGAUAUUAAUAGUUGCUUUCUUUAAACACUUUGCGCUUCUAAAAACAAAUGCUACUGCUUCUUUCUCUUCUUGUGCUCCUUCAUAAUGUACCCAUUCAAAAGUUUCAAGACUUGAUAAAAAACAUCCAGGAACUGAACUCGGUUCAUUCCAGGAAGGGUUCCAGCAUGGGCGUGGCUUUUCAGAUCGAAGGAAAUGACUCUGAUAUAAACAGGAUUAAAAAGUACGAUGCACUAGAUCAAUUAUACCGAUAAACUACUGGAUAGUAAACCUUAUUCAAAUAUAUGUACCUGUUGAAGCUUGAGAGAACGUAAAUUAGGAGAAUCCCUGAGAACACGCAUAAGUAGAUUCACCCAUUCUGUUUCACAUGUGCAUAUCUUGAAAUGUACAAGACUGGUGAAGACACUACCGGCAGGAUAAACAUCCUGCAUAUACCAAGAUUGCAUUAACUGCAUGAUCAAUAGUUUACAAUAGUUUUGAUUAAGUAAAUGACAUUCAUGCAACAAAAAAAAUUUAUGUGUUUAAUAUCUUGAUCAUUGUAUUUAUAUAAUAUUUAACUCCAUUUAUAAAUCAUAAUAAGCAAUAGUUUUCAUCACAAGAUAACUCUAUUAUUCGUAAUGGAUUAGAGACCUCAUUCUUUUUUCUUUUUUUUUUGUGAACAUACUAGAGACCUUAUUCAUUGUUUAGACUCAAAGAGAAAACCAAGAACAAAGAGGGCAGAAGGAUGGAAACAACAGCAUAUAUACUACCUUUGAGGAUGGUACGCACAGAAAAAGACGCUUGAAGGAAGCAAUAGAACCCAACUUCUUCCAUAACUUCCAAGAAUUAACGUCAACAUUUGCAUCCACAAUCUUAGUCAUAACAUUCUCAAAGAUACAAAAUCCACUCGAAUGAAAAAUGUCCAAGUUUUCCAAAAAAGGAGCAUCUAUCACAAACCCUUGAGUAUCGUUUCCAACUCUGUUAUCUAGUGUCUUCAUUACUAAACUCUUUAGAGAAGGGACGAUAACAGUGAAAAUGUUAACAUUGUCAGCUUGACAUUGCUCCACAACCAAGUCUUCAAGGACAUUACAGUUGGAUAAAAGAUUCUUGACAAAUUCUCCACUUGGAUACUUCAUGGAUUUAAGACUCAACGUUUCGAGGGAUGGGAAAGAAAUUGGUGAAGUAAAAUCAUCCACGAGAACUGCAUUACUUAGAUUCAAGGUCACAAGCAUUCUACAUCCCCCACUAUACAAACUCCAAGGAAGUAAGACUGAAUCUUUAUCAGUAAAAGUAUCAACCUGAAUAGUCAGAUCACGCACACAACGUUUAUCAGCACAUCUCAUCCACGCUUGAAUAUCUUCACUACCACAAAUACUACCAACUUUGAAAUGCAAAGCUUCUAUAACUGGAGCUUCGUGCCUAAAGAAAGAUCUGUCUACAAACAGAGAAAAGCUUCCAUACUUGGGGUUCUUAUAGGUAUCAUUGUAUUUGAUUCUUGGAACCAUCAUCCAAAGAAACUGCCAUCGUUUUGACAAAAGCAUAGUGUCCACAACAUCUUUCAUGGUGGGAAGCAUUGCCAAUAUUUUCAGUAGAAGCUCAUCAGGCAACUGACUUAUCUUGUCCAUAAUUAAGAUCUAGCUUCCGAACAAUACCGAUCUCCUGAAAACAUUACAAAAACGAAACUAGAUAUCAGAAUCUCAGCAACGACACACUGUGAAUAAUCAAAACCCUAGCUAGGUAUAGAACAAACCAAUAUAAAAAAAAGAGAAGCACAGGAAACCUAAACAAUACGAAAUUUUAUUUAAGAAUCAAACUAGGUGUGGGCCAUCAUGUCGACUAAUAUGCCCAAUAAAUUUUGAUACAAAUGUUAGUUUUUUUUAAUUUAAUUUAUUAGAUACAAUUUUAAAUUAAUAUUAUAAAUUAUCUUAUUUGAAUAUCUAUAUUGACAAUAGAUGUAUUGAUCGUAUAAACACAAUUUAUUUGCCGCAGAAGAUAACUGAACCAAACAGUUUCAAACUGAAUGAGCUAUAAAUGUAGCAAAUAAUAACAUAACAAGUUGUACUUUCUUGUCUAAAAAGUCAGAUCUGAAUAGUCAGCUCACGCGCACAACGUUUAUCAGCAGAUCUCAUCCACGCUUGAAUGUUCCCGCAACCAGAGAUAUGAUCAAGUUUAAAAAGUAAAGUUUCUAUAAUGGGAGCCUCGUUCUUAGAAAAAGAUUUGUCUACAAACAAUGAAAAGCUUCCAUACUUGUGCUUACUAUAGCUAUCAAGCGUAUCAUUGUAUUUGAUUGUUGGAACCAUCAUCCAAAGAAACUGUCAUCGUUUUGACAAAAGCAUAGUGUCCACAACACCUUUCAUACGAGGAAGUAAGGCCAAUAUUUUCAGUAGAAGCUCAUCAGGCAACUAACUUAUCUUGUUCAUAAUAAAAAGCUAGCUUCCUCACAAAACCGAUAGCCUGAAAAAACAUUUUUGAAAAGGAACUAGAUAUCAGACUAUAAGCAACGAGACAUGGUGAAAUGAUCAAAACCAUAGCUAGGUAUAGAACAAACCAGUAUAAGAAAAGAGAAGCACAGGAAAUCUAAACAAGACGUGAUUCAUAUAAUAAGAAAAAUUAUAGCUCAUCUUCGAAUUUGAAUAAUUACCAUCUAAUUAGUUAUAUACAUAUAAUAAUAAAAAGAUUGUGUCAAAUGUGUAAAGACGGUUAUCUUGGUAUUUGAUAAAUUCAUCAUUAAGGUUUUGUUUUACCUCUCCCUUUCAAUAAUUUUCAAAAACAGAGUAAUUCUAUUGAAUUUUUUCAUAAGAUAAUUACUCAUAUAAUCUUGAAAAUUAAGUUGCAUAAUUAUAAAACAUCUCUUAAAAAUAUUACUAAAUUAAUGCUUAUUAGUUAGAUAAAAGACUUGUAACUCUAAAUUUUAUUUCAAGUUAAUUUUUUUUGUCUCAAAUUUCAUUGCUCUGUAUUUGCAAAUCAAUCUCUUGUAGAAGUUCAUGAAUCUUUACAGCAUGAGGAUGUGAAAAAUCACCAGAGAUAAAUCUAUAUACUCUGUUUUCAACUACAAUAGAGCUUUCACCAGCCAUCUUCUUCACACCAAUCCCUUUCAUCAUCUUCCUCAUCAUCCUAGACUCCUCCCACUUUCCUAAAUCAGCGUACAAAUUGGCUAAAAGCAUAUAGUUACCGCUGUUAUUCGGUUCCAACUUAAUCAGCUGAUUCAAAGCUCUUUCUCCAAGCUCAACAUCAUGAUGAACAUUUGAAGCAGCAAGAAGAGAUCCCCAUAUUGCAGCAUUAGCCUCAAAUGGCAUGGUUUUAGAAACUUCUUCUGCUUCUCUGAGUCUACCUGCUCGUCCUAGCAAAUCUAUCAGACAUCCAAAAUGCUCAAUGUUCGGUUCAAUCCUGUACUCAGAUCUCAUUGAGGUAAACAAACGUUUUCCAAGAUCAACCAAACCAACAUGGCUGCAAGCUGAAAGGACUGCAAUGAAAGUAACACUGUUUGGUUGCACGCCUGCUUUAACCAUACGGUUAAACAUCGUUAAGGCUUCACCUCCAAGCCCGUGCGUAGCUAGUCCUGUGAUUAUAGUCGUCCAAGUAACCACGUUUCUCUCGUCAACCCUCUCAAACACCUCCAACGCCUUUGUUAUAUUCCCUGACUUCGCAUACAUAUCAAUGAGUGCGUUGUUCAACGAAACACCUCUCUUCAUCCCUCGGUGAUCAACGUAGCUACAUAUUCUUUCUCCCAAUUCAAGCGAGCCAAGAUCAGCACAAGCUGAGAGCGCUGCCAAAAGCGUAACUUCAUCAGGCUCAACAUCCUCCAUCACCAUUCUCUGAAACACUUCAAUAGCUUCACUAGCUCGUCCCUUCUUGGCGUAAGCCGAGAUCACACAAGUCCAAGAAACAACAUUCCUUACCCAACAAGGCAUCAUCUCCAGCAACCUCCUCGCUUCAUCCACCUCACCCACUUUUCCAUACCCGGCUAAUAACGCGUUCCAAACAGUCACGUCCCUCACAGGCAUUUCAUCGAACACCUUACGCGCAUCUCCCAGAACUUCACAUGAACAGUACAUUUGAAUCAAACUUGUAACAACAUGGACACUUGAAUCAAACCCAGAAACCACUGUCUGGGAAUGAACCUGUCUCCCGAACCAAACAUCAGAUAACCGAACAGCAAUUUUCAACGCAAAAGGGAACGUAAACGUGUCGGGCUUCGGACACAAAGACCAGAACUUUCUGUAAACCAGAACCGCCACUGAGUGCGCGUUGGGUUCGUCGACGAGAGACAAAGCUCUGAUCAUGGUGUUGUGGAGAUAAGUGUUGGGAAAUGGCUGGUGGGUGAAUACAGAGUAAGCGUAUCGGAGAUGUCCAGCGACGGAACACGCCUCGAUGAGUUUGGCAACGAUGAGGUUGUCUUUGUGCAAACCAGUUAUGAUCAUGGAACAAUGAGCUUGCUUUAAUGUUUUGAGGUUGGUUCCUUGUAUUUUUAGAGAGGAAAGGAACCGGUUUAUGUCCGAGAGAGUGGAACUUCGGCGAAUAUGUAGCUGACAUGGGAUAAAGCUCUGUGCAGUGAUUCGUCGCCACAUUCUACUAUCCUUGGACAGAACCGUGGAAAGUUGAGUUUUUAACUUUUAAACGUACAUUUUAAUUUCAUGAACCACCAAGAAAAGUGAUGGUCAAACAAUAUUAAUUAUAUCUUUUGACUAGACAAACCAUAUGGUUAACACGAUAUGUAUUAUGCAUUAUGGUUAAUAUUAAUCAUAAUUUUUAUUGUUACGGACUUACGGGAAGUUGGAAUCUAAUCCAAUAUAAUGAAAAACUGUGUUUUAUUUUAAAAAAAUUGACACAAUCCUAACUAAUACAAUGACAUAUAAAUUGAUAAAAAUAAAAUAAAUCAAUUAUCAUAUGAAUUUUUAUUAUUAUUAAAUUGAUCUAGACGCCUAGUUUAAUUACAAACUUCUUAUUUUCUCAAAGAUAAACGUGUAUUCCGAACCCAAAAAAAAAAACUAAUCACAAGAGUGGGCACCGGGCAGUUAUCAGCUACCUUGUUAUCUUAAUUUUUUUUUUGUCAAUUUAUCUUAAUCUUAUUAGAAAGUUAGAAACAUAUCGAGGGACUAAUGAAUCAAUUCAGAUUUAAAGUUUUUGGAAAGGUAAAAUAACCUUUUAAGAAUUUUUAACUCAGUCUAUUAGUGUGUUUAUACAUAAAUAAAAUUAUAAAAAUGAUGCUUUAUGCUUACAAGAUAUUCAGUUUGUUAAAUUCGAUAUGCAUGGCUUGAUUACACUAAACUUGGCUUGGUUCGGUUUUUGCAGUAUUAAAUAAUCUCUUUUGGCUUAUAAUGUCCAACCCUACAUGUUCCAUAUACACGUACCCCAAUUCCAGUUUACAUUCUCCAGCAAGUAAACGCGACACACAUUCAUAUAUAUUAAAACAAACGACAAACCAUAUAUAUAGAUAAAUACGAACAAACACAUUUCAUACAUAACGCUAUAAACAUAUAAUCAUUCAAUUCGGAUGGCAGAAAAAGCGACGACUCCAAAGAAACAAGUUAUAUGAAGAAAUUCUCGGGUUGUAGAAACCCGGUUUUCAUAUCUUUUGAAGAGCUCAUCGCAUAGGUCCGGUCCAAGGUAGACGUCGACCAUAGGACGAAUAGCAGCUUGGACCAAGUUGGUCCUGGCUCGUCCGUACGAAACGGGAUCUUUUUUCCACUCCUCAUGUUUCUCGUCGGAGGAUUCAACGAUUUUCAUGUAUUCCAUUUUCUCUAUCUUGAAACCACCGAUACGGUCUAUUCCGGCAGCCACUUCCUCCGGACUUCUCAUGUACGCCGGUAUGUUGAAUCCGUCUCUUGUCUCUUCAUCUAUCAAACCCUUUUAUCCAGACAAAUCAUAAAGCGUUUAAUUAGUUUGUGUGUGAAAACAUAUAAAGUUAUAAGUUAGCCUUUUGGUAAGGAAAAACUGUGUUUUCAAAAUUACGUGAACAUGUGUGUUUAGCGGUUGUAGCAAACUAUUAUACUAAAACAAACAUAACACGUUACAUUUUAAUGGUAUUCGCCAUCAAAUUUAGCUGAUUUGAGAAAUUUCUAUGCAUUUUUUAAAGCAGGUGGUAAAAAGUGGUGUUUUAGCAGAAAAAAGAAGUGAAAAGAACAUUUUGUUUUGACACCAGUGAAAAGAACAGUUAAAAACUCCAAAACUAUCAACUGGAGAGUAUCAGAAAAAAAAAAAAACAAAAUAUUCACAACAACAAAACUCAACGGACUACCGUUAUAAACAAAUUCCUUUGGCAAAGAAAAAAAAAACAAAUUCGUCAUUACCUCUUACCAAGUUAAUUAAUGCGAAAGCCAGAAACGGUCCACUAGAGAUAAAAAGUGAAACGUCAUCUUGAACGGUUUUGUAAUGAAAACAUGAAAGAUACCACGCAUUUGCAUAUAUACAUAUUAUGCACCCACACGUGUGUAUACAGAUAAAUUUACCUCAUCUAUUAAAUCUUGCCAAGCUUGUUCCAUGGUAGUUGUGAAAGGAUGUUUGGCUCGAGUAUCCUGAUCACCAAAUUGACUACUUGAACCUGAAGGACGACCACCCAUUAAUACAAACAACACUCCUCCCUCCACCAUUUCUUCUUUCCGACACUUCAAAAAAUCAUCCAAAUCUUUGUCUGAUUGCUCUGUGUAUGCAUCAACCACUUCUUUCUUCGCCCCUUCGAUCCACGUUUUCCCUUUGUUCCAUGUUCUUGAUCCUUUCUCCAGUACUUUCUCCGGUAUCUACAAUACCAAAAAUGAUCUCUCUUUCAAUGCACAAAUUUUAGAGAUGGUUUAUACGUAAUAAAGCCAUAAGACGUAUAUCUCAAAUAUUAGAAACAUUUUAGAACCUAGUUCUCAUGGUAUUAUGUUAUUGUUUUGAGAGUAAUAAAACUAAUUAUUCAAAAUAAUUAUAUUCUUCGAACAUGUAGAGUUUCUUUAAUAAAGUCAAAUUGCACUUCUAAAUUCAUUUGGAUUCUGGAUAUUCUUCACUUUUUUUUGGUAAUCAUGUUAAAACUGGAUAUUCUUCAUUGUAAUUGUGAAUAUAACACAUGGAAUAUAUUUCUUACCACCAGACCGAGUAUAAUAAUCAUCUUAACAUAUAUAAACAAUAUUAUAAUUAAGUCAAAUGCCCUUGUAAAUUAAGUUGGAUGAUGGAUAUUCUUCAUUUUAGUUGUGAAUGUAACACAUGCACUCUAUUUCCUACCACAGACCAAGUAUAAUAAUUAAUCUUAAACAUAUAUAAACAUUAUAAUAUAAAACAUUAUUAGUAUGUAUUUGACCUGAGAGAGCCAAUGUAGAGCACUUAAGCUCACAGCGACAUGGAUCGUUCCUCUCGGGAAAAGCCGGUCAUAGAACGAGCCAGCGACGCCGCCGGCGAAAUAUUUGGACGAAUCAACUUUCUGUUUCUCAGACAACAAUCUAAACAACAUGUUGAAGUCAUUACUAGGCAAAUCACAGAAAAAAGCCUCAAACUCCAGCGAUCCACCACCGCACACCGUAGUGAAUAGCUGACGUAAAGUCUCAACCACCGUAUCCACGGUAUCGAAAGUGUUGGAGCCGGUGGCGCAGCCGAGGUCAGCUAUUCUGAUGAUCGGAGAGGUGAAGAGUUUGAUGGAUUGGAGAGAUGAGAUAAGGAUUGGUUUGCAUAAGGUUAUAGCCAAAGCUUGGCAAUCGGAAUUGUUGACGUAGCUGACGUCACCUUCACCGCCUUGCAUACAUAGUACACGGUGGAGACUGGUGGAGGUCCAGUCUUUUGCCGUUACUGGAAGACUUGGUGACUCCAUUGGUUAAUAUUCUAUUGGAUAAUUGUAAAAGAGACAAUAGAAAAAAGAGAGAGAGAGAUAGUUUCUGGUUGUGGAGUUACAAAGCUUAGAUGAGGUUUGUAUUUAUACCCAGCGCGCAUAUACAUAUUGACAUACACACAUUAAGCAUGCAUAUUCGAUAUAACUCUUUGACAUUGGAGUUGGUGAAUGGUCGUUAUUUAUAUUUUACAAAAGUCAUUCUUGUAUAUUUUAGUACUGGAAAGCGUUACAUGUUUACAUACAUAAAUAUGUUGUUUUUUAUACAAAUUAUAAUUAUUGGACCAUUUUAGAUUUGUAUGUGUCAUUUGGCAUAGAAUCAUGGUAAUAUUUAAUGUAUUACUUUAGAAUAAUUAUGUAGAAUUCAGUUUUAUCGGAAGUUUGCAAAAAAAAAGUUAUCAUGUGAAAUUUCUAUUGUUAUUAUGUAUAUAUCAUACACACCAUUCAAAUUUUGUGUCGUUCAAGUUUAUCUGAUAUUUUUUUUUCAGAAAUAUACACAUGGCUUUUACAAAAAAAAUAACAUACUGUAUAGUACAACAGAUUUGAUGGUUUUAUCAAUUAUAGCAGUUUUUAUUAGAAUUUUUAAGAAAUUUGAAAGAUAACCAAGUUCUGUGACUAAUGGUAAUUUUUGGAGGUUUAGUGUAUACCAGUGUCGAUUUUUGAGUUUGAUUCCCGCAUUUGUUAGUUUGGGUUUCGGUCUACGGAUUAAACAUAGUGAAUUGUAAGAUACGCUGGGUUCAUCAUGUGGCGAUAGUUAGAAAAUAUUCAAACAUGAGUCAAACAAUAGUAUUACGUUUUCUAACAAAAUCUACUUUAUAAUAUUAAAUUUGUUUUUAGGACUGAUGGAUAACCGAUAGGUUCAUAAAAAAAAUUUCGAAAGAUGACAAAAAUAUACAAUGCGGAAAAUACGGUACAGACAAAAGUAGAUAUACAUAAUUAAUUGAUGGAAGCGAAUAAGCAACUAAUUCGCACACGUAACAAAAUAAAAGAAUUAUAAUAUUUUGGUAAUUGUGUGUUUCUGAAUAUUCGCGUAGAAUAAUGAGAUAUAUUAAUUUAUUUUUUAUUUUUCGUUUAAAGAUUUUGAAUUGUUUUAGCUUUAUACGUAAAGUCGUUCAUUAUUGGACCGAAUGUAUAUAUUAGUUGUUUUUUUUUUUUCCGAAUGUAUUAUUUGUUGGUAAGAAAAUUGUAUUUUGUUUGUUUUCACCGAAGUUUUGUUUCAUUGUUGUUCAUGCAUGGCAGAAACGUUUGGUACAUGCACGAUCAAUAAUUGGAUGAAAACAGACGUUAUGAAAUAAAUAUAGUAAUUAAGGGGAAAUAUAAUAAUUAAGGAUUAUUUUGUAGACAAGAAAUAGUAAGGAAAUAAAUGUAUUAAACAAUGACGCAAAUUGUGUGGUCUACUUAAUUUAAUCUUAAAAUGCAACACAAAAAAUCUUCAGUUGCUGAAUAUUUUUAUGCUCAGUCAAAGCAAAGGUAUUCUGGAACUUAAAUAUCACACCGUUCGCGAAAAGUAAUUAACUUAAAUUUAUACCCUAGACAUUUUGAAUGUGUUCCACGUAAUUUAGAUAAUUAUCUAAUGAAAUAAUAUUUUUCCUUGUAGAUUUAUAUGAUAUAGCUAUUAUUUAUAUAUAUGUACACGUCAUGGUCAAUGUAUAAUAUAAACCAAAUAAAUGGGCAGGUAGGUUUACAUUGUAUAUGUAGCGUUAUUACGAAUGUCUCUGUCUCUCUAGUCUCUACUCUGGAUUCGUUUCCUCAUUGGAUUACAUUAUAGGACGAGGAUCAAAGUUCCCAUCUUUUAAGGUUUUUCUUUUUAUUUGUAACUUAGGUUUAUCUUUAUUUAUCUAGAAAGAAAUGGUCUUUUAUAAAUCCAGCCUUAUUUUCCUCACUUCAUCUACGAAUUAAUUAACCUUAUUUAGAUAUUGCUUGUAAUGGAUAGGUUAUUAGCAUAAGUAGACAAAAGAUUUCGUGUACGUCUUUUGAUCUUAGCUGCAUUUCACACUAUAUAUACAAUUGUUUUCGCAAAAUGUGAAUUUAUAACAAAAACUGAAUGAAACGUACUCUAAAUCAUCUCUCUUUUUUUUAUAACAUCUCCCUAAAUCAUCUCUUUAUAUUGUUAUGGCAGAACCUAAUUAAAGUAGAGUGAGUUUCAUUGUUUCUUCUUUGAUUGGACGACUAACGAAAAGAUUGUUUAUCAAAAAUAAGAAAGUUUGAGUUGUAAAGGUUUUGAAUGGUAUAUAUGGUGGUUGAUAGUUUACAUCCAUAUACUAUAUAUAGUUAACUGUCUUUGGUUUUUGAAUUUAUAAUAUGUAGUUUAUUUAGCUUGAUAAUCAUAAACUUUUGUCACGAACGCUACUUUCCGAUUUGCGACUUCUUGAUCUCAUACCUUCAGAUUAGACUUAUUUACUCUCUAGCUAGUUUUAGUUUUUGUCUCCAUAUAAACCCUUUUCGCCUCUCACAGCUUCAACAUCGUUGCAUGUUCAUAUUACAGGUUCUAAAUCAAUUAUAGAAGACAGUUUGCAUUCGCUGUUUCUUUAAAUCGUGGGUCAUGUUUCUUUAAAUAUUUCGUACUUUAGAAACUCUGGUUUGGUGUAACUUGUGUCUAUGUUCGCUUUCCAGUUAAUCUUCAGAUGGAUCGAGUGAUAUAGUACUUUGUUUUGCGUUGUCAUGUAGAAACUAAUUUGCGUUUUUAACUAGUAAAUAUACCUUUUAUAUCAUCUCGCUUUUUAGAUUUAGAUCGGACAUUGAAUUUUUUUUUUUUUGGUUUGAUGCCUUAAAUGGAAAAUAAAGACACUUUAUAAGAUGAAAGAUCACUAAUCUUAUGAGUCGCGAGAGCUAUGGAUCGAUGCCGUAACCAAUUGACUUUCCGGUUUGGAUCUAAAAACUUUAAUCGCGCCCAUAUACGCAACGUCCAUAGGUACAUAUCAAUACCUAAAAAAAACUAAAGCGACUUGAUCAAAAAAAAUAAAAAGUAAAGCGGCUUGGGAUAAACAACUUUUACAGAAAAUGGACCUUUGACUUCGUAUGGAGGUUUUAGAUGAUGAAAUGGUCCUUUAUUACACCUAUAUAGAGUGAUUUAAGAGUUGCCAAUGUCCUCUUUUCAAUCGAUGGUCUGAAUCCCAACUUGCUUCCACCGAUUUUUUUGCUUUAAAAAUAUUGUAUAGCCGCCCUAUGCGAGCACUUCUAAUGACUUUGGCAUGACACAGACUUAUCCAUGGGGAACUAUACCAAAAAAAUUCUUUAAACUUAGUGAAAGCUCUUUAAACUCUAUUUAACAUAAAAAAAAAUUAAACCUUUUUUGUCAACCCAAGAAAAAAAAUGUAAACCCUUUCUUUCAUCAAACAUUAUUUCAUGAGAACGGCUGUUCCAUUCUAUAUAAUUUCAGUGAAGUGAAUGAUGAUAAUGUGAAAUGGGAUAUAUAACGUUAUACGAACAAAAGGAGAAAAUUUAUAGAGAACAUUGAGGUCUGGACUAAACGACUUUCUAAUAUUAUAUACUAAUAAAAAUUCAGUAUUGCAAAUCUCUUGAUAAGAUUUUUUUUUUUGUUUGGAACACCUCUUAAUAAGAUUUAAAACACCAAUAAAACAUACUAAACAAACAUUUUAGUUAAUUAUUUUAAAAUUAAAUAAAAUAUGUUAUUACAUCAAAAGGAAAAGACUAUCUAUCACAUCAAACUCAAGUGAUUCGUUUUUCUGAGGUGUGAACGCCAAAGGCGUACGUGGUGGACCGGUUUAGAUCCAUGACUGAUCCCUAACAAGCCUCGUCUGGCUGUACCAUCACAUAACUGCCAGGUCUAUCACUACAUCCUAUAACUCUUGAAACGGAUUAUGCUCUUUGAAUAGAUCGAUCGUUGAUGACAGCCUAAUGGGUUAGACACACAAUUGACUGGUCUACUGAAAUGGGUUAAAUGAAAUAAGAUGCCUAGGUUUAUAAACAUUUAUUUUUAGUUUCUGCCUACAUUUUGAUAAACAUUAAAAAUUGAUUAUGAAUAUAAUGACUACGACAACAAAAUUAAGAAUCAAAUUUAGAAAUCUUAAUUCUUGAAUUCUUUUAUAUUUUAUGAGAUAACCCGCAAGAUAAUCGAAUUAACAUGAGCCACGAGACUCAAACUAAUUUCCAAACUAAAUUGAAUCGAAAUAUGAUAUGAAAUAAAAUGUUAUAAGUUAUGGAAUAAUAUAUGUCCUACUCUGGUACCAUGUAGGGGGAUAGUGUUCCAAAUUCUUGCAUCAAAUGAAACUUAGCCACGAAGACGACAUUAAUUAUUUUAUAUAUUUAUAUUUAAAAAAUUAUAAAUUUAUAUUGAGCCAAUGUAUAUUCAUGUAAUUCCAGGUAUAAUUUGAUUGGUCCAUCAUAUUGCAGCCAUAUCUUCAACCUUGGUAUAAAUCUCUAUAUAGUUAGACCUCAUCAAACCAUGAAACUUUUAUAUAUUAAAAGGACACUUACAGCACAGUGAUAUGAACCAAUGAUUAUAUGUAUAAUAGUAUAAUACUGUAUUGAUUCAAAACCAAGUUCCUUUUCCAUCACUGACACUACAAAAAGUCUUCACCAAAUAUAUAUGCGCAUUUGUCAGAUAAAGUGAAACCACUUGCAUGAAAACUAUGGCUCCCAAUGGUAACAUCCGUCCCGUACCGCACCGCAGUUAACAGUAACAAAAAUCUCUGUAUAUAAAAUAAGGCUUCGAAUGGUGACCAUUGUCCCGCCCCGCCCCGCAGUUAACAGUAACAAAAAUCUCUACAUAUACUAUAUAUCUAUACAUUUUUAUAACUGUUAAAAUCGCAACGCAGUUAAACCGCUUAUCCCGCACUGCUCAAACCGCAGUUACCAUUAGGAGCUUAUAUUUAUACAUUUUUAUAACUAUCAAAACCGCACCGCAGUCAAACCGCUUGUUCCGGACCGCAGUAUCCGCUAUAUUUAUACAUUUCUAUUUUUUGUGUGUGCGACUGAAUUGCGUGCUGAAAAAAAUCCAUCAGUCAUAAAAGUAAGAAAUCUUUAUCUAAGGAACUGUAGCUACGUACUCUCAUUAGCUAUAUAGCGUAUAGGUAUAGAAUGAGACUGCGAUGGCUAUAGAGUAUAGAUAGUUAGAACCCUACGAAGCACGUGAUGAGUUGGUCAGAACUCAGAACCAUACUGUAACACUACUAUACUAGUGAUCGUUUCAUUGGCUAUAUUGCGACAGCUACUUCUGUUAGGCUGUACGCAAUCGGUUGGUUAGUCUGGUGAAAGUUUGGUCUGAAAAGUGUGAUAAAACAUAAUAUCUACAGUUACAUAGAAGAAUGUAAGAGAAAAUUUGUAAAUUAACAGAACGAAUGGCUACAUGGCUUUUCAAAGCAUCUUCUCAUGUAUGCUCUUGAUUUUCUACGUUUACUUGUAUUAGCUCAAUAGCCGUCUAAAACCCAAACUCAUCUCCUUGGAAAUUAAAGUUUAAUUUCCAGUUGAUUAUAUAUUAAACUUUUCAAUUUCAAAAAAAUUUAACAUACGUAUAUGUGUCGGUAUAGCUAUUGCCUAUUGUGGUGUUUAUUGCAAGUGACUCGUGGUCGUAGGUACGCUUAAGCAUGGGAGUGUCUUAGUACUACUGUCUACAAACUCGAGCGAUCGAGCACAUACACAUCAAACAUUCAAACUCAACAACAAAGUCUACUGUCUUUGUAAUAAGUGGUUCUUGUAAGUUUUUUUUUUUUGGUAAAAAUGUUAAAUUUUUUUACCAUUUUCAAUUUUUUUGGUUCUUGUAAGUUGUAACCACAAUUCUUGUAAAACGAAAAACUUGGUAUACAUUUUAACAUUUGCACCAAAAAGCGUACUGUCUUGGGUGGCAUACGCACGUGUAUAUGUUAUUACCAAUUAGAGUUUUAGUUCGCUGUAUAAAGAAAAAAAGCAAUGUGUAAGCCUUGUGAACUUUAAGCAAGAAAGUUAAUUCAAGAAACCGUCAUCAUUCUCAUUUUUUUUUCUGAAGCUCUGCUUUAACUUUCAAUAAUUGACUGGUAUAACCUACAAUGUUUAACGUAUAACAUUUCGGUGAAUGCUUCACCUAUGUAUAUAUGCAGCUCUCUCAAAGGGGAACGUGGUAAUAAUUAAUAAAAUUUCUUAGGUCUUGAGACGAUAACAUAUUGUUCUGAUGUCGGAGAGACCGCAUUUUCGGAUACGGUAAUACAUGGACGUCUCUUUCCACAAUUUCACUCAAAAGCCAAGCUUGUUAGCUUAUCCUAGGUCUACGUAGCUACAUCUUUAUAUAAAAAUGCACCCUAAUUAAUAUUUUAGCACGUGCAAGGGGAGCGGUCGAACAGGGUCUAAAAUUUUAGAGGGCCCAUAAUUUUUUUUGUUAUAGUAAUAGUUAUAAAUUUAAAAAUCAGAUAACUAUAUUUAAGUUUAUUUUUCUAUUUACUAACCAAUAAAUAUAUAUUACAAAUUUGAUUUUGUUUACAUAACCAACAAAAUGCAAUAAUUCAAGAAGUAAUUAACAUUUAUAUCAAUUAUAUAUUUUGGAAAGUACAAAAUAGUUGUCGGUGUUUGUUUUAAUAUUCAAUGUAAUUUUAGAAAGUUCAAAUUCUAAAUUGAUCAUGCUUAGGAAAAUAUGAUUAAUUAGUGAUUAUAAAUAAGGAGAGAAAAGUUUUUAUUUUAAUAAUUUUUACAAAAAAUAGUAAACACAAACAAAAAAGACUAGUCUAAGCUUCUGUCUAGAAGAAAAAUAAAGAGUCCCCAACUACUUGUUUAAUCAAAUCAAGAGUCUAUGGCUUUUUUUCUAACGACUAUCCAGAUUCUUUGCUUUUAGUUUUUAUAUAGAUUAUAACUCCUAAUUAUGGAUACAAAAAAAAACUCAAAAGAAAAAGAAGUUAAAAAAUUCAUAGUCUCAAAAAGGUGUUUUUCGUAAGUUUUUAAUCAUAAAACUAAAAGAUUUUUCUUCUACUUAUAUAUUAGAUUGUGUGUAUUUAUUAUAUCUUAUAAUAAUAUUUUGUUAAGAAAAAACAUAAAGUAUUUAAGUUAUUAUAGAGGGCCUUGUUUUUCUUUUCUGAACAGGGUCUCGAUUGAGUUUAAGACGGCCCUGGUCCACUACCUUCUUCUUCUUUUUGAUGAUUGUUACCUCUAUGGUCUUUUAGGUUUAGGUCCAUAGAGGAAGGAUCCAAUUAAAUCAUCACGGUUUUGCAGAUUUUUAGUGUAUUUAGGUCCCAUGCAUAGCGUUCAAAAUAUGUAACUAGCUAGUCCACCCAUGUACACUUUUUAAGACAAAGACUAGCAAUGAUUAGCGCAACUAAAAAACAGCUGAUAUUUUCAUUUUUUUCUCAACUAUUCAAACUAAACAUUACAUUCGAUUCGAAUUAGAAGAGGAAUGACAGAUCAGAUACCUUCACAUCCCACCACAUUUUAUUUUGUUUCUCAGUACAUUUCUGUAAAAAUUGUAUUAGUCAGAAGAACGGGACACCACAAAACUGAAAUGAAUUCUCUUGAAGCAUUAUUAUUAGCACUUCGUGUUAUACAUUUACCUCUACAUAAUCAUGUAUUGGUAUAUCUACAACAUUACGAAUGUAAUAGUAUUAAAUCCUUUUUCUUAUUUUUUUUCAAGUUCCCGUAAAAGAAAUCGACUGUUUAACCGGUAAGGACCACUCGGACUUUCAAGGGUCUGAAUCGUCUUUAGCUUCUCUACUCAAAGUGGGAACUCUUUCUGCAAGAGAUCGAGAUUCCUUGCCUCACAAGCUUCGAUUAGGUCAUGUCUUGACGCACAGCUACAUAAAGUUUUAAAAAAACUUAGAAAAGUUUCAAACGACAUAAAUAGAUUUUCUAGUUCAGAAGCUUUAAUACAUACCUUAACGAGAGCCUCAAGUAUUGCCAAGCGUUAUCUGCCUUAGGAUUCAUCGCAAGGGCACGAACAUAAUAAGGGAUUGAUUCUUUGUACAUCCCCUGUUACAUUUAGAAAUUACACAAUAGCAUACAAAACUCACGUUAGUUCCAGUACAGACAUUUGCUUCUGAUACAAGUUACAAGAAUCGAACCUGGUUUGCGUAACUGAUCCCCAUGUUUGCCCAGGCACGAACGUAAUUAGGUUUUAAAUCCAGAGCCUGCCAGUAGAAAAACAGAACAAGACAGUUAAACAGUAAGAGAAACAAUGAGAUUUGGAGAAGCUUUAAUUUCUGUGCAUCGAAGAGUUUACCUGUUGAUAAGCAGAUAUGGCAUCAGCACUCUGGACACUGUUGGCUUGAGUUGCGCCAAGCUUAUUCCAAAGAGAAUAAUCGUUUGGUUUCAACUGUAAAGCUGUUUGGAAGGAAGUAAUUGCUCUAUCGAAUUCCCUUGACAAAUUGAAGAGAACACCUAGCACUAUAUGCACAUCGGCGUCCUCAGGAUUCAUCUGAGAAGCUUCAGUGAAUAAUCUGGCAAUCUGUUUAUACAUGGAGAAGGAAUAGUGUUUCAAUACAAUUAUGAUAUGAGUUUCAACUGUGGAGAAUGGCACUUACAUCAGCAUGGUACAGGGAAUCUGCAAGCUCUGGAGGUGCGAUUGAUCCAUACUUGGGGUGAUUCCGCAGCCAUCCAUAUAAGUACUUCAAAGCAGUUGCUUGCUCCAACUCUGUUAUGACAGGGUACAGCAUAUUAGUCACCAAUCUAAUUUCAAAAACGUAUGGCCACAAGUAAUCUUAUUGAGUAACAAGAUAAUGUUACAAAAACAAACACAUAUUGCUAGAUUUCAAGCACUGACCGUUGGUAUGGCUCACACCAAGUGCAAGAAGCACCUCUAGAUUUGACGGAUCGGCCUCCUGUGCCCGCAUCAUUGCAGCUAUUGCCUGCAUCCACAAUAUUAAAAGAUUUUAGCAACCUCUUCUUCUUUAUUUAUGUGCCAUGUGUAAAUAACGGUUCAUGUAAAAUUAAUCUGAGUAACCUGUUGAUCAUCAUCGUUCUCUGCGUGUGUGACCCCAAGUAAUCUCCAACCUUCAGCAUUCUCAGGAUUUUUCAUAACCUCAGCUUCUAGAGCAAGCGCUGCUUCACUCAGAAGUCCUUUGCGAAACAAUUCCUGCCCUUCUUUCAUAGGUUCCGGGUGACCCACAUAAGGAUUCAUGUCAGAGAAGACGUAUACACCACUAUUUUGUUUUUCAGCAUUUUUUUCCGUCAGAAACCUGGAGAGGGAAAGACUUAUGUUAGAUUGACUUGAAAGCCGAAGAUGCAUGUUGGUUAAGCAUUGUGUCAAGAUCUCCAUAGAUAAAAACAAAAGGAGGUAAUCAAAUAUAACCCUUGACUAACUAGGCAAAGUAUCAAUUGUACAAUGAAACGUAAAACUUAGCUAUAGAAAAGGAAUUGCAUAGUUGUGAAGUUUCUGUCUACGUAAACAACAAGAAACCAGAGAAAUUGCACAGGAGAGAAGUGAAUAAACGACUUAAAUGAUUUAAGAAAUGGAAUUGGAGAGGGACCAUUUAAUUAGUUGAUUCUUCAAAUUUGUGAACGCACAAAGCACAAUGAAAAAGACAACUUAUAAAAGAUCCAUUAAAUAAUAAUGAACUUACUCAUCAUAAGCAUUUGCCCAUGCAUCAGCCGAACUCCCACCCGCGGGCCCUUCAGCAAAUUCAUCUACCCAGUCAUCAACAUUCAACUUUGAAAACUCAUUAACCCAUUGGUCCUCAGCCGAUUCUUGCUGUCGGUUAGCGGAAGCAAACUCAUCAGCCCACUGUUCUGGUCCACGUGCAAGCUACACGCACCAAAAUAAAAAGCUUACGUUAGAUGCAGGAUGAUGCUUAUAAUCGAAAGGAAAAGAGACAAUAUGUUGUAGCUAAACUUUCUACCAUGUCAGAGACAUCAGAUUCUCUAAGUAAUAAGGAACCAUUUUACUGGAAAGAAGUGUACAGAGAAAUCUACGCUCCGCCUUUCCACUACAUUGCAUUUCUAAAAUACAAAAUGCAGGAGAUCCACUACAACAGCUAAGCUAUGCAAGAACGGAAUAACAUUAAAUCAAUUUGCACUAGCGUGCUAACAGUAGCGAGUAGACCCUAAAGCAAAAACAUACAUUUAUUAACCAGUACAUACUUUCUCAUUGGCAAAUUGAUCAGCCCAACUUGGCGGCCCCAGAUACUGCUGUUCAUAUUCAGUAGCCCAGUCCCCAGGGGCAGGUCCAGGCUUGACCUCAUUCUCAUCCAUAAUGAGUUCACCGCGGCUCAUCUUAGAAACAAACUGAAGGAAUCUUGAAUUCUGCAUUCACCAAACACAUUUUGCUAGGAUUUUAGAUAAAUCCCAAGAGAACUGCUCAGCACAACAUCCUUAAAUGCAAAAGCAAUUUUUGUGAUAGUUUCGGAGAUGUUCAAAUUCUGGGGCACAAGCCCAAACAUCGCCCCAAGAAGUUCUCAGCAAUGGAAAAAAAAAGGGAUCAGAACAGUCUAGAAAAAACAGAUGUCGUCCAACAGUACAGUCUACUACAAACUUACUUACUGAAACUAUGAUCAAGGAAAUGAAGGAGUUUAUUUCUACACCAACCUGAAAUUUCGGAUUGACAUCCUGAGACAGUGUAUGGGCAAGCUUACGAGUCUGCUCCAUUGCAGCUAAAUUUUGCAUAUUCAUACUUCUCAUUUGGUUUGACAUCAGUUGAGAUUGACCCUUCAAAAAAUAUUCAACCAAAAAGGAAAUAGGUGAGACUCAACGGUUUUCAGAACCUGAAAAGCUAAGGUGCUGUCAAAUUAAACGCGAGUCAAACACUGAUGAAUGAUAUCACAAAAAAAGUUGCAACAGAUUCAGGCUUUUGAACAACUAUGCCAUGGGAACUAGCAAAUCAAAGCCUAUACUCAACCAAAAAUAUAAGUCCUCGAUAUUCUGUUAUACUAACUGCAAGCUUGUUAAACAUGAGUCUGGUUUGGACAUUCAAAUAAAAUAUAUCAGACAAUUGAAGGAGAAAGUACCUGCUCGAACUCGGUGGCCCACCCAUUCACACCAUGCUGUUGCUCAAAAGAGUUGACCCAUGCGUCAGGACCCCCAUGAUUCAUCCCAUGCUGAUGCUGGUCAAAUUCAGUCGCCCAACUAUCCGCAGGAUGUAAACCAGGCUUCGUAACAGCCUGAGACUCAUUCCAGUAAUCAUCUAGCUCCCGAAAUCUCCCAGGCAUAUGACCUCUAGCUUGAAUGCCAUCAUCGAUAUCUAACGACGACAGUAAUGCAUUUACCUAUAAAAACAACAGAGGACAAUAUAAGCAGCCAACAAUUGAGAAAAGAAGUUGCAAACAAACACAAAAAUAGAGCAAUAAAAGUAACAAGUAACACAACAGUAAGGGUUCUAAACCAAAGCCCUGACCCUCAUUUUCAUUCUAAAAUGUAAGAUUUAAAAGCAAAUUUAGGAUCAAGGAAGCCGGACAUAAACUAUGAAUAUCAUUAUUACACUUCAUCAUAAUAUUGAAUUAAUUUUUAAUUGCUAAAGAGGGACGACAUGAAUGAUAGUACGCCAAAACGUUAAGCACAUAUCGUAUAGCUAAACUUGACCCUUAUAACCCAAGUUGAAGGCAUACGACACAAUGAUGCAGCUACAUGAAACUAUCAGACAAGACAGCAAACCUGAGAAUUGAUAAAUUCUUCUCCCCUGUCGGCAAAAAAAUGCCGGGCCAUUAUGCUACUACGAUCACGUAUGCAUUGUUUGUCACUUUGUGACAAUCCCAGCACAGGGACAGGUGCUGGACGAAAAGGAAUGCCACCACGGCUACUCUCAACAAAUGAAUGCAGAAAGUUUGACAAAACUCUUUGAGGGGGUCCUGCAAUGGAGAAAACAAUUUUAAGCAAGCAAGCACACUUUGACAAAAGCAAUAAACAAUGACAAGCCAAAACACGAGACGGCCAUCUGGGAGAAUUUGAAGGAACUCAUAUGCAGUUCACUGCUUUUCUUCCUACAACUAAAGAUGUUUACUUUGUGAUUGAAGAUGUUACCAUUCAUUAAACAUCAAAACCACAACAUCAAUCCAUUUUGUACCCGGCUCUAAAUACAUAUGAUAGGAAAAGUAAGAGUGAAAUAAGAUCAGAAACCUUCAAAUGUGGGCUGGACAGGCUCAUACAUAGGUCCCAUAGGAGGCAUAGGUCCACCACGCUGCACUUCAUCCCAAGCUGCACCAAGACCAUUCUGAUCCACAGAUCGAAAGCCACGGAAGAACUCUGUCCCCUGAUAAUUAGCAGACCCAUCAGAAAGGUAUAUAAUCAGUAAAUGCUACAACUUUAUUAAAAACAAAAAGAGUCAAAAAUUUGCAUAACAUUAAUAACCUGAGCACCAGGUUGGAGAAGAGGCUGAUCUAACUCAGAACCAGGAAGCGAGCUUAAGUGUUGGUCCUGAGAGUAAAACUGAGGCCCGGGACCUGAACUGGUGGCAUUAGGUAUCUCCUUGAGCCUUUCCUGCCCCCACCAAAAUCAGCAAUCAAAGUCAGAGAUUACGUAAUGCUUUUUAGCGAUAAGGACAAACAAUAUCUAAAACCCCCCCAAUAUCUCGAAUUCGACUUUGUUCAGCAUGAAACUGAAUCAAGAAGCUAAACCUGAGUUUUGGAAGAGGAACCAAGUAGCGCGUUGGUGAGAGCUCCGAGGGGGUUGGAAGAAGAAGAAGAGCCGGGAACUGCGCAGGCCGCUCCGCCGUUGACAAGGUCUCUCAUCGCCAUGCUGUCAAGUGAUUACUACUACGCCGCAAUAACCGUCGUCGAGUUCUAAUUAGAAUUGGUUCCUCCGUCCUCUGAUCACCUCCUCCCAAAUCGCAAUCUAUCGUUUCUUCUCUCGUAGCGGUGUAUUAUUAUUUUUUUUGUGUUUGGCCACAGCUUCGUUGGUAUUUAAUAUAUUUUAUUUAUAUAUUAUCCACACCACACACAUUUUUAGGCUCACCAACGCAUUUCUUUUUUAUUUUGUGAAAAAGAACAAUUUUACUUUAUUAUCCAUUGCGAAAACUGUAUUUUUGGUGAACUCUGUUGCAAUUUGCAAAUAUUUUUUAUUUUUUUUUAUUAAAAAUGAAUGUAUUCAAUAUUUUGUUGCAGUUUGCAAAUUGUUUUUGUCUUAUUUAAAUUAAUUGGCUCAAUCAGAGCUCCAAUCGGAUUUCGGUUCGGGUUCAUUCGGGUUUCAAAUUCAUUAAUUUUAAAUUUAUUUAGAUAUUGCAAAAGUUGGAAUUGGAUUUCAUCCAUGUUUAAUCGGGUUUCAUUUGGUUUAAUUGUAUGUCGAAGCUCCAAUUAAACCCGAAAUAGUUUUGAUUUCUUGUUUUAAUUGGGUUAUCAAUUCAAAAAUAUCAAUUUAUACUUGACUAAACUCAAUAUAUUUCCAAUAUUUUCAAUAAAUUGUGUAUGUGGCUUUAUCAAACCUUUUUAUUGUCCUUCAUAAUAAUUUUAAGAAACUCGUCUAUCAACCAUACGAAGCUCAUUCUUGAACUAUAUGUGACAAUAUCAUACAUAUCACAAUUCAUGACAAAUUACCCUUGUACGAAUGUGAAUCAUAUGUAAUGAAAUAUAAAUAAAUUAAAAUAAACAACUAUCAACUCUAUAAACGUAAAAAAUAUUAUUUAAACCCUUGUAAAAAGAAAAUCGUUUAAACUUCAAAUGCAAAUUUAUUCAUAACUAACUUCAAAUGCAAUUGUCAAAACAUAAAAAAAAAAAUCAAUAUUAACCAAAUACCAAAAAUAUAAAUUAGACUAAGUAUUUUAAUUAUGUAAUAGAGAUUUAGACCAUCUCCAAUGGUUCACUCUAUUUUUUACUCUAAAAUAGAGUAACUCUAUAAUAGAGUUUGAGUUUGCUCCAAUGGUACUCUAUUUUAGAGUAGAAAAUAGAGUGAUGAACAAAAAAAAAACAAAUUACUCUAUAUUUGGAGUAAACCUAUUUUUUACUCUAUUAUAGAGUGAGAAAUAAAGUACCAUUGGAGCAUUCUUUACUCUAAACUCUAUUUUAGAGUGAAAAAUAGAGUGGGGUUGGAGAUGCUCUUAGAUCGGAUAUGGCACAAGUUCUUUUUGGGGACUUUUGAAAUUUUGGAUUUUUUUUCAUAUUCAUUUGAUUGUAGAUUCAGUUCGCGUAAAACUAUAAUCCGUGAUACCGUAUAACCAGAUCCAUUCAGUAUUUAUGUCAGGUUUGGAUCGAUUAAUAUUUUUUUUUAUUCGGUCGGGUUCGAUUCAGUUCGGACUUUCGAAUUCGGUUUAUUUUCAUGCCUCUGAUACCAUCACCUUUAUGUUUUUUUUUUCUUUAUGUUCUUUUAUCAUUCUUGGUUAAAUAGUGACUCUGUUUCAUGUCUAUUUGUUCAAUUUGCAGAUGGUCGACAAAUUCAAUACUGCGUAUGACAGAAACACUCGAAGAGGUGGAAGAACUGCGUUUUAUUUUCCAACAAUUCAAGGUCUACAAAAUCUACUCUUUGGUCCUGAAAAAACUAUUUGCCUCUGGGAGAGUCAAAGGAUGUUUGCUGAGAUGCAGAUGUAAAAUUUUCUAUUUGAUAUGUAAACAUUAUCAUAUAAUUUUGACUCUCUAAAUAGAACUAUUUUUCCUCAUUUCUUUUCUUACUACCUCUUACUAGCUUGUAUAACUUAUAAAUAUAUCAAAAAAAAGAACGGAAAUGGUAACAGCUUUUAACCUUCCCCAAUGUUCCAAACUAAUAAAAAUUAAAGAAAAUGAAACAGAAAUUAAAAUUUAUCAUAUGCAAAUGCAAAAGAAAAGAGAAAAAAUGUUCAAAUCUGUGGUAAUCUACUCAUUAUCUGGUUAUAUACCGAUUGUCCUGUUUCUGAACCCGGUUCAACCUUAGGCUCCAUCCCUCUCUGCAUCAUCGCUUCACUCAUCCCACCCGGUUGACUCAGGUACUGGUAAGGUAAACUCGGUAACUUCCCUUGACCAAACGCUAAACCAGGAAUCGAAAAAUUACCCAAACCGGUUUGUCCUAGACCGAACGCAAAACCGGAAGGAGGACCCAAAUGAGGCUGGAAGCUAAAGGGACGUCCAAACUGAGACUGGUUGAGCUGUCUGUCAUAUCUGCCACGUGGAGGCUCUGAGUAAUGAUUAGUUUGAGCAGCUGAAACGCCGCUGUUACCGUUUCCACCGCCGCCACCGUGACUACUGUUACGUGCGGCAGGGACUUCGUGGUCGUGUUUGCCUUCGUAAGUGGUUAUAACGGAUUUGAGGUCAUGAGAAGCUCUCUCUACAUGUUUCCUCACUGUACAUCCAGGUGCUGUGCAUUUGUAGUAACUCCUACAAAAAAGAAACAUUGUUUAUUACAACAAGAGACCAAUUUGUUUUAAUGUUAUAGAGUUUUGUAAGAACCUCGGGUUUGGAUUGCCUUUGACAACUUUCUGACCAUACUUUCUCCAGCGAUAGCCAUCGUCGAGAAUGUCAACACCACUCGUUGUCUGCACAACGACUCUUGGCUCGCGAAUAGCUCUUGUUGCUCCACUCAUCUCUAUUGCGUAAGCCUCAAGUUUCCUGAAACAAGCAAAACGUUUUUUUUUAAGUCGGAACAGCUGCAUAUGUUAGAUUGAUGAUUCUGUGUUUAAAGAAGAUAAAGAACACCUUCUUUUCGAUUCGGAUUCAUCUUCUCCACCUUCUCCAUCUCCUCCACCUCCAUCAUAUCCCAAAGAAGCACUCCCAUGAGUCCCUCUAUCAUCUUCAUCUUCAUCAUUAGAGAAUGUUGACGAAGCAUCAACCACAAUCACAUCACCUGACUCAUAUUGACCUCCGGUUUGAGCAGAUUGGUUUCCCUCUUCGACGUUGUUCUCAUUGCUUCCAACUUGUUGUUGAGUGUUAUCUCUCUGCUGCUGCUGUUGUUGUUGUUCAGCUUGUUCAGUUCCAUCUAGUUGCAUUCCUGAGCGGCGGUUAGGCGGAGGUUUGGAGUGAUUAUGAGCUCCUUUGUAUAUAAUCUCAGUAAUGUGGCCUUCUCUUGAUCUCUCGACCUUCUUCUUCACCUGACAGUUCGGGUUUGUGCACUUGUAAUAGCUUCGUGGAUACUCGCUUCCUUUCACUAGCUUCUGUCCGUAUUUCCUCCAGUUAUAUCCAUCCUCUGCAGGUGCACCACCACCAACCAUCGAAUCAACACCUCUUUGCUCUUCUCCUUCUCCUUCUUCCACUUCUUGAUGAUCAUUGGUGUUUGUAGUGGCAUCAGAUGUCUUCCUCUUCAACCCACUUUGUUCAUAACCGAGUUUUUGAUGAGAAGAACUGUUGUUGUAGUUACUAUUAUCAACUGGCGUCAUCUCUGUAGCGUUUUGGAAGAAAGAGGAAGAGGAUGUUGAUUGAAGACGACGAACCACAGUCACAGCCGCAAACGAAAACUUUUAGUUCCGCCGCAAACAUCCAACUGGACACCGAAAAAAAAACAAAAACCCAACCGAUCCGGAUCCGAAUUUAGCAGUGGAUUACGAGAGAUAUGUUCCUCUUCCUGUCUCCUUCGUCUUCAGGAUUUUCUCUCUCCUAAACGAGAAAGAUAUGUUUUUUUUUGUUUACACAAAACAAAAUGAUGAUGAAUAUUUGACAAAAGAGCAAAGAUUUCAACAGUAUGAUUAGAUUAAUCACUGUGACUUUCUCUCCAUCGACACGAAAAUUAUAAUAAAAAAUCAACUUUGCGUUUGUUAUGCUUUGAAUUUAUAAAAAUUAAUAUAAAAGAGGAAGACAAAAAAGGAGACAAAGAGAGAAUUAUGAAACCAUUUGAUCUUUGUUUUCUGAUUGUUACUGAAGACAAGGUAGACAAGGAAGAGGAAGAAUGAAAGUUUUUGCAGAAAUGGUGAAGAAGAUGGCUAUUUGUGAUUUUGUGUUACACAAAACGUUUUCUGUCUACUGAAUUUUCCUAUAACAACACGCCACGUGGAGUAAUCGAGGUUGAGAGAAUAAGAUCGUCGGCUAAUCGGUUUGAUGUGCGGUGAGGUGUGGCGCAGGUGAUCUUUAACAUUUAUUACUAUUCCAGUUUCAUUUUUUCGGGUUUGGCUAUUAAUAGGAAUAAAUUUUAUUAAAAGCGGGAAAAUUAUUGCCAAAAGUUCUUACUCUGCCACAUGUCGAAUGAAGAAAAAAAGAUAAUUAUUAUUCUAUUAUUGCACUCUUAUUAUAUUGGUUCGAUACAUAUUCAGAAACUGAUAGAAAAGAAAAACCGAAUUAUCCUUUGUGGAGGAGAACAGAUAAAAGUUAAAUAUAAAGCAGGUUGUUGUUUGUUUUUACUAUAAGUGUCACAUUGUUAUAAAAUUCUGGAACAUAACAAAUCGUAUCUGCAAGCUAUUUAUAGUCUAUGUAUGUGAGUAACUAUGCUAGAAAAAUUAAGUGAAAGGGAUAUAUAUAUACUUUGCCAAAAUAUUGGUACCAUUAACAAGUUGUAGAUUAAAGCAUGGCAAGAACAAACACAAGGAGUGGAUUAAUGUACAGAAAAUUUGUCACUUGUUCUAACUUAUAUUGACAUCCAAUAGUCAAAAUAUGUUUGUGUCAACCAGUUACAACAAUAAGCAAUUUAAAUAAUCUAUGUUUUUGUCUUAUAUUGAGAUUUAAUUAGUCGAUUAUUAAUUAUUAUGCUUUUAAGUACACAAAUCAUCGUUUAGUCGAAGUUCAAACUAGUAGUAUAUGAAACUAAAGACGUACAUUUUGAAAUUGUUUCAUUUUGAAAUUGACAUGUUCUCGUACAUCUUUCGACUUAUAUCAAUAAACGUGUAACUGUUUAGUUUUGAAUUUGACAUGUUCUCAUACAUGCAUCAGGCAUGUGAUCUUUUAUUUUCUAAUUGGUAUUUUACAUGCAUGCAUAUGAUUUGAUGAAACAUAUACUCUUAAAUUAAAACAUAUCCAGGAGAUACUUUUAAGAUACAUUGUAAAAUUUAGAGGUUGCUUGCAUUAUUGCAUAGAAAAAUGACUCAAAAUAGAUGAAAUGUGAUAUACUACCUGAUGAUAAACGGAUCAUGAAAACUGAAAAAUCAUCAAACGAACAAAACAACUCCCGACAAAGAUUCUUUACAAAUAGUAUAUUCAAGAUACGUUAAAUAUUUAUGUCUGCGUAAACCCUAAAUACACAAUUUUAAGUACCGUUACUAUCAACUACGGAUGAGUAACGUACGUCAAGGGCUACAUAACUUGCGGUCUCAGAAAAAUAUAGAGAGACUAGAGUAUUUCAGUUUAUGAAGACAUUAAUAAAAUAGAAUCAUUUAAUACUAGAUUUAAUUAUAGAGUACUCUUAAAUCUUAAUUAUACCUUAAACUAGGUAUUUUGCCCGCGAUGCGGGCUUAAACAUUUUCAUAAUUUUUAAAAGUUCUUUGUACACUAUAUUCAUUAUACUAAAAUAAAUCUUAAAAUAAAUUAAUAUUAAAUUUUUAAUUAUGUAAUUAAAAAUUAUUUGAUUAAUAUGUAAUUAUGUAAUUUAUGUUUUUAACUUUUUACUAAAAUACUUUUUCAGAUAACAAUACAAUAUAUAUAUAUAUAUAUAUAUAAUCUUUUUUAAUUAUAUUUUUUGAUUUUGGAUAAUUCAAUAUUUUAUUUUUAAUUAUAUAAUUACGAAUUUUAUUUGUUUAAUAUUUAGUUAUAUAAUUCAUGUUUUUAACUUUUUACUAAAAGACUUUUUCAGAUAACAAUACAAUAUAUACAUAAAUUAUCUCUUUUUAAAAUUAUAUUUUCAGAUUUUGGAUAAUUCUUACUAUUAUUAAUUUUAAUCAAUUAUCUAAUCAAAUAAAUUAAAAUAUCGUUUUUAUUUUUUUAUUUAGUUAUACAUUUUAUUCAUUAAGGGUAUAAACAUUAUUAACCACUCUAACUUUUAACGUAAGAGCUCGAUUCCAAAUAUAUAUAUAUAUAUAUAAUCUUUUUUUUAAUUAUAUUUUUCUAUUUUGGAUAAUUCAAUAUUUUAUCUUUAAUUAUAUAAUUAUGAAUUUUAUUUGAUAUUUAGUUAUAUAAUUCAUUUUUUAACUUUUUACUAAAAGACUUUUUUUCAGAUAACAAUAUAAUAUAUACAUAAAUUAUCUCUUUUUUAAAUUAUAUUUUCAGAUUUUGGAUAAUUAUUACUAUUAUUAACUUUAAUCAACUAUCUAAUCAAAUAAAUUAAAAUUUCAUUUUUAUUUUUUAAUUUAGUUAUACAUUUUAUUCAUUAUAUAAUUACGAGUUUUAUUUGAUUAAUAUUUAGUUAUAUAAUUCAUGUUUUGACUUUUUACUAAAAGACUUUUUUCAGAUAACAAUACAAUAUAUACAGAAAUUAUCUCUUUUUUAAAUUAUAUUUUCAGAUUUUGGAUAAUUCUUACUAUUAUUAAUUUUAAUCAAUUAUCUAAUCUUUUUUUUUUUUACAUAAUCAAUUAUCUAAUCAAAUAAAUUAAAAUUUAGUUUUUAUUUUUUAAUUUAGUUAUACAUUUUAUUCAGUAAGGGUAUAAAUGUUAUUAACCACUCUAACUUUUAAUGUGAGAGCUCGAUUCCAAAAAUUUACUUCGCAAAUAAUAGUAUAGAUUGAAUAUUUAAUUGGAAAUGGGGUGGGCAGUUUUUCCAAAAAACCCGGUCAAAAAGAGACAUUGACCAAGCCUUUAAUGGUUUUUAUUUUCUUUUUCCUUUUGUUCCCUUUAACAGCCUCAAAUAAUCACGUUACAGCGCUGUGACACAACACUCAUGUGACAGCCGAAGCACGACUGGCGUGGAGUAAUUUCUUUCUCUCUCUAGUGGGAGCCCGCAAAACAAACUUUCAGACACAGAGGAUCGACGGCUCUGAUUUCUUGUCAGUUCUUACGUCUAUAGUAGGCCCCAUAGUGUAAUAUGGACCCACACUAAUGGAAAGACCAAACAUGGGUUUUGAAAUUUUACACUCAGCCCAUUAAGCCCAACAUGCUUGAAUAAAUUAUAAAAUAUAUAUUGGUUGACCUAACUGACUUGUUCUGACUGUCGGAUGAGCGAACCAAAAGUCAACAACUUGAAAAAGGUAAAUGACCCGACCCGACGUAAAAGACCCGCACCGACAAAGUCACGAUAGGAGCCCAAGUGGCUGUAGUGGCACAACUUUCUAUAAGGAUUUUCAGUGCGUUGGAUUAGCCUGACACGAGGAAGCUGAUCUCUACCCGUUGCUUGUGUAUGCAUCACCGUUUAAAAAUCACUCAGCCGUAGUAGAAAGUCCAAAACUUUAGAAGCUCUUCUCUGUCUAUCUCUUUGGUAAUUUUUCUUUCUUCGUCUUCCUUUGCUUGUAUAGUUUUGUUGAAACCAUGUUAUGAUUUGUUUUUUUUUUUAUUUUAUUUGAAGAACUUGAAGUGUUUCAGUGUUUGGUGUUUUUCUCUUGAGAAACAAGUCUUGUCUGCUACUCUGUUUUCUAGGAAGGAUUGUUCGGAACUAGCUGUUGUGUAGUGAAAUUUAGUUAUAUUUCCGCGGUACGAGUGUACUUGGAGCUUUCCCGCCGUAUAACCACGGAGCAGUGUUCUUUGGACAAAAAUAGAAAUAGUUCAUGUUAGUAUGUUAUUCAAAUUAAUAGCUUCCUACUGUAACCAAAAGAAUUUGACUUUUGAGAUUUCAUUGUUUUCUUGUUUUAAUAUAUAGUCCUUGAAGAUAAUCUUUUUGUUUGUUGUUGUUAAUAGCCUCGUGCUCAAUCCUCAUAAACAAUCCGCAAGGCAUUUGUAUUUAACAUAUAGUAUUAGACGUAAGAGUCUAACAAACAGUCAUCAAUUCAUCUGCAUGUAAUGCAAUUAAUUAUAGAAGUGUCAGUUGUUAGGAAUCGUAUAGAGGAUUGCAUUUAGUAAGUUGUUUGCAGUUUGAGUCUUGCUUUAUUUUCUUGAACCUGAGAAUUUGAUCUAAAUCUUAACUACUUCCAUGUCUGGUUUUAACACCAUAUUAUAUACAAAGAGUUUAACAAGAAUCUUGUUUAUAAACAAUAUAUUUUGAUUUUAUCUUGUUCGCUGCUGUGGCGCAUUUAUCUUGAACUCACAGAUAGUUCUUUAUGGUUAAUAUUGUCAUCUGCUUUUUAAGUGCGUUUAUCUAGUGUUAGUAAUAUUUUUUCUGGUAAAAAAUGAUACAUCCUUUGAAUCAUUCGAGUUCAUGUUAAAGAAGAAACGUCCCUUGUCUAGGCUUUCUUUGUUAUACUAUUGUCAUCGUUCUUUUAGCCACUUACUCUAGCCCCUUGUGAUUCCAGUGCAGAACACACGAAACAAUCUCACAUGGCUGCAUUUGCAACCGCAGAAGCGUGUGACAGUAACGCAGAACUAAUAUCAAACGGAGACCUACGGGCCCUCCACCCAAUCUUCAAGAUCUAUGGCCAAAGAAGAUGCUUCUCCGGACCAAUCGUGACACUCAAGGUCUUUGAAGACAAUGUCCUAGUCAGAAACCAACUAGAGACAAAAGGAGAAGGUGCAGUCUUAGUUAUAGACGGUGGUGGAAGCAUGAGGUGCGCGCUUGUUGGAGGAAACCUCGGACAGUUAGCUCAGAACAACGGGUGGGUGGGGAUUGUGGUGAAUGGAUGCGUUAGAGAUGUGGAUGAGAUCAAUGACUGCGAUGUUGGGGUUAGGGCAUUGGGUUCUAACCCGUUGAAGUCUAGUAAGAAAGGUCAUGGUGAGAAGAAUGUGCCGGUUAAUAUUGGAGGGACUUUGAUCAGGGAUGGGGAAUGGCUUUAUGCUGAUAGUGAUGGUAUCUUGAUCUCCAAGACCGAACUCUCCGUCUGAGUCAGAGUGUUCAUCUGCUAAAGUGCUAAGAGACUACUGCUGGUUUAUUUCGAACUUAUUUGUAAUAAUCGGUUUGAUAUUCUAAAAAAGAAAACCAUUUUGUGAGAUUUGUGAACUAUAUAAUAAUAAUAACAAAAUUAUUAUUAGUUCUUUUUGAAAUGAGCUACAAUAUUUAUUUAUUUUGCUACUUCUCUGCUUUAUUUAAUUUUAGAAGAUGUGAAUCAUGUGACCGAAAGGGACAAAUGGUUAAGGAAAAGUUGGUAUAACCGUAAAGCUAAUACUAUUAGUUUAAAUAAACACUUGGGUACUAUGAUUAUACCUGAAGUCCCAUCUCCACUGUCCCUCUCUGUGUUCGAGCCACUAGACGGACCCUGCCUUGCCGUCUCCGAGCCAUUAACAUCUCCACAAGCUUCUUCAGUGUUUGUCCAUUGGUCCAAAUUCUUGAAGCUGAAGCACAUGUUCCAAGAUCCACAGAACAUCACCUAUCGUUGGUCUAUCCACACCAUAAUCCGCACAGCAUUUCUCUGCAGUUUCCGCAAACUUCUUCAACGAGCACGGUUUGAUCUGAUCAGCGAUAUUCGGAUAAACCAUUUGAUCUAGCAUUCCCUUCUUUUGCCACUCAAUAGUCCACUCUGCUAAGUUCACUUGCUCUCUUACAAGCAACGGAUCAACAGCUGGUCUAGCGCAGAGAACUUCGAAUCAAACAACUCCAAACGAGUAAACAUCGGACUUAUCAGUGAGUUGUUCAAAAAAAUAAAAAUAAAGACUUGAAUGUAGUAUACAAGUAAAACAGUCUAAAAUAGAUUAGUUAACUAUAUUGCAUAAUAUAACUUUGAUUUGUGCCACCGCACGGGUAAUUUGUUUCGCUUUUAUAAAUAAUUUUUGUUUUGUAUAAAUAAUAUAAUAUAAAUUUAUUGUGGUAACUAAUUAUAUGAUAAUUAUAAUAUGUAAUAUAAUUAUUGUUGUUGAUAAAUGAUUUUGUUUGCAAAUAUUUUGGUUUCAAAAUCUUUUGAUUAAGGGUAUGACUGGUUUUCCCGCUACCACCCGCAAACGCAGCUUUUGCGGUUGGUAGCGGUUGCUGGCGUUUUGCAACAAUCGCUCAAACCGCUCUAAACCGCUCCAAAUCGCUCCAAAUCGCUCUGAACCUCAUAAAUUCAAAAGCUGGUUCCAGCUAGCGUUUGCGGUUGCGGGCGUUUGCGGGAGGAUAAAAAAAAUUAUUUUUUUUCCAAAACAAUAUAAAUACAAAAAUAAAAAAAUUCAAUAAAAAAUUAAAAUGAAAUUAUAAAAAUGCUAAAAUAUAUCAAUUAAUUUUAAUUAAUAUUAUAAAACUUUAAAAUAAAAAUAUUUUCUAUAUUUUUAAAAAAUUUAAACUAUAACUUUCUAAAUAUAAAUUUUAUAUUUAUUAUAAUAUUAUUAUUUUUGAUAUUUUUAUAAUUGUAUAAAAUGUAAAUAUUGUUAAUUUAUUAUUUAACUGCUGUUGUAUUUGGUAGUUAACCAGUCAUAAGUAUCCCGCAAACGCACAAAUUUCUAACCGCAUAACCAGUCGUACAAAUCUCUUAAAACCGCUAGAAACCGCAACCAUCCGCAUCCGCAAACUUCCGCAACCGCAACCGCAACCGCUGCGGUUAAACCAGUCAGGCCCUAAAUAUAUGUAUAUGAAGUAGAAAAAUAUAAGGAUCCAAAAUGCUAUUUAAAUAGUAGUUAUUUAUUUUGAAAGAUAUUUGUUAUUAUAUUUGAAAAUUAUAAAUUAAUUCAUCCGCAAAUGGAAAGUAUUAAAGCGGAAAAUAGAUUUUUGUAUACCGAUAAUCAUUAAAUAAUACUAAUAUUGCUUGCAAGUAAAAUCAUGUAUAUUUUUAAAGAUUUUAUAAAUUGUAGUUUCAAAUUUAAGCUUGAUUGAUCGGCAAGUGCAGAUAUGACUAUGUAUAAUUAGUGAAAAAUAGUUGUUUAUACUUAUAAUCGUUGUGUAUUAAUGUGAUAGUCAAACUAUGAAGGAAGUCUUUUCUAUUGCAAUUGUUAAUAUUACCUUAAAUUUGUAACAUGGAUUUGUCUGGUUGGUAUUGUGUUAACGAAAAAUAUGAACAUUGAACUUUUGAUGUUUGUUUAUAAAUGACAUAAAAACGAUUUUUGAAAAUCCGGUAAUUGCUCUGUUUUUUUUAAGUUCAAGUAGUAAGAAGUGAAGAAUAAAGCAAUGAUGUACUUAUAAAAGGAGGAAGUAUAUAUUACGGAGGCGUUGAGUUGAUAUUUUUGGCGUUGUUUCAGUUUAAAAAAAUUAAUUUCGGAUAGAACAUUUAUUAAUUCGAAAAAGACAAAGAAAACAUAAAUAUAGAUCCAAUUAAUACAUCAAUGACAUAGGAGUGUAAAUAACUUGCAAAAUUAAGGAGUAAUUUAAAUUUGUACUUAGAUUUUUAAUGGAUUAGAUAGAUAUAGAUUUAUCUUCAAUUCUUAGUAAUCUGUAUAAUUCUUUUUAAUGAAUAUACUUACGCAAUAUACUUACACUUUGCGAAACACUUAAAAAAACACUCUCUCUUUUUUUUUGUCAGCGUGAAACACUAUUACAUAUACAAAAAAUACGUGUUUAAUCGAGUCCAAGUGAAAUAACAUUUCAUUUUAACUUUUCUUUUCAAUUCUUCGACUUUGAAAAGAUGUGUGAUUCACGUUAAAAAAAAAGAAAAGAUGUGUGAUAGGAUAUGCAGUAAAAGAAAAGUCGGGGAAGCCCUAAUGGUUUGAUUAAUGGUUCAUUAAUAACUUUAUAUCAGAAUAUUUGGAAUUUAAACCCUAGAAAAUGCAAAUUAUACAGAUCAUGGAGAAAAAAAUUAUAAUAAGUUUUCAGCAUGCUGCAAGGCGUAUCAUCGAACAUGAAUUUUAUAGGGCGGUUCAUAAUAAUGCAGUCAGACAUGCAUUUUUAUAUGAGGGUAGAAUUGUCGGCUGUAAAAAUGUUUAUAUAAUAUUUUUCAUUAUUAUAAUAACAUAAUUAAUCAGACGUUAAAAAAAAUGUGUGAUAAAAUACACAGUAAAAGAAAAGUUGCGCUAAACAUUAAAUAAACUUUUUUUUGAACUUAACAUUAAAUAAUCUUAAUAGGUUUCAUUGAAUUUAAAGAGAUCAAUAAGUCAAAACACAUGCGUAUAAGCAAGAAUUUUUUUCUUUCUUUUCUACAUGAUUAUAUUCUUGCAUAAUUGCAUUAACAAUAUCACUAUGCCAAUCUCGGGUACAUCUUUCAUAUUACUUGUGUAAAUCACUGUAGUGAUUUAUGGUUAUUCUGAAUUAAAUAGACAAGUAUGAAUGAGACCGUACCAUAUACAUGAAUUUGAAUUUAUGAAACAUGGAAAUUUGAAAGGGUGCAUAUCGUGGUGGACCAACCACCUUAAUGGAAUUUGAACAGUUCAAUGAAUUUCAUCUCAAAAUUAAAUUAUUUUCAUACCUAACCAAAAUAGGACCAGAUUUAUUUGUCACGUUAAUCUCGGUUCUCUCAUUUUUUCGACCCACAUACAUCGUACGGAAUAUCGGUGCUCCCCCGUUAACAAAAAUAAAAUUCGGUAUCCCUUUUUUUUUUUUUGAGCAACAAAAUUCGGUAUCCCAAAAGAGCGGUGUAAAGAAAUACUUCACUAUAAGAAAACAGUAUAUUCUCGACUAAAAAAAUAUUUUGAAAUUGUGUAUUCAUGUUCACAAUAAAUAAAAGCAUCAUAUAAAGUUAUACAGACUACACCAUCCCCAAUCACCAUACCAAUUUCAUAAUUUAACGUAUGUGAACAUUUCAUAUUUUCUCUUAUAAACCCUCCUUUGUUUUCUUCCUUUACAUGGUAUAUAUAAUAGUCGGUCCUCAUUUAAAAUAAUAUAUUUAUUUAUAAUAUGUAUCUAUGGAAUCUUAUAAGUUUUAAAUCAAACAUUAUGUUGCCAAAAAAAAAUCAAACAUUAUAUAUGUUAUCAGUAUUUACACAGUCAAUACUUUUUAAUCACAGUACAGUGCAACACAUACAUAUUGAUAUUUUAUCAAAUGCAAUUAUCAAGUUUUUAUAUUUUGGAGGGUACUCUAAACAAAACUAAAUAAAUUCUAUACACCAUAUAUGUUCAUUUUGUUUGAUUUUUUUGAUUAACUUCAUUUUGUUUUGUUGAUUACUUAAAUCUAUUUACUUGUCGACUAGAUUCUGAUCCGCCCUUUUUAAAUGUAGAUAUAUUUUUUGUUUUAUAUUUUUUUAGAAAUUUAAUUUUUAUAUUUGUGUGUGUUUUAGUUGUAUUUGUAUUUUUUUGUUUAAUAUUUUUCUUAAAUGAUUAAUAAUAUAUUUUAAUAAUUGUAUAUCAAUAGAUGAUGUUAUUAUUUUAAUAGAAUAGAUUUAUCAUUCACGAAAUGGCGUGUAGCGAAUAGAACGUAUGGGACCUCCCCUAAUACGUCCAUAGGGCAUGUGGAAUAUGGACUUAUGAGGAAAAUGAUGUUUGACUAAAAUCCUCAUUUGCUUCGCCCUUUACGUUUCCACAAAAUGACACCCCCAAACCUAUUUUAGUUUUGUUGAUUUUACUUAAUUUCUUUAAUAAUGUGAUGAUAAGUUGAUAGCGAUAACUCUGGAUGCUAAUUAGUGCAUCCCAUAACAAAGAACAACUUAUAAUUAAGGUGUAUAUCUCUCUCAUAGUUUAUACCUUAUGGAUCAUGUAAAAGUUCUACUUGUUUUCAAAUUAAGAGCUUGUGUGUUUUUUGUUUUUAUAAAACAAUAUUUUGAUAGAAUCAACACAUAAAUUUAUAUGGCUAUAAAAAAACAUUAUGACAUUUGACUUGGGUAUGUAAACGUGACAAAAAAGUGACAAUUGUCGUCAUGAUUCACUUGCUCAAAGAUCCAGCUAUUCGGGUCACCAGGCAUCCCGAGUCACAAGCCAAGAUCAUGUAAUCUCUAUACUGAAAAUAUGAUGAACAUUCGUUUGUUCUACAUGUAAUUAGGACCGGUUUAUACCUCAAACUGUAAUUAAUUGUUUCAAAUUUCAUGAAUCUUAAACCGGCUCUUCCUGUUAUGUUCUCACCUUGGUAUACUUUCGACUAUACACCUUCCCAUAUCAUUUGCUGGUAAUAUCAAGAAAAACAUAGUCUGAAUGUCAUGUGGAGCCAUCACCCAAUGAUGCAUGUUCAAGAAUCAUCAUUUGUUCAUAAAUUGUUUCGUCAAUUUAAGAAUUUCUUUUAAUCUUUAUAAAUUUUUCUCAAAGACUUGGUCCCAAAACUAAUGCUAGUCAACCCAUAUCUUAGUUAUAAUCUCAUUUGGUUUCUAAUGGUCGAACCAUCGUCUAAAAAAACAUUGGUUUCGCCUAUUCUAUUCAUAAGACAGCGGAAUUUUUGAUAAUUAUUGAAAAGCAAAGUAUUCUUAAUUAUAAGAAAUUUGAUAAAUAUAGAUAUUUUUAUAUCGUAAGUUAAAUUUGAAGAAAACAUUUACAUUUUGUAUAUAAAAAAUGGUAGAUAAACCAGUUACUAAAACACACAAUAAAUAAAAUAUUGGCCUCUAGUGUUUCGUUCAGUUCAGGUUCAGAAGUGGACAAUUUAAAACAUAUAAAAAAUAGUUAGGACCAAUGCUUAUAACGAUUAUAAAAUUCAAAACGGUUUAGGAAUUCACACAGCUCACUUACAGACAGACCAAAGGAAAAGAGACGAGGAAACAAACAAAAAAAUAUUUUCAUUUUUCUACUUUAACGUUUUCAUUUUCUAACUUUAGAUUAUUUUAUUAAAUACUGUGUAUAUUUAUUACUUAGGGAACCUGAUACCACUUUGAUGUGUUAGUGCGUGGUUCUUGUUCAUCUCUCUCUCUAAGAAAAUAUUUUCUUCUGCCAGGAAAACCAUUUUUGAAAUAAUCAAUCCUUUAAAUUCUAAAGGUUCGUGUGUAUUUAGUGUUUUUAAAAUCUCUGAACAACUCUUUCUUCUUCAACUUCUAUGUUUUAUUAUUGUGCCACUGAUUUACUGUUUCUUGUUCUCACUUUCUUUUGCAUCUUUGUUGAUUUUUUUUCAAAGAUCCAAACUUAUAUUCUUGGAACGAUGUAUGCAUGUGUAUGUAUAUAUAGAUCUGUAUAAGUUUUGUAUUGCAUGAUUAACAUUACUUUCUUGACAGUCUGUCCAUAAAGGGUUUGGUUAUGUUUUGUUUCUUGAUUUUUAUCCCCAGAUUUCUUUUUAAAGCUCAUGUUUCUGUGUGUUUCGUCUUCUUCUUUUAUCCACAGGUAGUCUUCAUUCUCUGGAACUGUGUUUUUAAUGGUUUGGUUAUCUUCUUUCUAUGUCUUGUUUUGUUUCUGUCAACAGUUUCUAAGAAGAAAAAAUUCAAUAUCUUUGGUCUAUAAGAUCACCCAGAUGCUUGUUUAAAUUCAUUCAUGGGGUUAUCUACAGUCUGAAUCUGUUCAUCUGUUGUUGUGAUGUCUUGAGUUUCAUGUGAUUCAUUGCAUAAAAUAACACACUCCAAUCAAACUGGAAACUGAUUGUUGUAGGGGAAAUUGAAAAUUUCUAGAUUAAAAAUUCAUUCUUUUAACUGUUCAUGUUUCUUUAGACCCCUCUAGAUAUUUGAAAAUCUCACCCACUAAUCUUAAUUUUAUUCUCUGUUUUCUCUUCUUCACAUGAAAUAAUAAUAGUAUUUUUUUUUUCUAGAAAUAUCUUCUCAACUUUCCUCUUAUGAGGUUUUCUUCAAACUCAAAGAAUAUAUAAAAAAAACAUUCUUUUCAACACUUGCAGGUUUUAUAGCCCCUCAGAAAUUUGACAUUAUAAGUGAUCUGAUGUUAUGAAGAAUAGCAGAGAGGUGAAUAGUAACAGUGGAAGGAUCAAAUGUUCUUCUUAUCCAUCAUUAUCUACUGAUGAAGGAUCUCCAAAUAAUCCAUCAUCUUCUUCCCAUUUCUUGCAUCUCACCAAGCCUAGUGAUGAGUUAGGUCAAUCACAUCUUUCCACUUUCUCCAUCAGGUAAUCUCAUAAGAUUUCUCUUUUUUUCUUUGAUUUGUUUUAUGAAGAAGAAGUCAACAGUUUCCUUCUUCACCAUUGUUUUAGGCAAAGUCAAGUUUUCUUGAUGAGUCUGAUCAUACUAGAUAGAUCUUUUCUUCUCAUCCAUUCAAUAUUCUUAAUGGGUCAGAUUCAUUACAAAUAAAAGAAAAACAAACUUCUUUUCUCUUUCACCUUCUGGGUGUUUGGGGAGCUUAAAUGAUAUUAUUGAGUGUUGACUAUUUCUUUUACUUUUCUUUGAUCCAUUGGUCCAUACCAUGUGAACUUUUGUUAUGUCUUGUCUCUCAGAAGCUUUUCUGAACCUUUGUUUUGUCUGGUUGUUAUGUACUCUACUAAUUGAGACUUUGGUUUUCAUGAUGGUUUUGCAGAGGUUAUGCAUUUAGUAACCGGACCAAAAACAUUCAGAAAAGCUGGCCUUUCUCUUCAACAAGUCUGCAACUUUGUUUAAAACAUGGCUUGAGUGAUCCAUUGCCACCUAUUCAGCCUCUUGGCCCUAUGAUAAGCCAUCCUCCUGAAGCUUCAUCAUCCAACAAGCCAACUUUAACUCAUGUUGAAGCCAUAAGCAGCAAGAGAAAGUUAGGAAGACUUGCUUCCAGUGAUCAUGCAUCAGCAGAGAUUACUAAACAAGGCUUUGAGAAUGGUUCCAAAUCCAAAACACAAGUCACUACAGUUAACAAGACUCCAAGAAAGAAAUGUGGGUUAGUAGUGAAACCUGGAGCUUGUGUGGAUGGUUCAUCAAAAGAAGAUCAGGCUUUGAGAACUUGUCCCAUCUGCAAAACCUUCUCGUCUGCUUCUAACACCACUUUGAAUGCGCAUAUCGAUCAGUGCCUGUCUGUUGACUUGGGAGAGCAGCCAGUUAGUAAGCCAAACAAGCCUAGGAACCACAAGCCGCGGUUGAAGGUUAAAACGAUGGUUGAUAUCUACGCUUCUGCAAAAGGAUGCACACUAGAAGAUCUUGAUAGAAGAAAUGGAACAAAGUGGGCUGUGAUCUCAAGCUACUCUAACCGUGUCAUUGUCUGUGAUAAUAAUAAGUCUGAAGUUUCCAACAAAGAGAAGAAGCUUGAUGAAGAUGGUGAUGCUGGCAUUGGACCUGUUUACAUUGAUGCUAAGGGCCAAAAACUGAGGAUUAUAUCUGAGGUUAAGGAGAAAGCUGCUGAACCAUCAAGAGAGCAUGAGAAGAAAUCAUUUAGUGAAGGUAAACGGAGUUACAAAAGCUGUAAGAAAAGACUAGAAGGCAAUGCGUCAGAGGUAACUUAAUAGUAAUCUAUGCAUACAUUCUUGAUUCUUGAAGUAAGAUAAAGAUUGUUUAAUAAAGUCACUUGUGUAACAGAUACACGAGUCUAGAAGAGGGUGUUCUGAAGAAUGUAGAGGCAUGGAGAGGUUAGAAACUCCAGGGACAAGUCAGCGUAGGAGGAUGCUAAGAAAACAUAGUCUUUCAAGGAAUGAAAGUAAGAAAGGGAGGAGCAUGUGUGAUCAGCCAUCUGAGAAUAUGCAUUCAUUGUCAGAAGAUCCUCUUGUGUUAAAGGGUCCAAGUCUUGUGAGUACUGAUUUAUCCGAGGCGGUUAACAGUCAAAGCUCAUGGAGAAGCUGUGGGGAUAGUCAAAUCUCUGGAAAGAGUACUAACUUUGCAGCUCCUAAACCUGUGGACAAAGGAGUUAUGAAGUUAAAGAAAGCAUGGAGGUUUGAUGUUUCAGAGAAUGAAGAUGAGGAUUCAGGGAGAUGGGAGUCUGAAAUGACUCAAGAACUUGAACUGGCAGAUUAUGAUGACUGGGACGAGGCUGAAGAAACAGAUAAGGGUCUGCCUUCAACUAGGGGUGAAGAUAAUGAUUAUGAAAGUUUGGAAGAGACUGGUAAUAACAAAGGAGACUGUGAUAUGUUGGACACAAUAGAUGCUGAGUUUGAAAGCAUGGUUUUAGAGAAAAAUGGUUUUGAAACUGAAGAAGGAGGAAGCUCAUUCAUGGAGGUUGAUCCCAUUCCUAUUCCAGGGCCUCCUGGAUCAUUUCUAGAGAGUCCUUGGGACAUGGGAACUGAUGCAACUGCAACUGAAAAUCAUGGAAACUUUUUCCAGGUCCAAACAUCCUUUGAUCAGCUUGAUCUCACUGACAGAAACUUGUCUGAAUCACCUGUUUCAGCAGUUUCUAACUUUGCAGCUCCUGAAACACAGACAUUUAGUCUUCAUAACAUCAUCACUACUGACAAUGAUCAGUCAUGUUGUUGCCAGAGAAAGGAGAAUGCUCUUGAAGGUACAACAUUUAGGCAACCACCACCACACAUGAUCCAUCAAGAUCUUUUGAGUAAGUCUGUUCCCCCGGUUCCUUCAAACUCCGGUCCAGUGUUGCGGCUAAUGGGAAAAGAUUUGAUGGUUAUGAACCAAAGAGAAGAGACCUCACAUGGAGAUCCAAGUACAAAACCAACUUCUCAGUUUCAAGAUCUCUCCAAGACACAACAAGCGUCUCCUCGUGCCCAUCUUCAUCCUCCUUAUGGUGGAAACGGUUUGUAUUUGGACGCCACCACAAGCUUUUACAACAUUCCAUGACAAUACCGAUCAACUCCAGCAGUUUCCUAUUCCUGAAAGAUCUUAAAGAAGUUUUCUCCUCAACCAUUCAACCUCAAGAUUUCAUGAUUCUCUAACAAAGAGGCUGAGAAGAAUCUCAAGAGGCUGUUAUGAAGAAAUGGUGAGAUAUAAGUUCGGUUUGAAUCUACCUAUAGAAUAUUGAGAAACGCCACCGAGGUAAAUGUAAGUUAUUAUAAUGUUAUGGAACCGCAUUUUGAAUAAAAAGUAUACAUGACUUUAACCUCAUGAUUCUUUCUUUCUAUAUAGAUAUUUAUAUAUGUGGUUGAAAUCAUGUGAGGUAGUCAAGAUCAUGGUCACCGUCAUGACAUGCAUUAUGUGUACGCAAUUCAUUUUCUUUUGUCUCACGAAUUCCUAAUUAUUUUAGAUAUAACCUGUUGAGUGUAAAUAAUGUCACAUAAAUUAGAUGGGGAUAUAUUUGAUGUAUAGUAUAACAACUAUUAUGAGAGUUGCAUUUCGUGAUGAUGAGCUGUUUUCUUGUUACAAUCAAUUUUAUAUAAAAUAAGGAGAAUAUAUUACUGAAUAAUGGAUCUAUAAAUGUAUAAAGUACAACCACAACGGCUAUAUAUAUUGCAUGCGCAUUUCCAAAAUCAUUUGUUCAUUAUCAUAUGCACUCCAUGUCUUUCUUUUGUUUGACAUGUUAGUUUAGUUGAUGUCCACAUUUACCACAUGUAUGUAUAAUUUAUGUACACAUUUACGAAUACGGAAUAUACAUAAUAUUGCAUAUAAUGGCCGACCUAAUAUUGGAGAUUGCUCAAGGCCUCAAAGAGUUUUAAAGCUAACUUCUAGAGGAUUUUUGUUGACUCUUUACAUUAACAAACUAGAUAUGAGAUGAGAUGGGCACUAUUUUCUAAUCUUGUUUGAAAUCGGGACAACUACCUGAUUGGUGACUUACAGAUUUAUUGCGAAGUAUGAGCACUCUCUUGUGUAGAAUAAUGGUUACAAACAAAUUAAAAUUUUACAGUUUAUUUAAGUUUUUUUUUUUUGUUGAGAGAUCAGACUCUCACAUCAAAAGAGGUAUAUAUGUCCACUCAUACUGAAAGGCAAUGUUGGUCCUAAUCUCUGAAUUGGCCUUUCCUCUUUGGUAAAAACUCUCAAGUUCAAUUAUUCUAUUUUGUGAAAAGCCACUAAGUCCUAAAUUGCUAUAACAUGUUUUGUGAAACAUUUGACCGUUUUGGAAAAAGUUAUUAUCAUGAUUUUUUUAAAUAGAAAGACUAGUUGAAAGUUUUGUCAACAUGUAAAAGCAUUUAUAUUUGACGGAAGAAAAUAAUCUGUCUCUUGUUUGAUAGAUUUUAAUUUUUGUAGUAAGUCCAAAUAUAACGUCAUAUUAGUGCAUGCCUAAACUUGACAAAUUGUACAUUAGUGCAUGCCUUAGGCUGAUUUUAGAUUAGGCGCCGGCAGAUAUUAAUGAAUAUUAAGUUGUUAUCUAACUGAGAGAAAUUCGAUCGAUAUGAGCGAUAGUAUGUAAUAGACUAUAUUUUUGAACAAAUGUAACAAUACAUUUCUAAAACGUGGUCAUUUAAUUAAACAAAAAUAACAACUAACGAAGUAGACAUUGCUUACAGCAUCUAACUGUGUCAACUGUCAAGGGAUUAAUUAGACAAUGUUACGCUAAAAAUUGGAUUAAUUGGACACAAAUUGAUCCUAUUCGUAAUAAUGGAUGACUAACUGUUAUAGGAAAUAGUUAAUCAUUACUCUUGCGAAAUCACAAUAUACAAAUACAAACAAUCAAAUCCAUAAAAUGCAAGGUUUUGAAUUUUGAUAUUUAUCUAGCUUAUUUUGAUAAUCAUCUAGCUUAUUGGAAUAAAUGAUAUGCGUCUCAAUAUGUUUUCAAGAAAAAAAAAAUUGUGCAUAGUUAAUUAUAAAACCAUGUACUUUUUUUGUAUAAACAGAAAAUUCCGAAUGCACCAGUCGUAUGUACAAAAAUAAUAAUAUUUCAUUUUAUAGUUAAUACUCAAUGUUACAAUUGCUAUAAAGAAAAUAGUGCUUUAUUUUUGACAAUAGUGUUAAUCGGAGUGCGUUGGCCUCAACAAAACGGAAGGCGAGAUAUCACGGCGUAUUAUUUUAUUUUCAUUUAUGUGGAUGCUAUUUAAAGCGGGCCUACUUAGCCAGAUAUUUUAUUUUGGCGUGAAGAUCGUAAAUUGAACAACGAAAUGUUGGCUUUGGUCCUCCAUUAGUAUCUUUACACAAUUAGAAAUAAUUAUUGUUCUAAGCAUAUUUAAAAGCACGACUUAAUAAUUAGUACAGGACUUUAGUAUAAUAAUUUGGUGCGCAAUUCGUUGCCAUUAAGUUAACCUUAUAUAUUCGCAUGGCCUUGUGUUGGUACUUAUGUUAAACCAUUAUGUUAGUAAUUGACCGAUUAAUUAAUUUGUGAUAACUUAUAUAUCCGAAUGAAAAAAACAGUAGAAGAAAUAUAAUAAUACUCCUGAGGUGUCCGGAAAUGCCUAAAUCAAACAUUGAGGUGUGACGGGAAGCUGUUACCAUGUGUGGUAUGGAUGUCUUAAAUCCUGGCAUGAUGAUGUUUACAUAUAGGUUUUGAUUCAUAUAUAUGAAGUUUUGCGAUCUUUUCUUUCUAGAUUUCUUACACCGAUGCUUGCUUAAUUACUUUGUCACAUGUGCAUGAGACCGAUGGACUUGUUCCAAACAGAAAACGAAAAUGUAAUUGGUCUUCUUCGUCGCAAUUAAAUAAGUUUUAAAAAAAAAACAUAUUUACAUCGAUGGCACUACAGAAGGCCAUAUUCUGAGAUGUUAUAAUGCGUUUUCGUCCAUGAAUGAAUGUGAUUAUCAAUUCAGUAAAAAAAGAAAAGAAUGUGAUUAUCAAUUCAUACAAUAUGAAGGUACCAUAUGAGCUAGAUACUCCUAUAUAUAUUGAUUAGAACUGAAUUUAAGAGCAACGUCUUCUCGCACACAACGCAGUUCUUUUAUCCAACAUGAACUUCAGCAUAGCUAAAGAAGUAUAUACAUUGAGAUCACGCCAAGCAUAGAUAUGGACAUAGAUAUUUUGAUCAUACAUAUAUAUGGAUUAUGGAUAUAUGUACUGUGACAAGUCAGUCGUAUACGGUAUGGAUGAAAUAAUUUGAAAGAUUGUGCACAUGCAUUUAGCAAAAAAAAAAAAAAAAAAGAUUGCGCACAUGCAUGCAUGCAUGACACUACGAAUUGGUCUAAGUAAUCUCCUUCUGUCCACAUCGUAUCGACAUAUCAACUAUUUUGUAUACAGCACUUUUGCAUUAUUCAUUCUUUUAGUAUAUUAGGCGUUUUCCCCAUGUCUACUUUAGUUUUCGAAUUUAUCAAAAUUCAAAGUUUAUAUGACAGAUCCUUUGAAGAUAAUGUAAAUAACUAAAAUUUCAUAUCCUCCAAAAGUUUACUCGGGUAUUAAAAUAUAAAUAGGGUUAAACAGUUAAAAAAUGGAGAAGAAAAAUAAGGGAAUAAAUCCCAUACAAAAAAGGAGUAAAGUUUAUUUAAUAAGUUCGUAUUAUUUUUUGGUAGGAACAUUGAUACAUCAAUGCAAAAUAUCCCUUACAUUAAUUAAUGUACAUACGCGUGUGGAAGUGGUCUAUAAGUGAGGUAUCUAAGCGCGUGUGGGCGUGCGUUUGUACAUCUUUCGUAAAUAAGAUUUCAUCGACGUACAAAUUGAAUUCGUUUUUGGUUAAAAAGUAAAAAAUGUUUAACAUAAAUAAAAACUAAUAAUUUAAAGAGAGUGGAGGAACAACGGCCCCAAGAUUUUAUUUUAAGAUUGACGUGAUUGCGACGUGUCGCUUGCUUGUCUGCUUAGUGGGUCCACAUCCAUUGCUCCUUGCAAAAUUCAUCUGAACUUUUUUUUUUUGGUAAAAAAAUUCAUCUGAACUUCACUUAUGUUUCUCUUUUGGAUAUUUUUAGUUGGAUCUGUAAUUUAAAUUUAUUUACGUAAGUUCACAUGUUUUUAACAAAUUGGAGAAUGUAUUAUGAAUUUUAUCUAUUUACCGAAGUUCCUCGCUAUAAAUCUAUAGACUUUGGUUAUCGGUAUUAGAAAAUCAUUCAAAUAUUAGAUGAAGUGCCUUGGUAAAGCUCCUUUCACAUGGAAAGCCAACACACUAAAUAUUUAAAAAUUACAUUUCUCAGGAGAAUGCAUAGUAUUUGUUUUAAAUGUAUAGUAAUUUAAUAACUCAAAAUUUAGCUAUACCAAAUCUAUACAACAGAAAAUAAUAAAAUAAAGAUGGUGGAGUGUGAUAAUAAUUGAAGUUACUGUGGACACUUUUAUUUAUUUUUCUCCUCUUGCACUCAUUUUCUUUUAAAAAAAAAUUCGUUUUUCACAUUUAGUGAUAAUACAUAUGUGGACUUUAUAUGGAACACCAAAAAAAUCAUUUUAGUGCUUGGUUCUUCUCUCUUUCUCCAUCUCUUUCAUCAAUGCUAUCUUUCUCUCUCUAAGAAACCAUUUUCUUUGUUUUGCCAAGAAAACCCAUCCAAGGUUUGUAAACUGUUUCUCCAAAAUUUGUUUUCUUGUUCUUUGUCUAAAGUUUGUGAAUCUGGUGUGUCCUUCUUUCUUCAUUUUGAUCUUCUGUUCUUCUAUCCAACUUCAAGAUCCCAAAUCUUGAAAUGUUUUCAGAUGUAUGUGUGUAUAUGAGAUUUAUGAGUAAAGAUUAGAUUUGUUCCUUUUACUUCAACUACUAGAUCUAUUUGUAGUCAUCCUUUUUUCUAGCUGAUCAAGAUUCUUCCCCAUGUCUUGAUUUUCCUUUGAUUUAAUGCCCUCAUAAUCUUUAGUUUCAUGAAGACCAUAUGAAUUCUUAACUUUGAUCUAAUCUUUAUAUAUUUUGGUAGCUUCUUUAUCUUAUGGAUGUCUUACUUCACUUUAUCCUCUUAUGAUACCCUCAACAUACAAUAAGCUCACGAAUUAGAUUGGUAACUGAAACUUUUUUCUGAGAAAUAAAGAAAUCAGGCUCUUUUGCGUGCGAAUAAUUGUUUCUUUUUUUUUUGUGAUUACACUUCAUCAAAUCGUUACAUGUAUACACUUCAAAAUAUACCAACUAAUCCCAACUUAUAUUUUUCACAUGAAAUAACGUUCACUUUUUUUUUGCUCUUCUGGGUUUCUUGGAAUCACAAAUCUCAACAAGUUUCAUAAUCUUAGUUUACGUGUUGUGUGUAGAUCGGACAUAAACUGGAGAUGAUAAAAGAAGAUCUAGUGUUAUGCUGAACUAUUUGGGAAGCGAAGAGGCAGAUAGUAACAGUGGAAGAAUCAAAUGUUCUUGUCCACUGAGAACCCACCACAUGACCCACUUUCAUCUUCUUCUCCUGCUACUUCCAGUUUAUUACAUCUCACCACUUCUUCACAUGAGUUAGGUCAAUCCCAUCUCCAAAACUUCUCCAUCAGGUAAAUUAAAAACUUCUACUUUUUUUUUUAUUCUCUGAAAGUCUUUUUUUGUUUUCUGGGUUUCUUCGCCAAUAUGGUUUUCCCCCAGACAAAAAAAAAGUCUCUUGAUUUCGUGAUGGGUCAGUCUCAAAUGAUCAAAAGUGUUGACCUUUCUUCCUUCUUCCUUAUAGUAACUAAUGGGUCAGUUUUAAAUGAUCAUAAGCUAAAAACUCAUCCUCAUAGCUAGAUCAAAAGUUUUGACCUUUCUUCCUUCUUCCUUAGCUUUUUUGAGACUUGGAAGUAACUAACGUCGUUAUAUAUAUGCUUUGAUGCAUGCAGAGAUUACGCGUAUAGUAACAGAAAGAACAGCAUCAAGAACAGCUGGCCAUUUUCUCCUAAAAGUCUCCAAAUUUGUUCAACUCAUGGCGUAACUGAUCCUUUGCCACCGUUUGAGACAACGGCUAGUUCAUCGUCAGGGAAGCAGAUCGUAUCUCAUGUCCAUAGAGGAACUGGUUUGGCUAAACUUGGGCUAAAAGGAGGUUGUAGCCAAUCAAGGGUCAUCAAGAAUGGUUUUGGUACGAGUACAAGUGUUUCGAAGUCUAAGGUAGAGAUAGUAGUAGCUGGUACAAGUAAUAACAACAAGAACAGUAAAAAGUGUGGACGAGGAGGAGGAGGAAUGGUGAAAUCCAAAGAAGAUACUUGUGGUGGUGGCCUCGUGAUGACGACAACAUGUCCUAUUUGCAAAACCUUCUCAUCAGCUUCCAACACUACUUUGAAUGCUCACAUCGAUCAGUGUCUGUCUGCUGAUUCAGAACUGCCACCUGUUAGUACUUAUAAGCCAAACAAGCAUAGAGUUGAUCAGCGUCUGUCUGUUGAUUCAGCCGUGCCACCUGUUAGUAGUACUAAGCCAAACAAGCCUAGAGUUAAUCAGUGUCUGUCUGUUGAUUUAUCCGUGCCACCGGUUAGCACCAAGCCAAACAAGCCUAGAGCUAAGCCACAGAUGAAAGUUAAAACGAUGGUUGAUAUUUAUGCUUCUGCUAAAAGAUGCACGUUAGAAGAUCUUGACAAGAGAAAUGGAACUACGUGGGUGUCCAUUUUGAGUCACACGAAUCGAGUUGUUGCUGAUAAAGUGUCCAAGAAGCGGAAAGCUUCUCCUGUGGGCGUUGGUCCGGUUUAUAUCGAUGCCAAGGGUCAAAAACUGCGGAUUCUAACAGAGUUCAGCGAGAAGAAGACUUGUACUACUACUACAUUGAGAGAGCAGCAUGAGGGUGGUAGUAGUGAAAAGAAGAGUUCAAGCCAAGGUAGUAAAGAAAACAGUAAAAGCUUGAGGAAGAGACGUCUGGGAAAGAAACAUUACAAGUAUCUUAAACUAACCAAUCUCAAAGCCAAUAAUACAUCAGAGGUAAUAAAUAAUAACAUUAGUUUCUGUAUCUUUUGUUUUUGUAGUGAGGUUCAUGAAAUAACAGUACACUACUUUGUACAGCAGGUACCAGAUUAUCAAAGAGUGUUUUGCGGAGAAGGUAGCAGCAAGGGUCAUCGUAGAAUCUAUAACCAGCGGAUGUUAUCAAAACCUGGUCUGGUUUCAAAGAGGCUAAAUGAGAAAGGACAUAAACUUUAUGAUUUGCGGGAUCAGCCAUCUGAGGAUGAUGAUGAUUCAUGGUCAGGAGGAGAGCGUCUUGUGUUGAGAGGUACUGAUUCAUCCCCUUUGAAGAAACAGAAGGAAGUCUCUGGAAGGAAUAAGGCUAUGUUUGGGAGUAAAGGAGCUCAAAGUCGUUCAUUUAGAGUUCAGAUGAGUGAAAAGGAGGAGGCAUCACUUGCAGUAGCUCAUUUAGACACCCUCCAAGUCAAGAAGAGACUUGCUUCGAUUCAAGAAAAUAAGUAUCCACUUGGAAAGAAUGUCAGCGAGGUUUCUCCUCGUGCAACUAGCAUGAGAAAGGUGUCCCCACAAUUCGUAGCAAAUGGCUGGAGACGACUAUCUCUGCCUGUGGAGCUAAAGAAAGCUCGGCUGGAUUCGUCUGAGGAAGAAGAAGCUGGAAAAUGGGAAUCUGAAAUGACACAAGAACGUGAACUCUCAGAUGAUGAUUAUGUUUCUGGUUAUGAUGAUACUCCUUCAUUUGAUGAUGAUGAUGACGAAGAAAGUAGUGAUGAGGAGGAUGAAGAUAAUAGCAACAACAACAACAGUAGAGCCAAUGUGUUGGACAAAAGCAAUGAUGCUACACCUAGCGAGAGAGCAAUGUAUUAUUACUCUGAAGAAGUUGAGGAAAUGAUUUAUAGGCAAACCACUUGUGAUGAAGAUGUGAGGUUUGAAUCUGAGGUGAGAGGAAAAGGAAGCUUAUUUGUAGAGGUUGAUACCAUUCCCAUUCCAGGACCUCCUGGCUCAUUUCUACCUAGUCCCAGGGACAUGUGUUACGAUGAGAAUCUUGGAAACUCGUCUGUUAUCACAAGCCAGUUCCAUUCUUUCGACAGAAACUCAUCUGAAUCACCUGUUUCUGCUGUUUCAAACGUUGCAGCUGGUAAGUUGAGUUUCCCUGUGGAGUUAUCUUCUUCCUACACGACAACACCGAUGAGCUUUUGUGUUCCAUCUCAUCAUGAGACAAUCACCGAGGCUGAGCUGAUGACUGUUGGCAAGACAGAACCACCUCCAAGACUUAGAAGCAACGAUCAUGAGUCUUGUUGUUGUUGCCAGAGAAAAGAGAGAAUCUCUGAGGGGAUUGCUUUGAAGCAUCAAACAUCUCAUCUACUGCAGAGAAGAGGUGCUUCUUAUUCGUCACAUUUGGAUACAACAAAUCAUCCGUUUGAGGAGUCACCGUACAUGAUCCAGCAAGACUUAGAACUUCAGAGUAAAUUCUCCAGCAGAGCUGUUGUUGUGCCUCCAAGUCCUAACCCGGUUUUGCGGUUGAUGGGAAAAGACCUGAUGGUCAUGAACCAAGGAGAAGCAGACAAGGUAGAAGCAUCUCGGGAUAGCUUAAAACCACCCACUCAGUUUCUUGAUUCUCUUCAUUGCCCAGCUGGAACCGGCUUAUACUUCAACACAGGUCUCUAUUUAAGAAACAGUUUCGAGUCAACACAUCAUCAACCACAGACACCACAAGCACAAGCACAGACACAAACACAAGCUUCACCAGUCCGACACAGUUUUGAUGAUCAUGUAAGGUACUUUUCUCCGAGCUAGUCAAUCCAAUGUAAGAGUUUCGGCCUUUGUGUCUGUCCCUUUGUGUAGUUAUGGACCUUACGGUUUACAUUAAGAAAAGCAGACACUUGAAAAGAACAAACACUCACUCUGUAGAAGAUAAAAAGUAACUUUAAGCUUUGAGAAGCUCAACAAGUAAACUUGUAAGUUUAUAUAUAAGGUUUGGCCAUUGUGGUAAGAACAACAUGAUUCUUCCACAAACUUUGACUGUGAAUUCAGAUUUCUUUUUCAAAUAUAGAGGGGAAAAGAAGAUAAAACUAAUUUAAAUAUAAUUAAGUAAAGCUCUUAUCAAAGGCUCCUUGAGCAAAAAAAAAAACAAUACAAAGUAUUCACUUUAGUUUCGGGUUUAGAUAAGUUUCGAGCAAAAACACAGUUGAAUCUGUAUCAAGAUCUAGAUAACUUUACGCUUUCAUAACAGAUAAAAGUUCAGUCUUUCAUGAGCUCAUUGAGAGAUAAAUUGCCUUGCAUCUGCAGUUUUCGGAUCUCGUUUGCAAUCUGAAUACAGUGAGCUGCAACAACAAAAAACAAAAGAAUGCAUGCGACAAAAAAAAGUGUGUCAAGUUUUAAAAUCAAGAAGAAUGAAUCUAAGAAAUCAAGAGCACGUACGAAGUAUCAUAGUAGAAAAAUUAUUCUUGAAGAAGAGAAGGCAUUGGCUGAGAAUGAACCUCAUAUGACGCUGUCAAGCCUUGAAGAAGCAAAAACCAAAGCUGAGAAUCUAAAGAAUCAAGCUCAUGAUAUACAAAAAACCAUUGUGUAGAGAUCACAGAGAUCCAAGAAGUGAAAGGUUUCAAGAAGAGUGUUUAAAACCACUUCAUGUCUUCUUCUACAGUUAGGCUUGAUGUUUAUGCUGUUCAAUUUUCAGUUAAUUGCCAGUGGAAUAGAUUGUUGUACCCACAUGAAUUUUGUUCUUUAGUGUGAUAUUGCAAUUAAACGCAACGAGUUAUACGGUUAAUCAUCCAUUAUUCACAAAAUAAAAGAAACAUCUGAUUACACACUAUUUAUGGAGAGACUAUCUGUUUGAAAAGAAGAAAAAUAAGAAAGAUGAGUAACAUAGUUUACUUCUUGGAACUUUGGUCAAAAAGACUCCACCAAAUUACAUUAAAAACCAAACACCAAGAAACUAAAAUUAGAACCAAAAACCAAAAGUAUUUUUAAAAUUUUCCUCUAUACCAUAUAUACGUUUUCUUAGAAUCCUUAUCCUUCGUUAGGUGGCAACUCAUUCAAGUCAAACUCAAAUUUCUUCACUUCUUGCACUGUCUCUGUUACUUGACUAGAAGAAGCUGCUGCCGGAGCGGUUGGAGCAGCGGUUACAGCCUCACUAGAAACUGGUCCAGUCCAAUGGCGUCUCUUAUGACCUCCAAGAGCUUGACCUGUUGGGAAACUUUUGUGACAAAUGUCACAAACGUGAUCUCCAUUAUUACCACUGCUUAAAGAUGUGUUUGAUGCUUGAGCACUAGCUAAACCAGUUAUCAUGGCUUCGGUUCCAAGUAAUAAAGCUUCACUGUUUGCCCUAGCUUGAUGACUCUCCAAAACUUUGACCUUGUUGUGACUUGCUCUAUGACCUCCUAAAGCUUGAUAAGAAGUAAACGACUUGUUGCAAGUCACACACACGUGCUUCUCACGUGCACCACCACCUUCCUCAGCUGCAGCAGCAACAUCCCCAAGCUGAUGAUGAUGAUCAUGAGUAGAUGAUGAUGAUGAUACCUUCUCUAUCUCAGAUAAUCUUCUCUUCUUCUUCUUCAUAUCUUCGGCAGAGUGUGAAUCAGAAGUCUCAGCAACAUCGAGAUUAACAGCUUCCGCAGUAGUAGCUAAGAGCAUUAGAUCCUUAGCAUCAAUGUUAUCAUAACCAUCAUCAUCAUCAUCAUCAUCAUCAUGAUCCGAGCUUGUAAACUCACCAACAUGAUGAUCAUCAAUAGAGAGUGUAGAAGAGGAUGAAUUACCAAGUGGAUGAGGAGGAGGAGGAGGAGGCAAAACUCCUUUCCAUGUUCUGUGUGGAUGAAACCUCAUGUGUCCAUAUAAAGCCUUCCUUGAUGUAAACUUCUUAUGGCAAACACUACAAUCAAUUUCGGAUUCACCAGACUUGUUCUGAUUUUCGAGCACAUGAAUUCUUUUAUGACCUCCUAAAGCCUUACCAGACAUAAACUGUUUACCACAUUCAGAACACAUAUGCUUCUUCUCUUCUUCUUCUUCCACAUCUCCUUCUAGAUCUAUACUGUUAGCUCUAUCAUCAUUAUCUUCUUCCCUUAGACUGAUACUUUUAGGUUCUUUCUCAUCAUCUUCAGCUUGAUCUUUUUCUAUGUCUUUUCUCUUUUCAACUAUGAAUCCAAGUGAGGAUCCACAGUCGUCUUUGUAACACUGUUCCAUUGCUUUCGAAGCUUGAACCCACCCAAAAAAACUAAGCUCAGAAUCUCUCGCAGCUCUCUUAAACUCCACAAGUCGGAUGUGAUUGCAAAAACGCUUGGGACCAAUAAAGUAAAUAUUUAACCCUAAUAUUUGAAGACGGGUGUACUAAUUAGAAUUUAAAGAGAUAAGUAGUGAAAAUACUGAAAACUUUUUUUAUGUAUUUUCUUAUCUCUUGAUACCUUUGAAUCACAGUCAAAGAUUUUCUUUUGAUGCAAGGAUAUCUCAAAUUAAAAAUAAAACCAAAUAAAUGAAAAUCCAAAUAAAGACUUGAUUUAGGGUUGUUAUUGCCUUAUUGGUAGUGAUGAUAGCUGGCUCAAAAUUGUUGUAUUGGCUUAGAGGUAUUGCAUGUUUGCCAGGACUAGUAGGUGCAGUGUGUAGUGUCCAUUAUUUAUUGUCCUCCCUUUUUAACAUUAAAAGGUUAUAUUAAUUUAAGUGUCCAACGGGAUAAGAUGAUUACAAACAGAAAUAUAUUCGACGAUAAUACAAUAAGCGAUGAAAACUAAACCAUAAUGAAAACUUAAGAUAGGAGUGGCCAAUCCGUAGAGAAGCUUCAUUUGUAAUCCUAAAGCUUGCGUUCGAAGGAACACAAAGAAGUCAGAUUCAAAACCGAAGUUGAAGAAUCUAUCCAAUGGGUUUUACGGCAGUUGAAAACCGUCUCUAAAUAUAUCAAGAUCGCUAGAGAGAGAGGAGUUGAAUGAUCCUCCAUUAAAAUUCUUUGGUGUAAAAAAGUAAAGCCGAUAAUGCGGGUUCUAAAGAACUCACUGGAGGGGACAAUAGAAAACCAUUUUGAAUAAGUAAGUCUUAAUCUUUACGUCUACAUAUUGUAUUUGCAAUAGCUUGUUGAGACCCCUUGGUGAUUCAUAUAUAUACUAAUCUUUUCACUAUCUCUCCAUCCAGUAUUUACUUCAUUGGUCGAUUUAUAUAGAAGAAGAUACAAUGAGACACACAAAAGUCAUAUGAAUUUUCAAUUAGAAGGUUUUGAAGUUUCCUAAGAUCAAAAGAAUGAUACAAAUAAAACAAUACGUGGGCACACAAACACUCCCUUCCCUCAGGUUGUUACCGGUACAUUGCAUAUAUCUGGCUUACUUCGCCUCAUAACAAUUUAACAAAAACCAACAAAGCUGCAAAAAUGGUCAGCCAAAGAGGAGUAGAAGCGGUGUUGACGGCUGCGUUUACGUCUGCCGCUGAAGCAGGAGACAUAGCGGGGCACUCUAGACCUUCUUUACCUCCUUUGCACUGGUUAGCGAAAAGUCCAGGCGGGUAUUGCCCAUAGAGAUUGAUGUAACUGAACAUAGUGGUAGCACAAUCGUUACUCAGGUCGUUGAGCUGUUCGGUGUAAGGACACGCAAAGUCCAAAAACGCGGAGCAGCAUUCCUUUACUGGGAAUUUGGGACCUUUGCACUGGCUUGUUAUGAUUGUAUAGUUCAUAAACUCAAAGUUCACUGGACAUGCUGUUACCAUGAGAAAAAGAGAAACCAUGUCAAAAAUAAAACAGAACAUUCUUCUCAAAAAAUCGGUUGCAUCUCCACAGAAAAUGCGUAAAGGAGUCAUUAGGGAAUCUUGAUUAGAUGUUUGUAUGUAAAAUGAUUUUAGACUAAUGCCAUGAUCCAGAGACAAACAAAGUUUUGAAGAUCAAUACAAAAAUUUGUAGAGGUUUGAAGCAUUUAUUAAGCCAAACUAUACAGAUAUGACCAAAAAGCAAAUAAUUUGGUAAGCAAACAGAAAUUUAAAAAAAAAAAAAAUCAAGAUUGUAAGUUAUAACUCAAAGAUUUGGGCAAUGAAACUGUAUAGUUUAGGAUCCAUAUAGAAGCAGGAAACGUUACUAGAUACAUCAGGAUUCGUUUGUAUAUUAUUGUAAUAUGGAAGUCUUACUAAGAUCUCAUCUUACUUCAAAUAGAAUCAAUUUAUAAAGGAUCAAAAAGAGUAAUAAAUUGAGGAAAGAGAGAUUUAAAAGAGAACUUACUUUUCUUGGUCUGAAGUAGGUUUCUUCCGGUAACCAAAGCCUGAGAUCCGAACACACCAUCUGCAAUAAAAAGACAAGAAAGUUACCAAAUUAAAUAUUUUCUUCCUAGAGAUUUGAACAUUCGAACAGAUUGAGGAAAUAAAUCUUUUUUAAAAAAUAAAAUAAAAAAUGUACCUGAGAUGAAACUGGAGGAUGAGAAAGAAGGAAAUAUUGUGAGUAAAAGACAGAAGAAAAGAGCUCCAGAGACGAACUUGAGAGACAUGAUUCUUUGGAGUUGCACAAGUAACGAAGAGAUCUGAUAAGAAACAGAAAGACGACUUGGUGGAAGACGAGAUAUGCCGCACCACGAAGAUUGAGAGAGACUGAAAACUAAAACAUUAAAAUAAAUAAAUAUAAAGAGUCUCAAAUAUAAAAAGAGAGAGAGGUGGAUGAGAUAUUAAAUUAUUUAUUUUGUUGACAUUAGAUUACAGGCUUUACUUUACAGCCUAGAAGAACGCGGAAACUAUUUGAGUGUCUGUCUCAUUCUUCAACGUCACGUUCCUAACCGGUGACGUUAAGCGUAUGUAUGUUGUAUAUACGUUUUCUCAUUAAUUCGUAAAUUAUUAUUACAUGACUUAACAGAUUGGGGAGCUAUGCAAGUAAGAUUAUUUGUAAAUGCAAUUAGGUGAGCAAGUUGGCCACUUACUCAACAGUGUUUGAGCUAAUGUAUUCACUCUUUAUCCAUCCACAUCUUUCACAUACCUCAUGCAACACAUGCAAUAAUAUAUUUCUACAUAGCCAUCAUAAACUGAGGUUUUUCAGCUACAAACUUAAAUGUUUAUAUUACUUCCCGCACACGGAAUGUUUUAAAAGAAUUGUUUACAAGAAGUUAUAGGAAGAAAAAAUUCCCAAAUAUCUGUGUGUAGAAUUUUUUUCAUUCUCUCAGUUCUGUAAAUAAAUAUAGUAACAAUAUGUCUCCAUACGGUUAUGUCCCAAAGCUUCAGAUGCAGCAUCGCUUUCUUUGCUGCAAGACAUAAAAGAACAGAGUCUCAACUACAAAUGAACUUGAACAUGAAAAAAAAAAAAAAAUUCAGUAAUUAUAUCAGAUUUUAACUCCUGUAACCAAAAACACAAGAACAUACAAUCACACAAAUAUGAUCAGAUGUUGGAUAUCUUUUUUUAAAAGAUCAAAUAUGAUCAGAUGGUGCAAAAUUUUAUGCUUAAAAAGAAGGAGAGAAAAAGAAACAUUGAGUGAGCUUACUUCUUCGUAAUGAGAGUCAAGCUGUUCUGUGAUCUGAAGCUGUUUUGCUAACGUUAAAUGUAAUACCUGAAACACAUACAACGUAGAUAUGUGUUUAUAUGAUAAAAGCAUUAAACCUUAAUAAUAGUUACAAGGUCAAUAUCAAGAAGUGUACGUACUGAUUGGGUUUUGUCGAGAUCAAGUUCUAGAGACUUGAUUCUCUCGAGAGUUCCAGUUAAUAGCUUCUCAUUUUCGUCCGGGGUCUUUACAGGGAUUCUACUAAUCUCUGUGCAUUCUUUCUCCAGCUUCUUAAGACGAUCCAAACACUGAAGAACAAUCUCUUUGUUUAUGGAUGAAUCUGAGACAUGGACACGGUUAUGUCUUUGCCAGUAUCCGAACAAUAAGAAACUAAAGAGAUCAAAAUAUAGCUUUAGUGGAAAGGCUAUUAGUAUUGUCACCAAGUGAACGAUGUUCACGCCUUUGGUUUUCUCUCUAAGAACACCAAACCGUGAUAUCUGACCACCAUAAAAUGUGACAAUGAUACAUUUGAACAUGCAGUUGCGUAACACAACACUAACGAGACAAAAUAUGAGUGAAAAAGAAACACACCUUCUCUUCUUGAUGUAUUUGUUGAACAAGAGUUUUCAGAGCUCGUGUUAAGUAAUUGGAGUUGAGACCAUUCUCCUUGAGCCGGUUCCUGUGAAUCAUGAUCUCUUACAUGAAGAGGAGCUUUUGUAGUUUGUGGUAUGGGAUUCACUUCCAUGUGAUGUACUAGCUGCAAAACAAGACAAGAUUAUAUCAUAGCUCGACUUAUUAUGACAACUUCAUGAAUCUAAUAAACAAAAAAAAAGACAAACAAGAAUUAGAUGCCUCGGCUAUUUCAGGAUCAUUCCAUGGUCCUUUGUUAGACCUCAAGCACCCUCCUUCGUUAGCACAUGUGCAUACGCCUCCCAAGAAAUCUGGAAGUUGACUGCAUUCCAGAGUAAAUUAUAAUGUUAGUGUAGUAACCAAAACUUGAAUGACAUUUCUCUAUAAAGACAACACUUAAGAAGUGACCCAAAAAAAAAAAAAGAAUUAACCUCGAAUCAAUUGUUUCAAGUAACUUUGACAAGGACUUUGGCUCCAAAACCUGAGUAACACAAGCAAUAAAUUAGUAGCUGUUGACAAUAAAUAGAAGAAUAAACGAUAAUACAUUACUUGUAUCUUUGCAAUAGUCACAGGAUCAAGAAAUUUCUGUGCGGCAGGCCAAAUCAAACUCCUGAAUCCAAAUCCUGCAUUGACAAUGAACAUCCUAUGCAAAGUCUGCAAGAGUCAGAGAACCACGGUCACAAAUUUUUACACCAACCGAAACACCCAUGUCCACUCGGCUCAUUGGCCUUAGACUAGUUACCGAAAGUGUAAUCUUCAAAGAGUUAAGUACCUCAGGGUAAUAACUACAAUCUACUUUAGCAAUAGAGGACAGGAGAUUUGCCGCUGCAGGACUAAAGUUCUUCAUACCCUGAGAGUUACCACAAGAGAGAUGUUAAUAAAUCAAGAAAAAAAAAACAUUUCAUGACACUUUUUAAGAGAAUCUAUAUAGGAGUUUACAUACCAGGCCAUCAGCAUCAAGUAUUGUAGUCGUAGUAGUGACACGUCGCUUUGCAGCGAUGGAACAGGCAGGGAGCUUCUGUUGAAGAGCCUUUUCGAAUUCUUGGACAUGGUACUUCAAGUACCGGUCAAUGGUUGUAACAUCCAUAAGCUUACCGGGGUGAGCUUUUCCUAGUCUCUCGAUAUAGAUAGGUCUACCAUCUUUAUCAACUCCAUGGUACCCUUGAGGAUAGUACAUUGUGACUUGGUCCAACUCAUUGAAAUUGAAAUCCUGUUUUGAGCAAGCAAGAAAGCCAAAAAAAUUUAUUAACUUUCUUUAACAAUAUAGGACCAUAUAAUAUCCCCUUUACUUUACCUGUAUAAUAUGAUCUGCUCCAAAUUCAUUCCUCCAUUUGAGCAUUUCUUCCCAUGCAGUGACGGUUUUGUCGAUGUUGAAAUCCAUUGUUUUCAGAAACCUAGCUAGUGUAAACAAAGAUAUUAGAGACACAGCAUCAAAGACAAAAAACAAAAAAAAUUCACUACUAGUUUACCUCAAAAGCAUAUGAUAAUCAUCAUGCCUUGGAGGCAAAGAAUGUUUGUUAAGAAGCUCUUGGCGCAAUUUAAGAACAAUCUUCUCAUCAUUCUCGUCCCUAACAUCUUCAAUGGAACAGCUUAUGACUUUCUUUGCCGGACUCCCAAUUCUAGAUCGUUCAUCCUCUGAAUCUGAUAACUUGUCUAUUGUAUGUCCACAACCUCCUGCAAUAUUAUAUGUACAUAGUGCAAAAAUGAUGACCAUAAAGUUUCCGAUGAUCAUAUUAUUUUCAUUAAAAGCUCAAAUGAAUACCUGACAUGUUUAGAAUCCGUCAAAAACGUCUUGAUACGCUAUUGAAUUCGGCUGUGCCACCGAACUAAAAAGCAAAGAAACAAAUAAUCCUCCGUCUCCGAGAAAUGUAAAUUCCUCGGAAAGGAGCAACAGAGUCCAAGUCGUAAAAUGAAUCCCUACAAAACACUAAACGGUUCCUUUUUAAUUCAGUGUUAACCCUAAAUAGUCGAACUAUCGACACAUUUUUAUUUUAAAAUUAGUAACAAAAUGUGUAACAUAGAUCAUUGCUGAUACCUCUACCCUUCAAAAUAAGAAGUGAAAAAAUAGACGAAGAAGGAACGGUUAUACCACUAAUUAUUAUAACCAACAGAUCUGACUAAGAAUGGAACAAAAUAAAAACUCACAACACUAUGAGGGACAUUGAAGGGAGACAUAGAGCCAGGGAGAGUUGUGGUGGGCAUGGCCAUAAUGGAGCAGAUGUCGUCGUCGGGACUAGACCACCGAGAUGAAGAUGGAGCAGUGAGGCAAAACCGGAAGGAAGAGUGAUUUAGACAAGGAGGGAGGUAAUGGUAAUGAAGUAGGUUAAUAGAAGAAGAAUGGGACAUAUUGAGGUAUAGAUUGGCUUAGGCUUCAAGAUGAAGAAGAGAGCGACUGAUUGUGAGGGUUUGGUGAAGGAAGACGAGAAGCAGUUUUCGUAGCUGAUGCUCUUAACCGUCCUUGAGAGAGAGUGGUGGGUAGUGGGUUUUUAAUUUUUAAUAAUAAUUUCAUUAUUAUAAAAUAUUUCAUAUUUGGGUUUCUGCUAUGAUUUGUUGUUGUUUGAGUACAAGGGAGAUUAUGAUUUUGGCUCACUAAUCAUUACGUAACAAUUUUCAUAUCUAGUUGUAGGAUUAAUGUGUAAGCAAAAAUAAUAUUUUAAAUGGAUAAUCAUUUAACCUUUACAUACUUUUUUUUUGUUAUAAACAAAAAACAAUCAAUACAUUCUGAGCUCUAUGGUGUCUUUUCUGACAUCCUCCUUUUAUCUUUAGAAUUUGUUGCUGUCUCUUUUCGUUGGAUCCCUCGGGACAAAAACAGAAUCGCAGAUAGCCUAGCAAAGCAAGCUCUGGCCUCAGAGGCUUUUGUAAUGAACUCAAGUUUAAAAUGCAAGUUUGUGUUACAAAAAAAAAAAAAAACAUUCUGAUCUACCUUGUUCUUAAAUAAAUGCUUCUCCACACUGUAUAGUACCAGAGUAAUAAUGAUAAUUUGUAUCAAAUGAUAUCAUCUCAUUUGGAAAAAUGAAAUGCUAUGUGAUGAAAGGAAACAAAAUGUGAACAAAAAAAAAGGAAAACAAAUUACCAUUGUUAUUAACUUUUAAGCCAAGAAAGUAAUGGAAGUUCUUGAAGGUUUUUCAUUGGUUCUUCUAUGUACUUCUACAUUUUUACUUGGUGUAUAAAACAGAAUUGAUAGCAACCCGAUGAUGAUCUACGUUAAAUCUAUAAAACAAAAGAAAGAUGUACAACAUGAAGAAUUACAGGUAAGAAAAUCUUGAACUCUGGUGAUGGAACUACCUAUGAACAGUGUACCGUGUUAUGAUCUUCUGCAAUAAUUGUGUAUUGUUUUUUCUUGUAAAACCUUUGUGGCUUCUCUAUGUUCACUAUUGAUCCGUCCAAUAUAGUUUUGCAUGCAUAGAAGGAGCUUAAAGCUACUUCUUUUGGAAAGUUACCAUACAAAAGAACGCUGCACAGCGGCUCAAGAUGCCGGUUAAUGUCAGGAAGAUGAGGCAACGAGGGAAGUGCUUGAUGUUGUAGCCAUUCUCCAUCAGUGAUCCACAGCGAGUGAUAAGCCAGACUCCUUUAUAUCUGAAAUAUUAUAUGGAAUAGUAAACAACAUGCAGAGAUGUAAUAGGGAGAGAUUAAGUUUGCAAACCUUUGAGCGUUUGAUACCACAAAUGCUUCAAGAGCCCAUCUCGUGUAGCACAACUCUGAGAUUGACUCUACAAUUUUGUUAUCGUUUGUACUGGUGGCUAUUAGAGUCAGAACCACAGGAAGCAACACUGACCACUGCACAAAGACUAAUAAUGUGAAACAAAGCUUUCUAGAUUUGAGUCUUUAGUAUUGGGCACUUACCAGUUGAGCAGGACCAGGUUCAAAAAGUAUGGCCAGGGCAUAAGCUAUGCCAGUUACACAGUAGACAAGACAGAUUAGGACAAUGUAGUUGUCUCCAACGGACGAUCUUGGAUUGUUGAAGAAGUAGAACAUGGAGAGAUAAACGAGAGGCUUGACAAUGGUAUUGAAGUGAUCAACUGUGUCUUUUGCUAGGAAGUAAGCUAGGCUGCUCAUUCCUGCUCGGCUUUCUCUCCAGUAGUGUAGUUUAUCAAGAGAGAAAGAUCUCAAUGCAGUAAUCUUACAUAAGAGAGCUGAAGAGAAAAAAAAAUGAUAACAAGGGUUAGAAAAAAUAAGCAAUGUUUGUGGUCAGAAGAGCUUGUAAAGUGUCUACUUACAGACAGCAAUGACUGUAUAUGUAUACCCCAUGGCACCAAAAGUUUCAUCACUCACUUUAGCAAGUGUUCCUAAGCAGAUACCCGCAAGCAAAAGUAUUAGGUAAUCUACAGCUAGUGUCCUUGCUUCUCGCAGUCUCUGUUUACCUAACCUGCAAUGCAAGGAAACUGGGUUUAAGAAAGGAUUCUAUGUCAACUGAUUGAUAUUAAUUUAGUAUCUGUACCCCUGCGGAAUCGAACCGAACUGAACCAACCCAACCGACAUUUUUCGGUUUUCGAAUCAUUUCCGGUUUUGAAAUCGGUUCUGUUUGAAAAACUUUUGAAAGUGAUUUUCAGUUCGGUUUGGUUCUCGGUUAGUUCGGUUUUCCAAAAAAAAAAACAAAUUAACCAAAUUAUCUGAAUAUAACCGAAUUAACUGAACUGAACUAACCGAAAUAACUGAAGUUAACCAAAUAUACCUGAAUUAGCCAACAUUAUCUGAGGUGUUAAGAAGUUUAAACCGGAAUCUAACCGAAACAAAAUUUGAUUAUUCUUGGUAAAAUUUUGAAAACCAAAAUUAAGCAAAAAACAAACCGAACCGAAUUUUCCGGUAAGAUUGUGCCUGAACAGAAGUAAUCGAAACUGAAAAUACCCGACUCGAAUAAACCGAAAAAAACGAGGUUGCAGGGCUAAGUAUUUGAGGGGUUUACCUUCCUAAGAAGUAUCUGAACUGCUGAUACACACCAGGAACUUGUCUUUGAGACAAGUCACCAGAAUUACUGAAGUUGUUCUGCAAGGUAUCUUUCUUGAUUUCAACAUUUGCCUUGACAUCUUGCCAGAACUCUCCAGCGAAAGAUGUUCCAUCAUCUCCCACAACGCUCCCGUGAGCACUUCCACCAUGAGCAGAGUUCUCAGCAGAAGCCAUCCCUUCAAUGCUUUUGAGCAUGUCCGAAGGAACUGGAUACCCAUUAUGAAGCAUCCAUCUAACCGGAAGCUGCUUAUAGGUAACCCCUGAGCUUGUGCUUGGCUUCAGUAUCCCUUCCAAUAUAUCAAUGUAGUAAUCAGGAGGAUUCACACGCUCAGGGACAACUAUCCCAAGGCUUGAAAAGUAUUCUUCAACUUUCUUGACUGAUCCUUGGUAACAUAUUAAUCCACCUUUUGCCAAAAGUAUUAGAUCAUCAAACAUCCUAAAGAGAGUGUAGCUGAAGAGAAAACAAAAGAUAAAAAUAAGAACAAGAUCUAAUCUUCUAAGUAACAAAUGGGAUGAGUGUAUUAUGUUGAACCUUGGCUGGUGAACAACCAUACAGAUAUUCACUCCUUCAAGAGCUUCACGGCGCAAAGCUCUAAGAAGUAACUGAGAAGAUGAACUGUCAAGACCUGAAGUUGGUUCAUCUAAUAUCAGAAGUGAUGGUUCCAUCACCAUUUCAAGACCAACAUUGACUCUUUUCCUCUGACCUCCAGAGAUUCCUCUCUUUUCCACAGUACCAACCAUAGAGUCUCUGACAUGUUGCAGACCUAGUGACUCUAUGACUCUUUCCACAACUAAAACCUUUUCAGGCUUAGGGAGAUCCGCAGGGAGCCUGUAUAUAUAGUUUCAUAAGCUAUGUCUAAAAGAUGAAUUUCAUCAAUGAAAAUGUGGCUUACCUGCAUCUUGCACUGAACCAGAGAUUCUCCUCCACUGUCAAGUUCCCAUGGACUAUGUCAUCUUGAGGCACAAAGCCAAUGAUUCUCUUGUAAGAUUGAAUUGAUUCAACUUUGCCGUUUACUAGAAUCAUCCCAGUCAUGGUGCAACCUGCUGCUUUGCCUGUCAAAGCUGUUAGGAAAGUGGUCUUCCCGGCUCCUGAAGGACCCAUCACAGCUGAAACACGUCCAGGUGAUAGCUUCCCAGUCACACAUCUCAUGAGAUGUUUGUUUUUACCUUUCAGAGUAAUAGUAAGAUCUUUGAAUGCAACUUCAAUGGUUGGUCUCUUUCUUAUCUCAAUGUCAUUAGCCAUAGAGAUGACUCCAGAGAAUGUCAAGUUCUUGUUCUGCUCCUGCAUAGCCUUCUCCUUUUCAAUCUGUCCAUAAGCAUACCUAAACAUCUGGCUCUGCGUAUGCAGUGACUUGCCUUUCGGAGCAUGUUUUUUAAUGUUUUUAUCACCAAUCUCGAGUUUAAAACCUUCAGUGUCUCCAGGGUUUUGUUCAAUGUCUUGUAACAUCUCAGUUAGUUUGUUCUUAUCCUUCUUCUUUCCCUUUUUGGUUGUGUCUGAGCUUCCUCCUGCCAUUGGUGGUAAAGCAGCAUCUGAUCCAGGCUUUGCUUGGCUUAGACCUCUCAUCAGAUCAGGCUGUUUCAUUGAUUUUCUCCUAGAAAAUGUCCUUGAAAAUGAUUGUUGCAGCUCGGUGGCAUGCUUCUUUGCAAUAUCUUUGGCUGAUUUCCAUUUCUCUUGCGUUUGCGUCUCACGCACGCUUUGUACUGCUUUCUCCCUGGACUUUGCUUGCCUUCUUUCUCUUGUAGCAAGCACUUGAUCAGAGCAGUUGUAUAAGAUUAUGAGCAAGAAACCUAGCCCAGCCUACAUAUAUAUAGACAUAAGCCAAAGACUCAAAACUGUUUGGAAAUAAACUAAGAGGUAAAUGAGGAAGAUCUGUUAUGUAUGGCUCACAAAAAGCAUGAUUCCAUAUGCUGUGAUGUUCUGAUUUGUUGAUCUUGGAUUGCAUGUUGCCAGCUUAAAACAAUCUGCAAAUGCAUCAGAGAAAAGAAACGUUAAGUUUUCCUAUACUUGAAACUUAAAAUCAAUUGGCGAUAAGUGGAUUCAUUCAAGUCCUCAUGUCUCAUCGAAACUCCCGUUGUAAUAGUAACUAAGAGGAUCACUCACUUUUUUCAGCAGUAGAACCUGUCCUGCAGAAAUGUCUGGAGAAAACAGAAGAUUAGUUUUAUCUGAUGAAUCUCAAAGCAAGGUUAUCAAAAUAAUUCUUACCCUCUAGUACAAGGAAGCUUGUCAAUAGUUGAAGGACAAAAAGAUCCAGCUGAGCAGAAAACUUCACUGCUACUAACAAUAUCAGCCCAUAUAUCAGCACCACCACAAGUAUGAUUUGGCUGUCCUGAAGGAAGCUGGUAAUGAUAUCUGCAAACACAACAAUCAUGAUUCUAGUCUUUACAUACAAAACAAAACGUAGAGACAUAAAAGUGAAAGAACAAGACAUACGGGUCGCAUAGUCCUGUUGUUCUGUUCAGCUUAGCUUCUGGACAAUAAGCUCCCAAAGGACAAGCUUCAUAACAUUGGGAGGUAAAAACAACAUUAUAAAAAAAGGAAAAGAUUCUUGAGAGUUUUGAAUGUUCUGUAACUUACGUAUCAUGCAAGUAAUCCCACGAGGGCAGAAGAAACCUGCGCAGCAAGGCGCACAUUGCUGAGUUCUCACAGGAACGUUUUUAUCGUCUUUAAGGUCAACUUUAACGUCUUUGGCAGUACGACAAGCCCAUCCAGGUUCACAUCCAGACAUCCAUGAAGAUAGAUUGCAGUUUUUGUUCGGUUUUAAGUAAUUAGUAGCUCUCUUUGCACCUCCUAAUAAUCCAUUGAAGUAUAUCCUCACUUCUGCAGCUGUACAUAUCCUCUGCAUCAUGUCACCUAUUCCCAUACCAUAAAAAACAUCAACAAAAAUGUAUAUAUUUAAAUUUCUUUAAUUUGUUGUACCAAUGACACAGAGGACAUGUACCUUUUGUGGUUUUACCACAUUUAUUUAAGAAGCCUGGCUUGGAAGAGAAGUUAAACGCUUCAUUAUAAUCUUCUUUUCUGCAACACACAGGAUUUUUUUUUUUCAUUGGUUUGUUAGUUUUUUUUUUUUGACAAGGAAAACAAUAAGGAGAAGAUGUUAACUAACACAUUGGUGAUGCAGAAACCGAGUUCUCGUUUGAUGUCAUCCUCAAAAACUUCUGUGAGAUUGGAUAUUUUGUCGAAGACGAAUUGGUUAUAGAGGCGAUUGGCUGCUGGAUUAUCCAAGCUACUAUCAUCUUGACAUAUUACUCCUCGAUGAAAUAUAAAGACAAGAGAAACGAAGAACGAAACAAAUGUUUCUUGAAAACAUAACUUUCUCCUUCCCAUUCCAGAGUUUUUCUUGAAAUACAGUGAUACAGAUUUGAGAUCAGGACGGAUCAAGGGAACAUUAGAUUAUUGAUCUGUUCUUGAGAUUCGAUAGAGAAUUAGGGUUUGUUUUGUUUAUUUUUUUUCUUUUGAGGGGAAGAUUGUGUUGUUUUCUUGUGAGUCAAGAAAUAUGGUGGAGAGGAAGACAUGGCGAUAAAUGAGGAAGAGGGAGAAAGACAGAGAAUCGUUGGACUUUCUCUAACUCGUGUUUUGGUAAUAUCAAGUUUUAUCACAACUCAAAAUAGCUUUGGAAUGGCUUUGUGUUCAUGGGAACUGAUGCAAUGUUUUUUCUCAACUUUGAUAAUAUUAAAUAAUACCAUAAUCGUCAACAUCUCAGUCUUUUAAUAAUUAAAAAAAAAUUCUUCAGCUAUUACUAUUUUUUAAUUGAUAAGUUCAAACGAAUAUGAUGUGUUUGGUUUCAAAUAAUGAACUUAAUUUUAUAGCCAAAACACUUCUUCAUCUGUUAGAAUAGGAUAGGUCAAGCAAAAAUGUAUCCUUUGAAUAAUAGCCAAAAGAAAAUAUGGUAAUAUUAUUGAAACAAAGUAUGUAAACUUAACAUGUGUUUACUGUGCUUUCACAAUUAAAUAUGGGGUGGUGAGAUUUGUUUCAGAUUCGAUCCUACUUGUUGAGUUUUAACAAUUUCUGCAUUUUUGAAUAAGUGGGUCUUUUAUUCAGUUAUAUCAUUACUCUUAAAGAUAAGUGUUUAUUUAGCUUUACAUUUGUUCACCGACUUAAUAAUCGAUUUAUUUUUUAUGAAAAUAUAUGAAAAUUUUCAAUUGAUUUAUGAAAAAUAAUCGCUUAUGAAAAAGAUGCUAAAUUCACAUUCGUUACGGUUAAAGAUAAGUGUUUAUGAAAAAUUCAAAUGAUUUUGUAUCUAUUUGUUAAAUAAUUUUCUUUUGCAAAAUUCAUUUAAUUUUCUUUUCCCACAAUAACAAAUUUCUUAUAGUUCGUCAACCCAACCUAUAGAUUUAGUUCAGUUUCUUUCUAAAUUUGCUUGGUAUAAAAAUUAAAAACUAAGCUAAUAGGGUCAUCAAACCAUAAAAAUAGGAGUACGUUUUUAAGAUUUCUUUUUUGGUUAAAGUUGCAAAACUCACCGGACCGAGCUCAUUUGAAUGGUGGCUUAACAUCGAACUCAAUGUUUUCUGUUUCCAUUUUUCUCUCUUUUUCACUUUGAAAAUGAACAAAUAAGCAGCCUACUUCUUGAAUACGAAAGUACCUAAAUCAUAUAGAUAACUUUUUCAGAGAAAGCCGUACUUAUCGAAGAACAAUUCUUUCACUUUACUCGGUUGUUCUACUCUCACGACUUUUCUAGCUGGACAAAAACCAUAAAAGCCAAUAAGAAUCACACACCGUACUAAACCCUGUCAAGACUUGUAUUCUUCAUUCAACACUAUCAAAGAAAGAGCGACUCAUCAUAAUCAUAUAAUAACCAGUUAUUGGCUUUAUAGCAUUGCAAGCUCUCAAAAUGUCUCAAUAUAAAGCUCAUGUACACAAACCAACACACGGCUUAAGAUGAUGAUAAAACUAAUAAAGCAACCAAGCAAAACGCCACACUCUGUUUUUUUUUUCAAUCUUAUUUCUCAUAUUCUUAGACAAUGCGCAAAGUAUUGGUGCGGAUUAUUAUUGCCAAUCAUCAUCAUCCCAUUGCAUACUUCUGGGUCCAGGAUCGGGCGGUGCUCUCGUACUUGACUCGGUCUGUCUUGUAGGUGUGAGCUAUUUCUGGAACCAGAGGGUCAUCAGGGUUUGGAUCUGUCAGCAAUGAACAUAUCGACAGAAGAACCUGUGGAAAACCCAACACCAACCUCUUUUAACACUUAAGCAUAUGCAAAUUGAAGAAUCUAUUAGUCUAUCCACGAAAAUAUCUUCAAGCAAGUCGCCAAUGCAUGAUUAUAAAAUUGGAAACCGGAUGUCAUGUCAUCAAUAUAUUGAUUAUAAAAGCCUUAACCAUAAGUAACUCCUAAUAAAAGAGAUGGCACAUAGAGAAUUACUUGAACCAGUACCAAUAUCAUGACUACUUAGACCACGACCCAAAUACAUGCUCAAUCAUUGGUUCAAAUAAUCACAACAGAGGAAGUGGGCAAAGGCGUGAUGGUAACUAACAGACACACGAACAUAAGAGGGUACGGUGGAAAACAGAAUGACGAGAUUAUGGAACUGAAACAAUGUGAUCACCUUGGAUAUGGUAAGUGCAGGGCUCCACUGCUCUUUCAGAAUGUCAAGACAGAUACUGCCGUUACUGUUGACAUUCGGGUGGUAAACCUUGGUGCGGAAAGAAACCUGCAUCAUAAACAACCAUAGAUGAUUGAACACUACUCGCUCUAAGCAAAAGGGUGGGUGAUAAACUAAUUUAGUUGAGCUCCAGGAAUAAACAUAACAAGCAACUACAGGACAUUUUUGGUACCUUUGGUGGCUUGAAGGGGUAAUCUGGUGGGAAGUGAAUGGAAACAAGAAACACACCUCCGGAGAAUGGGCUAUCAGUUGGGCCCAUGAUAGUCGCUUGCCAGUGGAACAUAUCAUCACCCACAGGACCUAAAACAACAUCAUCAAUUUCAUUAUAACCUAAAUAACUCAUACUGUAACUUAUAAAAAAAACACAUUCACUAUCCUAAAACUGAUGCUGAGUUUAAUAAAUUUAGCUACUGAAUCUCUCCAGGUGUGCCUUAGUAAGUAUAAAAGAUCCGAACUUUAGAAUCCAAAAAAAGAAAGCUCAAAGAUUAUAAUAAAAGGUGAAAAACAACAUGAUACUGACCAGCACUGCAUGAGACAGGAGGAUCCCUUUGGAGGUCCCUAAGCUCCUUGUUGAUUCUUUUCGAAGCCAUCUUGAACUGUACUCGCUGCUUCUAGCUACAAAACAAUCCAAGUCUCAUCAAGAUUUAGAAUUUCAAUAAUAUAUAUUACAUUUAUAAAACCACAAACACUACACAACAGAGAUUCAUAUAAACUACUAACGAAAAUAGUAUUUAAAAAAAGAAGACUCAUGCAAGUUAGUUAAUCUGGCUGAUGAUACGCCACCUGAAGAAAUCUAUCGAAAUCAAGUGGAUGAUGCAAUCAGAAUCUAAGUGAAGAUGUUGUUAUUAACUAAAGCCGAUCAGAUAUGCUAUUGAUCAAACAGAGGCAAAUCAUCUAACGAUUCAGGAAUCUUAAACAGAAACUGCGAAUCUGCGGAACAAGUACAUGGAUCGACGCAAAAAGAUUCCGAAAGAAAACAAAUCGAGAGAGGAGAUAAAAAAAGAGAUCUACGAAGAUGAUCGGUGAGCUGGGAAACGAAUGAGAACCCGAUGAUCAGAUCGAAUCGAGAUUUUUGGUUGAGAACUAAAUUGCGACCUUACCUACCUUACGUAGGGUUUUGAUUUGAUCUUCGGAAAAUCUCAAGAGGUUGUUGAUUCGAAGCAUUCUUUUCGCUUUAAAUAGAUUCCUCUUCCGAGCGCUCAAGCUUUGCCACGUAGCGCGAGCUUGAUUCCGUUACGGGCCCAUUAUGAGGCCCAAUCUGUAAAAUAAUUGAGAUACUUCUAUAUGUUCGAAUUGUGCAAUUAUUUAGGUGGGUUGCCUUUAAGCAGUAGUGUUUAUCAUCAUCAUUCACAUUCAUCCUUUGGAUACCAUUUGAGGGUUCACAGUAUAUAAUAUCUUAUUAGUUAUACUAACUUUUAAGAAUGUUCCAGAUAUCUUAAUAAAUUGACUUUUGAGUUCUGAAUAACUUUGGUAUACUGAAAGAAGCUAUCUUGUAUUACAAGAAACUGAUUUUGGUGUGUUUAUCAAUUAUCAGUUAGCUCCUAUAGUUUGUUGGUAAUGAUCUUUAAAGAAAACCAACGGUUCAUCACUAAACUGGAUGAUUAAUUUGAUUGAUCGACCGAUUUACUGAUCCCAUUUAUAACCGAUUGUUGACUAAUCAACCAACUAAUGGACUAGUCUAUCUUUUUUUUUUUUUAUGAAAAUAGAGCUGAUAUGCAACAUAAAACAUGUCGAUCUCCGUAAUAAAAGGUGAAAAAUACUCGAGAACAGAACAUGAUAAUGAAACAAACUUCACUUUCACGUUUAUGUAUCCCAAAACAUAUUAUCAUUACCAGACAGGCAGACACAUACUAUCAUGAUCUUAUGUUUUUUUCUUUUUCUAAAAUAAAAAAUUCCCAUGGAAACUGGAACUAAACUUCUCAUAUAUAGAGUAAAAACAACAAAAUAAGUUGGCAAAAAACAUCAAAAUAAACUUAAAAAACAAAGCCCAGAGACUCGGAGAGAGAGAGAGAGAGACUCAUCAUGCCUUAUGUUCCUUGAAACGUUGUCAUCUGAUCUCUCUCCAGGUCAAUGAUAAAAUAGACAAAAAAAAAACACAUUCAUAAUCAUAUAUACAGCAACUCUAUUCCCGGAGAAGAGGAUAGAGGUUUGGCCUUUCUGCGUCGAACUGGGAUCGGUUUCAUAUUCCUUGAGAUGUGGGACAGAUCACAACAACAAAACUGUGUUUUGAGGCAUUUGUUGUCUACACUUCUCUUGUUUUGGCUCUCUUCAUACCGAGGCUAUUGUAAGGAGAAACAGAACCGGACAUUGGAGAUCCUUCUUCACGAAGAGCUCCAUUGAGCAAUGCUAGCUCUCUCAGCUGCUGUUUCUUGUAAAAAUCAUGUGUUUCCUCCUGAAAAUAUAAACCAAAGUGUUUUAUAAAAACGAUACUAUCAUUAGCCGGUCUGAAACUAAAAGGGGAAAGAGAUGAGAAAACAAACCAUAGGAGUAAGGAGUUCAUCUAGUACUUCACGAGCUUGCAUGAGACGUGCAUCGACUAUUUCAAUCGGUAACUCAGCUUCGACUAAGAUAUGAAGUGGCUCACUCAAGUGCUCAAAUCCAGGCUUUCCUCUCAUCAUUUCCUCCUACAAGAAGAAAGAUAUCAACUUACUGAACAGUGAACAGAACAUUGGAACAUGGAUACAAAUGAAGUUGUGAAGGAAAAUAACAAACACCUUAUAUUGAUCUUUGAUACUGCCUCUUCCUCUUAUAAGAAAACGGCAACCAGUACUUGCUUCAACUCUCUUCAGGGAGUUUCCUCUAGGUCCCAGGAGGCGACCAACGAAGUUGAACUGUCAUAACCAAACAUGUAGAGUUAUAUUCCACCAAACAAUAUAUAUAUUUAAGUAUAUUCUGAGUGUAGACAUGAGUGUUCAUACAUUUGGAUAAUCGUCAACUGGAAUAUCGAUCCUGAUUGUUCGCUUGGCGAUCAGACCAGACGGACUACCAGGUGAGUUAUGCCAGUUUGGUCCGGGAGACGAUGGAACAGAUCUCUGCAUAUGAUCAACCAACACUAUUUAGAAGCCACAUCAACCUUAAAUCAUAAGCACAUAUUAAUCAACAUGUAGUAGCAACAUCAAUAUAAAAAACAAUAUCUUAGCUUCCUCUCCAUAGAAAGAAGAGUCAAUAUAACCUGUAGCUGCUAUAUCCUAAAUAAAAUGUAUAGAGAGUAAUCACAUGUAAAUGAAAUUAUUAUAGUAAACACUUCUGACUAUCUGUUACGGCUCACGAGUAUAAUGGAGUUUUUAGUUAGUGUUAACCUAAGCAUAUACAGUGUUAGCCCUGUCACAUUAUAAACUAGGACUAAAAGCAGAGUCAAACAUGUUAUGUCAGCAAAACUUAAGUCAAUAAAACAAACUUGUAUCGAAUUAGAUGGAAAAAGGAGUUAUUAUGUUAAUGGUUAGUAGUCAUACUUCUGAUGGAAACUGUGAGGUCCAUCCGCUCAUGUCAGCUCUUGCAUUCUGAUAUAUCCCUCCAGGGUUAGUGUGGUCAAGCCCACUCUGACUUAAAACUGUGGCAUUCUCCAACAGUGUGGUUACACGCAAAAUCUCUGUUCCAAAAAAUGUCAAUUUCCAAGAGCAAGACGCAACAGUUAGAGAUUAGUCAACAAAUAAGUCAGCAGUACACCAAUGAAUGGGGGAUACAUCACAGUUAAUUGAGUUAGCAAAGAACAAUAUUUUUUCUUCACUCUAGUUAAAAAGAAUGACGGAAGUCACUCUAGUCAAAUGUUAACAUGUUUUAAAUCUAAAUUGUAGUCUCUCUGUGAUUAGUAAAAUAUUUACAGUCUAGGAUUAUUGAAACAUUUUGUUAUAUAGUUUCCAACCGCUAACGAUAAUAGCAGCAGGAGUUAAGUGUUUAUCAAUAGUAAGAGAGCUUCAUAGUUAUAAAGUAAGCAAUGACAAUGUAAGAAACAGAAAUGCUCACCCUGGUUCAGUAGGCGACAUACAUGUGGAAGCACAGGCAAGAAUGGAGUAAGAUUACGACGCUCUGCAAGUAACUCUGAAAGAUAGCUGCCAAAACAGAACAUAUCCAAAUCAGUCAAGCCUCAAAGACAAAUCAAACUUAAGGGAAGAUCCACUUUAAAAAAGAUCAUCAUGAUCAAGAAACCAAAUACACUUAUUAAAUCUGAGAUUCAAGUUUACACUCUUUCAGUGAAGUGGAUCUAGUCAUUCUUCUUACAAAAAAAAACUGUGACUUUAACUGUUUCAAUAAGUCAAAGAACAUAAAUCAACAGUAAGAAUAGUCAAUGAUCUAUAAAUCUAUCAUACCACCUGAUGCGUACACGACACUAACAUAAAAAAAAAGUCAGAUUUGAGAUUACUAAUGAGAUCUACGGAUUAACAUCGGCAAAACAAAGAUUAAACAAUAAGUCAUCAGAUUCAUCAGCCACAAUAAGAUUCACAACGUAAAGAAGAAACACACAAACAAAAGAAGAAGUGAGAUUCAAUUACUUCUCCUGCUCAACGAAUACAGAAGACUGUGAUCGGAUCCCACCGGAGUAGUUAGGCGACUGAGGAACAGAAGGAGGAACCGCGAGAGACGACGAAUACGGCAUAAACCUCCCUCCGCCGCCACCGCCACCGCCUCCACCACCACUGAGCGAGGUCAUCAUCAUCAUCUCGAAGGCAAUAACGUUUACAAGGGAUCAGAGCAGAGCUGUCGGAGAUCAGAAGAUGAGGCGGCGGAGUUAGAAAGAUGAGAAGAAGAAGAGAUGUUGUGUCUGUAACGUCGUCGGUGGUCGUUUUAUAUAGAGACAGUGUUGGUACUGUUGAAAUGAUUACUUGCUUAGCUGUUUUUUCACCCUUUUUAAAAAAAAAUCACGUCACUUGCGCAAAUUUUACCGCUCUGGUUAGUUUCUUUCAGAAGACUCUUUAUCAUCUAGAAGGCUUCAAUCCGGUUUACUAAAAUUCGGUUACCGAAUCACUAAAACGCUGCGUUUAAGAAAGCGAAGCCCUGAUCGAUUGUGAAUCUUAAAAAGUUUCUGUCCCUUGUGUACUACUAAAACGCUGCGUUUAAGUUUGUGUUAGCAGUACCAGUUGGGACUGUAUCUAGUUGGAAUGUUACAGUAUCACUAUUUGUGUGGAAAGUUCGUCUUUCUGUUUUGACGUGAAUAUUAGGCAUGAACGUUCGGGUCUUCGGGUCGGAUUUGGAUCAGACCGUUACGGAUCCGGAUCCUUCGGACUUAAUAGUUUAGGAUCCGAUAGGUUAAUUUGAUAUUCUCGUUCCGAGUCUUUUCGAGUCUGGAUCGGAUCGAAUCUUAGAUAGUUAGAUUUAAUAAAGUAAAUAGAAUUUAUCGAUUCGGAUUCGGUUCGGUUACAGAUCGAGUUCGGUUCGGGUCCAGUCCAAAAAAUAUCUAAAACACAUAAAAAAUAUUAAUACUCGAAAAAUAUGAAAAAUUCUAUAUAAAAUCUGAUCCAAGGAAAAAAUAUCCAAAAAUUUAUCUGAUUAUCCUAAUUAUGUUUUUGAAAAUCUAAAUUUUUAUCCAAUACCCAAAACCAUAUUCAAAAACAAAAAUCUGAAACAAAAAUCAUAGUAAAAAUAUUAUUUGUUUUAAAACAAAAAGUAGUAAAUUAUAAAGAAGAAGAAAAUAACACAUUGACCAAAAAGAAGUAAAUGACUUACACCCCAAGAUUAUUGGGCCCAACUUGUUUGAAACUAACAAGUUAAGCAUAAUGGAUCUCAGAAGGAUCUAGAAACCCUAUAACGUUUGUGUAUAUAUAUACGUAACUUCUCUCUUCACUACUUCGCAUCUGCUCUCUCUCUAUUAUUGUACCUCCUUGAUAAACCCUAGAUCUCCCCGAUAAGCAGCAACAAUGGCAGACGCCGAGACUUUCGCUUUCCAGGCGGAGAUCAACCAGUUGCUCUCGCUCAUCAUCAACACCUUCUACAGCAACAAGGAGAUCUUCCUUCGUGAGCUCAUCAGCAACUCCUCCGAUGUAAGUCUCUUUUGCUUUCUCCUGCCUCGAUCUGUAGAUUAGGUUUGAUUACUGUUGUUGUUGUAUCCGAUCUGAAAUAGGGAACUCUUAGCUAUACUGUUGCUAGCGAUUUGAGUUGAAUUGAUUUUGGAUUGAUUAUUGCGAGAUAUAUUGAAUUUUGUGUACGUUCUAUGCGUAAUGUAUACGUUGUUUGCGUUUGUUACUUAAUGGUUCUGAUCUGAUUGUGGUUAAACAGGCUUUGGACAAGAUCAGAUUCGAGUCGUUGACUGAUAAGAGCAAGCUUGAUGGCCAGCCAGAGCUAUUCAUUCACAUCAUUCCAGACAAGGCUAACAACACCUUGACCAUUAUCGAUAGCGGUAUCGGUAUGACCAAGGCUGAUUUGGUCAACAACCUUGGAACCAUUGCGAGGUCUGGCACCAAGGAGUUCAUGGAAGCUUUGGCUGCUGGUGCUGAUGUUAGCAUGAUUGGGCAGUUUGGUGUCGGUUUCUACUCUGCUUACCUUGUUGCUGACAAGGUUAUCGUCACCACCAAGCACAAUGACGACGAGCAGUACGUGUGGGAGUCUCAGGCUGGUGGGUCUUUCACUGUAACCAGAGACACCUCUGGAGAGAGUCUUGGUAGGGGUACUAAGAUGGUCCUUCACCUCAAGGAGGACCAGUUGGAGUACCUCGAGGAGAGGAGGCUUAAGGAUUUGGUCAAGAAGCACUCUGAGUUCAUCAGCUACCCAAUCUCCCUGUGGAUUGAGAAGACCAUUGAGAAGGAGAUUAGUGAUGACGAGGACGAGGAAGAGAAGGACGAGGAAGGAAAGGUUGAGGAGGUCGAUGAGGAGAAAGAAAAGGAGGAGAAGAAAAAGAAGAAGAUUAAGGAGGUUUCUCACGAGUGGGACUUGGUGAACAAGCAGAAGCCUAUCUGGAUGAGGAAGCCCGAGGAGAUCAACAAGGAGGAGUACGCUGCCUUCUACAAGAGUCUCAGCAACGAUUGGGAAGAGCACUUGGCCGUGAAGCACUUCUCUGUUGAAGGACAGCUCGAGUUCAAGGCUGUUCUCUUUGUUCCCAAGAGAGCUCCUUUUGAUCUUUUUGACACCAAGAAGAAGCCCAACAACAUCAAGCUCUACGUCCGUCGUGUCUUCAUCAUGGACAACUGCGAGGACAUCAUUCCCGAGUACCUUGGCUUUGUGAAGGGUAUUGUCGACUCCGAAGAUCUCCCCCUCAACAUCUCGAGAGAGACGUUGCAGCAGAACAAGAUCCUUAAGGUCAUCCGCAAGAACCUCGUGAAGAAGUGCAUGGAGCUCUUCUUUGAGAUUGCUGAGAACAAGGAGGACUACAACAAGUUCUACGAAGCUUUCUCUAAGAAUUUGAAGCUCGGUAUCCACGAGGACUCCCAGAACAGAACCAAGAUCGCUGAGUUGCUCCGUUACCACUCGACCAAGAGCGGUGAUGAGUUGACCAGCCUCAAGGAUUACGUGACAAGGAUGAAGGAAGGUCAGGAGGAUAUCUUCUACAUCACCGGUGAGAGCAAGAAGGCUGUGGAGAAUUCUCCAUUCCUUGAGAGGCUCAAGAAGAAAGGGUAUGAAGUCCUUUACAUGGUGGAUGCCAUCGAUGAAUAUGCCAUUGGCCAGCUCAAGGAAUUCGAGGGAAAGAAGCUCGUCUCUGCAACCAAGGAAGGUCUGAAACUGGAAGAGUCAGAAGACGAGAAGAAGAAAAAGGAAGAGCUAAAGGAGAAGUUUGAAGGACUCUGCAAAGUGAUUAAGGACGUCCUUGGAGACAAAGUCGAGAAGGUCAUUGUCUCUGACCGUGUUGUGGACUCACCAUGCUGUCUGGUAACAGGGGAAUACGGCUGGACUGCAAACAUGGAGAGGAUCAUGAAAGCGCAGGCCUUGAGAGACAGCAGCAUGGGAGGUUACAUGUCUUCCAAGAAGACGAUGGAGAUCAACCCAGAGAAUGCGAUCAUGGACGAGCUAAGGAAGAGAGCCGAAGCUGACAAGAAUGACAAGUCUGUGAAGGAUCUUGUUCUUCUCCUCUUUGAGACUGCUCUUCUCACUUCAGGUUUCAGCUUAGACGAGCCCAACACCUUCGGAAGCAGAAUCCACAGGAUGUUGAAGCUGGGAUUGAGCAUUGAUGAUGAUGAUGCCGUUGAAGCCGAUGCUGAGAUGCCACCGCUUGAGGAUGAUGCCGAUGCUGAAGGCAGCAAGAUGGAGGAGGUCGACUAAAAGCCUGCCCUGUUGCUGCAGUGAACGAUUUUUCUCUACUUAUCUGCUCUUUCUAUGGCUAAAACUAUUAUUUUGGUGUUUUUUCUUCUUUUCUCAAGUACUAUUAGUGGUGUAGUUUUUUUCUCUGAACUAUAACUAUUGCUGUUAAGGGACUUCGUUUCUUCCAAAUCCAGAAAUUGUUAUUGCACGGUUGAUGAGUAUCCUACUGAUAUAUUUUGUAUCUUGAACUUUGCUUAAGACAACAUAGUUAAAGUAUGUUUAAGUACCUGGACUGAAGAGUGGAAAAAAUGUAGUUGCUUGUGUUCUGUCGUUUGGAGUAUUACUCUUUUCUUAAGAGAACAUUAGUCUUCUAUGAUUUGACAGACAAGUUUGAAGACUCAUUAAAAAAACUUACAGAUCUCUUUUUGUCGCAACAGUUUCAAGAUUCUUUGCAUCGCUGCUCUCUACAUAGUAGAUUCACUGGCCAUUGUUAUAGUUCUGAGUGAGGUUUUUUGGGGGAAAACACACAGGUUGAAGCAAACCACUUGGGUAAAAGAUCUAUCAAUUUCAAAAGUUUAUAUAUCAUAUGGACCAGUUGUAUCUACAAAUAGGCCUGGUCAAGAUGUAAAUCGAAAAGAAUUUUGCCUCGCAACAAAGCUCAGCAAGAGAAAAAUAAAUGAGUUCAGAGAAACAAAUUAACUUUCACAAGAAAGCUCAACGAGACAAAUGAACAAAUAAAUGAGUUCAGAGAAAGUCUUUGUAGAUUGCUCUUUUUAUCGCUCUUUUUAUCUUCAGGUAUCUUCAACCUGAGAAUGGAACACAAAGCUUGGAAACGUAGUCGUGAUAUCCCUGCAAGCACAGACACAACAUGGUCACCACCUUUAUUGAGAAGAAACCAGAGAAGCAAUUCUGUUGUAUAGAUUUCAAUAAGUCCCGGUUACAAAAACAUAAACUCACUUGAGAUAUUGAAGAGUCAUGUUCUUGAGAAGGCUAGGAUGUCUAAGAACAAGGCUUCUCCACUCUUCCUUAUCAAUCUUUCCAUCGUGUUUCGUGUCUGCUUCUUCAAACGUCUAAAACAAAUCAAAACUCAGGGAAAGUUACUCUCAACUAAAGCUAUUGUGCGAAGAUGAGAAAAGCAACUUACCUUGUCAAUUAUAUCCUCAAUGACAGUAUCCUUCAGGUUCAUUCCAGAUUCAGCAAGCGUAGCCACAACCAUUUGUUUCACCUGGACAAAAACAGCGGUGAGGAUGAUGAUAAAGUGCAGUUUAAUAUGAAACCUAUUUGAAUAUACCUCUUGCCGUUCUAUGAAACCUUGCUGUUUAAGAUCAUAUAGCUGAAAUGAAACUGCAACAACAACAUAUAUAUAUAAACCAUGAAUCGGAAACAAUAUUAGGACAUUAUUUUUUCUAAGCUAUAAGGGACUUACAUUGGAUUUUGUCAUCUAUAGGUGCAUUGGGAUGGAAUACAGAGAGAGCUCGAGCAAACUCCUCAAACCCAAGUAUUCCAUUGUGCUUUGUGUCAAACAAAUCAAAAACCUACAAACCAAAUGACAUAUGCUUCUUAAGACUUGAUCUUUUGGGGGGGAAAAAAACACUUGUAGUAAAGAAAGAAAUAUUACUCGAUCAGCAAACAAGCUCUCUUUCUUAUUUGUCUUAAACAAUGCCAACUGAAACUCCUCCUGAACCAAAGUUUUAACAAGAGAUGAGUAAACUAGACUGAGAUGGUGUCAACAAAUAAUGAAUUGACCAAAAAGAUUACACAAGCUCUUACCUUGUUUAUAAGCCCAUCAUCAAUCACAGCACUGCUGAUUUUUUUAAACAGCUCAUAAAGAGCUUCUAUCUCACUGACACUAACUGCACCACAAACCAAGUUCCAUUUAUUUUUUUAUUUUUUUCAAACCAAGUUCCAUACAAUCAUAUAAACCGAACUAAAUUAAAAAAAAAGGAAUAGAGAAGCUGAUAGGCAAUACAAACUGUGUCUCUCGAAAGCAAUUCAGGGUCACCAAGUCCGCCACCAGAUUGUUUAUACAAAUCGAGAUCAAAACACCCUAAAACAGAGGUGCAUAAAUGCUUAACACCGUCUAUGCACUGCGUCAUGAUUGAUAACUUAUGCAAAUCAUAACUCUCCAUGCCUGCAAAAUAAAACAAAACAGGGAGAAGAAGUAAAGCCUAAGUGAAAACUCUACAGAAACAAAACAUAUGAACAAAUAUAAAAACCCACCUUAUAAGUUUUAACCUUUGGUCUGAGAAAAGGCAGAGCGCUCUGCGAUGAUCUGUAAUUGUAAAAGCAGAUGAGAUGUAAAUUGUAAUCACUUAAUAAAUCUUUUGGUCUGACAGAGUAGACAUAAGAUUGAAUGUAACACACACAACUUGAAAAAAAGUUAAAGAUAGGAUCAGACAAAGAUUCAUAAUAACAAAAUAAAGGCAACAAAACAUUGCUUACACACUAUAAACUGAAGUCAUUGUCAUUAUUACCAGAUGUUACUUAUGUCCACAUAAACACAAACGAAGGCUUGAAUGAUAUCAUUGGCAAAUUAUUUAAAAAGAUAAACGAGAAUAACGAUGCAAAAGCCUAAAAAUGUUUAAUUCACAUAACAAACCAAAUUUAUAUAUCUAAUUUUCUUAAACAUUAGAAUAAUGGAACAUUGCUCUCUAAAUCACUCCGAUUCAACAUUACAGUAAAACGGAUUCGUGAUGGAAUCACACGUUAUGCAACUCUUAUACUAUUCAGUAGUUGUGAACUGAAUUGGUUUUACAGAUUAACAGAAAUCAACCGAAUAAAAAGUUACCGUUUUUCGAUGCUUCUGAUUGUAUUCCUCAAUCUCAAGGCGGCUCUUUGGCGGUUGGAAGGUGGUGGAGAUUGGUAGUAAGGUGAGAGCCGAUUCUGGUGUAAGCAGAAUGGUUUAGAAGAACAAAUAUAUUUUACAAAACCUGAGAAAAUCUUUUAAACUAUUUAUGUAAAUAAAAUAAAGAAAUAAUCUUUUUAGCAUUAACUAACUUUGGUCUACAACUUUUUAAAUCAAUUAAUCUUAUAUAUUAAAACAGAAGUCACAACCUUAAUUCAUGUGUGAUUUUUUUAAAAAUGGACCUAAUGGACCUAUUCAUAGAAAUUCAUACUAUAUUUUAAUUCAGACUAAUAAUAAAUAUAAUUUUUAAAAUAUUUUAAUCAUAGUAUCUUUUGAUAUUUUUCAUUUUAAAUAUAAAUAUAUUUAUUUUAAAAUUCUAACAAAUCUGUUUAAAAAGAUUUUUACAAGAUCUUCAUUUUUGAAAUUAUAUUUAAAUAUUUUCACUAAUUUCGAAAUUAGUUUAAAAUAUUAUUAUACAUUAAUAUAUUCAGUUAUAUAAAAUGAAAAAUAAAAAAAAUCUAUAAUAUUUUAGUUAUUAUAUAAUCAUAAUCAAUCAUAUUAAAUUAAAAUUAUUAUCUUGAGCUAAAUAUAAUAAAAUUGUAUUAAACUUAUAUAUUUAUAUAUUUUAUUUUCGUAAUUAUAAAAUAUUUAUGUUCAAAAAUAAAAUCUAAUAUGUUGGUAAGAUGGGUUAACAUUAUCAAAUUAUAUAAUACAUGUAUAAAAAUUAACAUGUAUUUAUUUAAAGUUAAUAAUAUAAAAUCUUUGUAACUACAUUAAUUAUAAUAUAUUUUCAUUUUAAAUAUAAUAUAUAUUUAUAUAUUAUAUUUUAAAAAUUCUAAUAAAUCUGUGUAAUAUUUUUUUUUGUCACGAAUAAAUCUGUGUAAUAUUUAAACAAUAACUUAAUGUAUUUUAAGUUAUUGUUUAGAAAUGAAAAUAAAUAAAUUAUAUCCUAUUUUAUCUACUUUUAUAGUCAUGAUCAUGUUAAAAUAUAAUUAUUAUACUAAAAUAAAUAUGAUAAAAUUAUAUUCAAUUGAUAAAUUUAUAAAUUUUAUUUUCAUAAAUAUAAACUAUUUAUUUAAAAUAUAAUAUGAUGAUAGAACGACUUAAAAUUAACAAACUAUAUAAUACAUGUCUAAAAAUUAACAUAUCUUACACUUUUAUAUAUACAAUAAUAAAUUAUCUAAAAUAAAUAAGCAUAAAAAUAUUGGUAAAAAGAAAUCCAGUUUUGAAAUACGGGUCAGAAUUUAGCAUAAAUUAAAUACAAAAUAUUUUUUAAAUAUAUUUUCUCAUGAAUCCCCUAUAUUAUUUUGCUUAAUAAUUAAAUGCAAAUACAAUAAAACAAAUAUAUAAUAGGAAGUGGUAAAUACAUAAGGUUUAAAUAAUUAAUUAAUUAUAACAUGUAAAUUAUAAAAUUAUUGUAUUUGAAAUAGUUAUAUAAAUAUUUAACUAUAUAAUUAUCAUUAAAAAUAUAUACUACUUAUGUUCUAAAACAAUAAUUUAUGUAUAGAAAAAUGAAAACAAACACCUGUGCGGUUGCACGGGUCAAAAUCUAGUUAUGUUGUUGAUACAGCUGUUAAGCCACGAAUGAGUGAAGCUCCAACAACUACUUGUCACACGUCGCAUUUUGUGGAGCCUGUGUUAAAUAAUGCGCUGUAUUUAAUUAUACGACCACGUUUUACUCGGGACUUAAUUUGCACUUUAUUACGGAACCGUUUAAUGUUUGGUUUGGUUUUGUUUUAUUUCCGGUUUACGUUAUAGACGAUCUGAAUUGAACCUGAACCACCGGUCUCAUCAGUUGUCUUUUAACGUUUUCAUUUCACAAUACAUCAAAAUCGCAGCAAUAAUCAACAUUUAAUGUAUAUACGGGUGUGUUAAAAAAAAAAAGUAUAUACGGGUUGUAAGGAUAUAUAUAUGGAGAACCUUUUUAAAAUAUUCAACUCGAUUCAGAAAAUGAAUAUUUCGUGUGUUUUGAGGCAUUUUGAUGAUUGUGUAAAUGGAAUUUAAUUGAUUAAGCGUAUGAUUGUACAAUAAAUCAAUUUUAGAAUGUAAAAUCUCUGACGAACUACAUAAAGUUCGUCUUCGAUCGGUUUAGGCCGAAUUCAAACUGUUUGGUAUACAUUUUCAACACAAAACCGACACUUAUUAUACCGAAUAGGGGCGAAUACAUACGAUUAAAAGCGGUUUACUAAGCCUUGAUAGAGUCACUAAACCAGCUCGACUUGGACGACAAAAGCACAGCGAGGUUCGACCCUAUAGACCCGGUACGUGUCAGGGAAUCAACACGAUGGUGCCUGCACCUGAAAGAGCCGGCGUGUGUCGUCGGAGUCCCAACGGCGUAAACUCGGUGAGUUUUGGUCUAGGUUCUGCUUCUUGAUCUGUUCGACGGGAGAGCCUCCGGAAGGUUGGGAUUUGAUCUUGCCUAAAUUUAUGGAAUACUUCUCCUCCGCCAUAUAUUUUCUGACAACUAGAGCUUAAGGGUUUUCUCUCGCCGUGGUUUUGAUGAAAAAUAAGAACGAUUCGUACUGUUUUUGUUGUUUCAUAGACAUGUCUGUGGGUAUUAUAUGGGGACUUAAGAGACAAGGCAACUAAAUUAGUCGUUGUAAGGUUGUUGACAAACUGCAUUUUUAAGAUUCGGGUGGUUUAGUAUUCUAGAAAAGAAUAAAUAAGAAUUAGAGGGAAAUAUUUGACUUAGUGGUUAUAUUCUUCUUUUUCUAGUUACACAUUUACACAUUUGUGAUCGUCAAAUAGUUAGAGAAAUACAUGGAUAAAACCAAAAUAUAAUUACUGAAAAUAUAUUGGAAACAAAUUGUGUCUAAGCGCCAAACAAAACCCUAAAACUAUUUAAUUAAUUUGGCGAUGUUGUAAGUUGUAACUAAACAAAAAAACAUCCAAAAAUGUUAGUCUCCUAUUUGUAGUAUGGGGAUGACCUUGAAUUCAAAUCUAAAUUAAAGCACCUUAUUGUUGAAGUCAAAGUCAUUAAGAUGCCUUGUGAACCGAAGUUUAUGUCCAACAUGAAAAUCAGGUAUUCUAACUGUCGUACACCAGUUGAACGUAUAUAUAUACCAUGAAUUUGGUAACUACAAAAUUAGUUUGGAAGCUUAUGUAGUUACCUCGUUUAGGUUAAAUCACUGAGGGGUUAAAUAUGCUUUUAUUAGCAAAUAGAACUGAAAAUACAAGGCAUGAUGAGAAAUAACCAUAUGAAGUGUAAACACUAUUACUAUUACUUAUCAAAAAAAAAGAGUGUAAACACUAUAUCAAGAUUUUUAUAAAUGUUGUGGCAUUGUGAUUUGUAUCUCCUCACAAUGUACUUUACGGUUACUGGUGAGCUCUUUCUGUACAAAACUUUUGACACUCACUCACACAAGUAACCUACUUGCUUCAAACCAAAAAUAAAAAUAAAAACCUUUGAGAGAAGAAACCAAACAAACCAAAAACUAUAGAACUAAAAUCAGAGUCUCUUAUGAGCUCUUGUCUGCUUUAGGGUUUUGUGCUUUUUCAUCCGGAAAGAUCUUGUUUGCAGAGAGGACAACAAGAGAUGAUACGAAGCCACUGAUCUACACACUUAAGGUGAAACUUAUGUGAACAUGGAAGCUUCCUUACUUCUUCCUUGUCUUUAUACUUUGCCAAACAUAUACAACACUCCUGCAUAUCAAGAAUAAAGAAAAUCAAAACCUACUUUUUUCUAUCAUAUAUCUAUCUAAGAUUAAUAAUAUACAACAUUUGAUGUCAGAAUACUUAGUGGAUCAGACAGAGUAAUUACAAAUGAAACCAGUUCCGGUAUAGCAUCAUUGAAUAUCUGAUUGAUUAACCAUAUAUUCAAUUUUUGCUAAAACUCUGUCUUAAGAAAAACCCUUAUGGGUCUGCUUUGAUAUGUGAGUCAAAUGAUUAUAACUUACAGGAUCAUCAGUUUUAGGAGCUGAAUCAGAAGCAUUGUCGUCGGCUCGUUUGUGUUUCCAGCUAGGGAGACUAGAGAUUUGGUCAUCAGAUGCACCUCUGUCUGAAGAUCCCAUGUUCAUGUUGUAUCCAAGGAGACUACUAAUGAGAGGCACAAGGCAACAGAGGAAUAGGAAGAGAAGAAAGGGAAAAGAGUAGCAGAGAGCGUUCCAAGAAAGAAGAGAGACGCAGAGAACGUGAAGCUUUGGAGCAUGGUUGAAAGAACCGAAUCUAGAAUCAAACACCCAAACAUUCCCAACCACAAACCAAAUCGCAAAGAACAGCUCUAGAGACGUUCUGCACUUGUUCAUCAAAUGAGAGCUCCUGAAAUUUAAAACAUAUACGAUAUUAAUACAACUUCAGGAUCUUGCAAAGGUUAUAGUAUUCAAAAUCAAGAAAAUAUAAGUUACCUAGUUUCAUCUCUGCCUCUGUGUUGCUGCUCAAUAUCGACAAACCAGUUUCCUUGGUUUAGUUGGCGAAACCGACCAUAUAAUAGCAUAAGACUGAGGAGACAUCCCACAUCAUAACCUGUGAUCCAUAACCUCACUGGCCAAACAGGUCUCUCUUCUUUUGAGAUAGCUAGUGUGAGUGUAAUCACUGUAAGCUGAACAAGCAGGGCUAUAAGCUCAGACAUCAUCCACGUGCUGGAGUUAAAAGGGUUGGAGCCGAGAUCUGAUCUUGAUCCGUUUUGAUAGUGAAACACUCUUCUCAAGAAGAUAAACCAUCUAGCUCUAGAUACCCUCAUAGCAAACCUUAAGUAGAAGGACCUCUCUUGAACAGAGGCAGGCGCAUGAGUGUUGUCACUUCGUGGUGGUGUGGUACUCAAUGAAGAAGAUGAUGAAAUAGUUAUGGAGACAAUAUUGGAAGAUGAUUCAUCCAUUGGAAGUUUUCCAAAGCGUUCAAUAUAUAUUUAAACCUUCAAAGAAAAAAAGAUUGAACAUUAAAAAAAAAAAAAAAAAACUUCUGAAAGUUUAUAAGUUGUGAACACACACAUGAAACUUGGAAGUAUAUAAACGAAAAGAUCAUGGAAAAAAAACACAAGAAAAAACACAGAAACUAAAGAAAAGGAAUCAUGAAAUUUACAUGACCUAACAAUAAUAAAAACACAUGAAAAAUCUAUAUACCUUAUUUGCAACCACCAAAAAGGCAAAACUCAGCUCCGUACACGAACUCCACGACUUCCCGAAAAGGAGGAAUCUAUUUCACAAAAGGAAAGUACCUCUAGUAGCCUAAGCUUUGAGUAUAGAGAUAAGCUUUUGUCUGAAAUGAAAUAGGUUUUAUAGGGAUAACUUGUUUCUAAUAUAGGAGAAAAGAUUGAGAAGACAGGAACAAGAGAAAAAGAUGAUUACAAAGAAAGAUUAGGAAGGUGUUGUGUUUAUGUCAGGGAAGGUGAAGUUGGGCGAGAGAUGGCGACCAAGAAUCACACCAUAACAAAAGGAUUGUUUAUAUAUUUUAUAAGAGACAAACUCUUUGAAGUUUGUGUUUUGUUUUGUUUGCUUACGUUUGAAGAGAAACAAAGAAAGGGAGAGGAAGAGAACCGUUGGCCUAAUCUAACACCUGAGGUUUUGUUUAUGAAGAAAUGUUUAGAUCGCAACUGCUUAUUCCAACCGCCAAUGCAGACCUUCUCUCUCUACUCUGUUUCUCUCUCUCUAGGAUUGAGAGGAAAGGGAAAGAUAUUUUAUUUGAUUUCUUUUUGUUUUGUUUUUAUUUGUAGAAUUUUCGUUUUGGAAAAGAAAUGGAUAAGAAUUAAGAAUAUCUAGAUGAAGUCAUCAAUUCAAAAUUCACCGUAUGACAAAUCUUUUUGUUAUAACAGAACAAUCUUUCUCGCUUUUUAUUAUGUUGAUCAUUUCCCAACUAUAGUGAUAUUAAAUUUUAAUAAAAAAAUAUACUAUAUAUAAAAUUACAAAUUUUUCCUCUACGUCCAUAACUUAACCUUGUAGCAGUAUGGUUCUUAUUCGAUUCAGUGAUUUUACAUAUGUAAUUAUAUUAAAUCAUAUAUAUACACUUUUAUUUGGAUUAAAUAAAUAAAUGAUGCUUAAGAUUACUAAUUUUGACAACAAGAUUGUAUAACUUGGCGGGAGGAAAUGGGAAGGAGUGGGGGAUGGUUGGCUAACUAAUCUCAACCAGAAGAGUCUAUCAAUUAUCAUUUACGUUGUGGAGUGGAGCCCAAUUCCUCACUUUCUUUCAGUUUCCACGUUGUCUUUUGUCCCAUUAUUAUUUUUAUUUUUUGAAAAAGGCUUUUGCCCCAUUAUUGAGUUUUAUUUGUCAGAUGAUAGUUGUGAAAAAGUAUAUGAUUAAAAAUGAAUAAAAGCGAAUACAUUGUGAACGAAUUAAUAUUCUAGAACUUUCGCAAAUUUUUAAAGUCAAUUAUGUGAAUACUAUAUACGUAUAUGUUGAAACCUAGAGUAUUCAAAACAGAAUUUAGUUCUGCAUCUGUGAAAAUUAUAAAAGCGCUUUAGAACUAGUAUUCUGGUUCCGUUGGUCAAUCAUUCAAAUAUGUUGACUUUCUUACAUUGUAUUUUGACACCAAUUCACAUUUACAAAUUACAAGUUGAAGUUUCCGAGAUUGGAAAUAGAGUAAAAGCUAAAUGACUAUGCAUGGUAUAUCUCUAAAAAUAGUAAGUACUAACAGUUGACACUGACAGCACAAGAUCCAAAAUGAAUUUUUUUUUAUCUAAACGACAAGCAAUUUUAACUGUUAUCUAUAGUAACCUUCAAGGAACUACGAUUCUACAUCCGUCUUAUCGACUCAUUGCACUUUGUAAUUUAAAACUAAAUAAAUCUAAACUCUUUGAUUUACACAUCGAAUGAGGAUAAUUUAAUUUAAUCAUCAUUUCAUAAGGUUUAAUCGAAUUUGAAAGCUUGAACAUAAAUCAUGUUUCUCUCCGUGCAUCGUCGACCAUAUGUAUAUAUGUCGGUCUCGUCGACAAUUCGUCGACCAAUGGAGACAUGCAACAUCAUGAUUACUUUAGCAUGCGAAUAUUUCAUGAAUAUUGACUAAUUAUUAUAUUAUUUUUAUAAGAAAAAAAGAAACUCCAAGGCAACAUCACUCAAAGCAUAACACGUGGCUUCACACGAACACACAGACAGGUGGAUAAAAUUAAUAUCGUUAGCUAAGUUGAAAGUUUUUUUUUUUUUUUUUUUUUUUGUUAAGUUGUUGAAAGCUCAUUUAUCCAGUUAUGAGUUAUCAGAUAGCCACAGGACUUCUCGGUUGUUUUUGGUGGUUAUUGUAAUCCCAACAUCACUUUCGUCUUUUGUUAAAGUUAAUAUAAACUCUGUUUUUGUAAUCCAAACACGUAUUCUUUCUUUUUUCUUUUUAUACUUCAUCAUCGCUUCACAUUCUGGAUUUCCACAGCACGAGAAAUCAGGGCCGGUCCUUGACUAAAGCGGACAAAGCUAUAGGUUUAGGCGGCAAAAUUAUGUUACAUAUUUCAGGGGCAGCAAUUUUGUUAGAAAUGAUAGUGGUGUAGUAGUUGUUGCUAUAACUUGGAUUAUGGCUUCGAUUCUUUACUCUUACAUUUUUAUAGGCUAUAUAUUUUAUUGAUAGAUCUAAAGUUUUUGAGCUUUAGAUGCCACAUAGUGAUGGACCGGACCUCUGAGAAAUCCUUGUCAAAAUCAGCUAGAUCAUCCCACAUUACUUUCAGUCUGCCAAAGUAAACUUCAACUGCAUUGCCAUUCUGUUUGCAUGAUGCAAUCCAGCAUGAAGUUGAUGAACUUUUUGUAUCAUCGCUUAUAGAAAAGCCUCAGUUGAAGGCUUCCCCACAUAAUCUUUGCGCUGUCAACCAGUGAUAUUGACGGUCGCAAUUUUGGUUCUACACUCCUGUAGAUCCAACCAAUGAUCAUAGCAUUCACAAUAUCCCACUUUUUUCAUCUUCUGGUUUGUUGACUGGUUGUUUCAGAGUGCCAUCAACGAAACCUAUCUUUUGUUUGGUUCUUAACUAGUUGAACAUCAAUUUUGCCCAUUUUUCAUAAUUUGCUCCAUUCAAAAGAAUGAGUGUCUAAACUUGUCAUGUAUUAUCUAAAGGAUGGAGAUAAUAUGGAGAGACAAGUGGAUCGUUUCUCCACCAGUAGCUCAUGUCGGUGACGCCAUGCUAAUCGAGGUAGAUCAAAAAAAAUCUCAUCGUAACAGUAUAUUUUGGUGGUUCGUAAAUUUAUUAGCUUUGUAGAAAAUUUAGUUGUUUGGCUGUGAUACCAUAACAAACUAAUAUAAACUUUGUUUUUGUUAUUCAUCUCAAGGUCAAUACAUCGAUAUUUAUACACAUGAUAUGAGCCGUAACAAUAGGAGAUAACUACUACAACCAAUAAUGUUGUGUUUAUUUAAAUAUAUGUUUAUCCUUAACUAAUAUUUCGCACAUAUCACCGUCUGUUGAUAUAGGGUUUGACUAAGUUUUGAGUUAAGGUUAGUGCAUAUAUAACACCACAAACUUAAGACCUUAUCACACCAAAAUUACUAGUGCCUCGUAAAAACAAGGAUCUGAAGAAUAAAUCUGAUCCAAAAAGUUAUACCAAACUUGAACUGAAACUGAUAAAAUAUAUGAUGAAUAGAUUCAAAAUUUUAAUAUAUGGAAAAACCGGAGCAGAACCAAACUGAAAUAUUCCAGACACAUAAAAAUAAAUGAUCAUUAAUUAUAUGCUUAAAUAUAUUAAUUAUUUUUAAUAUAAUAUCUAAAAAUAUUCUGAAUUAUCAAAUACUUGGAAAAAUAUCUAAAAUUUGAAGAAGAAAAACUGACAUUGAAGUAAACUACAGUUAGAUAUGUAUGACCCCGAAUUAUUGGGCCCAAAUUAUUCUAUGGGUCAAUCUGGGCCCAAGUUGUUUAAAAUUAACAUAUUAGCGUAAUGCGUAAUGGAUCUCACUUAAGAAGGAUCUAGAAAUUCUGUAUUAUGUGGGUAUAUAUCUAAUUAUAUAAAAGAAUGUUUGAGUCUCUCCCGUCAUGUCCACGUGUAAAUUCUUUUGAUAUAGACUUGACGCGUGUCUCGCUUCUCCACAAACCGAGCUUUCUUCACUCCUUUUCGCUCUAUUGUUUUGGGCUUCAGUUGCCAGGCCCGUAAGUGAAGAUGAACCCUAGAUCGCGUUUCGCGUUUACACCAUCGCCUCCGUCCUGACUUUGCGAUUCCGGUAACGGUUCAGCCGAUACUUAACUCCCAUUUAUUGUUACCUCCACGAUGUGCCUUCAAUGCGGUCGUCGCGUCGCAUAGGCGGUGAGUUUUUUUGUAUAUAUAGACAUCAGAUCUCUCAUCUUCGAUUCAUCAAAUCUUUGUUGCUUAGUACUCAUAUAGAUUCCGCUUCAGUUUUGUCAUGUCUACUCCCAGGGUUUUCUUCUCAGACCUCAAGUCCGGCAAGUGCUCAUCCGCUGUUGAGGCUCGGCUUCUGCGAUUCUGGGAGGCGAAGAAUGUCAAACGCGGUGGGGAGCUGAUGUGGGUCGACAUGCUCUUGAUUGAUGUCAAUGUGAGUUAUUUUCAUACAUGAUUAAUCCGAUUAAACUCUUCGUGUUUGGUUUUUUUUUCCUAAAGUUUAAUCAAUUUUUUUUUUCAUGUAUCAGGCGACAAUGAUGCAAGCCACCAUCUAUGCUAACCGCCUUUCAAGAUUUCGUUCCAAACUCGCCGCCGGAACGAUGUACACCAUCUCUGGAUUCGACUCCCCUCUGAUGAUCCGGUUUAAUGAUUCCACCGCCUUUGAUGAGCUAACCGAGCCGGUUAGUCCAUUACCUGAAGAAGGAUUCCGGUUCCGUAAUCAGUCUGAAUAGCAAGGGUUCAUCGUGUUCGUCGACCUUUGGGUAAUCUCAAACAAUGGAGUUUCGAAGAGAGUUAUCAGAGACGGAUCGAUCGAUCUGUAUUCGUGUCGUUUCGUCUUGCUUCUGGAUGAAUUGAUUUGAUGCCAUUAAUGAUAUUCUUAACUCCAUCAAGCCACUGCAACCACGUUUUGUCAUUCAAUACACCUUCUAUCUCUUCAAAGGCGGUGCAUCUCAAGCUAUAAAAAGCUGAGCUUUCAUCCCAUAAACAUUAUCCUCACAAAUCAAAAUAAUCCUUGAAAGUUAUUUGAUUUUUUAACUCAAUAUUGAUGUUUGUUGUUUGCUUUUUAUACUUUUAUUAUAUGCUUGAAUCAGCAACGCAGGGCCGUGCUAGGCAGGAACUAGAAGACUCUUGCUUUUCGGAUUCCCUUCAUUAACAUAAUCAACAAACUCAACUCUAAACACAGGUUUGUUAAAUCUAUCGUUGUACUUUUGUAAUUGAAGACUCAAAGUUUUACACUUUCUAUGGUUCUUAUUUGGAUUCGAUGUGUGAAAGGCUUGGUAAGAACCAUUUUUGUUUGGUUUUGGCUCCGACAAGAGAGCUUGCUGGUCCGGUAGCAAAUAAAUUCAGAGAAGCCCCAUCUCUCGGUGAGGCACGAAACAGAACAGCAAAAUGAGAACUCUCAGAUGCAGAAUUUCGCUGGUGUUGGUGGUGCUCCUGUUGGUGAUAGUUUAGGACCUUCACGUCUCUCUCCGGCUGACUUCUACGUCUUGAAAGUUUGACAGGGCAUGUGAAUCAUAAUGUAAGCUUUUGAAUUUUUUUUUACAAGUUAUAUACUUUUGGCAGGUAAUGCUUUAGAUAGUAGAUGAUAGUUUUGAAUGUUUUUUUACAAAUUAUUGACUUUUGGACAUGUUAUGCUUUAAGAUAAUGGAUGAUAGUUGGAGAGCAAAAUUUGACAGAGAGUGAGAUAAGAUGGCUUUAGGCUAUGCUUUAAGGCUUAUGGUAUCUAGAGAGAUUGUAUUCCUGAUGGUGAUGAAACUGCUAACAACAUUAUGAGUGUCUCAUGUCCAAACGAGAAAAAUGUUUCCUGUGUCUGGAUUUUUUUUUCUGUUUUUUUUUUGUACCUAAGAUGUUAUGUCUAUCAAUUGUAUUUUGGAAAUCCACAUUUGUUCUGUUUCUAAAAACGUUUAUAUAUGUGUGUACACACAUGUAAUCUAAACUUCUAAGCUCUUCAUAUUAUGUGCAAUGUUAUGACUCAGGAGGAUGAUAAAGCUGAGGCUCCGGAGGAUGAGAUGGUUGUGAAAGAGCCUGAGGUAGAAAAUAAACAGAACUGGAACCGGUGUUUGAAAAACAGAAGGAGAGGAGGCAGAAAGCUUUGAAUGAGAAAGAGAUGGAUAAUGUUGCAUACAAUGACUUCGAAACUUCUAUCAAGCAUUACUCCAAAAAGGCAUUAGGGAGAAACAGAAACAUGAAGAGGUGAAUCGUUUAAAGAGGGAGACUGCUGAAACAGAGGAAUCACAUAGACGAAUAAGAAGAAGAGAGUAAGAGACCCAUGACAGAGCGUCAAGCUGCAGAGAGAGAGAGAAGCUACUAGACUGAGAAUAAGGCAAGAAAAGGCACUUCAUCUUGACGGAUCUGAGAAAGGACCUGAUGCUAAACAUGUAAGUUAUCUUUUCUUUAACACCCAUUACUUAUACUUCGUUCAUGAAAGGCCAAACUAUUACUUUCUAUGCAAAGCACAUCAGUCUAAUUUUUAUGCUGUUGGGAUUCAGAACUUUGUGAUAGUAUAAAAUUUUAAUUUUUAUCAAGCCUUAUAAAUCUCUUUAUAAAUGCAGGAGUCAACAGAAGUUUUUUUUUAUUCUUUAUCGAUGCUUGAAGCGGUAACUCAUCUCUCUCUCUCUAAAUACAUGUAUGUAUAUAUUUCUCAGUACAAUGUCUUACAAAUACGCUUAUCUGUUUUGUUGAAACAUUUGAUUUGUUCUGGACCUUGCGGGGAAUGGUAACAUCAAAUAUGUGUUAUUUACAAUCUACAUAAAUACAUUGACAAAACUGCAAACUUCCUUUGAUUGUGUCUCUUGCUGUUUGUUCUAGGAGGCACAUAUUAUGAACAUAAGAUGUCACUUCUGGCUACUACAAAGUAUCAAGGUAAAAAUUAGAUUCAAAAUUUCUCUUAUGCAAUUCCUGAUAACUUUAAAACUCAUCAUAGUGUUUUCACCUUUUUCUUCUGGUGAUAGGAUCAUUUGAAGAAGAUAGCAUGGUGAUGGAUUCAAAUAUGUAGGUAACAAAAACCACAACUCUUUCUCCCCACUUUCCAACUAUUUGGAUAUUUUAAAAUCAUUUAUUCGUUUAUUGCUUUUAGAUCUUUUACAUUCAUGAUUUGCAUCAAACAAUGUUCACUGUACUCUUCUUCAAUUAGUGAAGGGAAGAGCCAGAGGAUGAGACAUGGGUCAUUCCGGAGAUAAACGUCGUGCCGUGGUGGAAUGUUAACGUAUAGAUCUGAAGGAGAGGCCAAACAAAUCUUUUCUUUAGUCGAUAGAAACACAGUUUUUGUUUUUGUCGAGAGUAACUAUAUAAAAAUUAAUAAUAUUUUAUAAAAACCGAACGAGAGGCACAAUAUAAAACAACGUGAUAAAGAAUAUAUAAGCAUAAUAAAACUAUAAUAUAAAAUAAACUAAACAUAUCACAAAUUUACACAACAAAAAUAAUUUAUAGUAUUCUUAUAUCAAACAAUUUUAAUCAAAAAAUGACAAAAAUAAAAAAAAGAGCAGUCACGAAAAAUAAUGAUUCAUGCAUAAUAUAUAACAAACUAUUCAAAUAAAAAUCAAAUAUUAGUUAGUAUGUUUAGUUUUCUCAAACAUUCCUCUAAUCAUACUAACAUUGUAACAAUCUAUUACUUUUUGAAAGUGGGGUGCUGCAUUUUGUGUCCGUAAAGGACCAGAAGAAGAACGUUUGGCUACAUAGGUAUGUCUCUGCAUUUAAAUAGAUUUGUGUAUCAUGUUAUUGGCUUAAUGCUUUCGUGUUGAUCAUUCUGUUUAUGUGCAAUACUUGGACCACAGAGAGUGAGCAUGAUCGAGUAUGAACUCAAGAACAUGUGUAGACUUUAACAUGGUGAGUCAGCAUCCCCGAUUCUGAUGAACUCAUGUAACUGAUCUUACAGAGGGAGAUGAUCCCCUGAAUUGGCUGUUACCAUCAACUAUUGUUUGUUUUAUAAAACAAACAAAUCUUCUUUUUUUUUCCACUGUACUUUUCUAUAUAUAAAACAAAUCUAAAAUAACCAACAACUGGAUGCAAACCUCUUUGAAUGUGAAUGUGUAAAGUCAAAAAGUAGGCUGAAUCAGUCCAAUUAAUUGUUUAUGACACAAAGACAAAAUUAAGAAAAACAAUAUUUUAAACUUACGACAAAUACUCAGUAACAUAUUAUUUAACCGUACAACAGCAUGCUACAUACAAAGACACAGCACUCGGCGGUGAGCAACGCAGCACUCGGCAGAGAGAAAGAAGAAAUCGGCGGAGAAUAACGGAGAAAGUAGUGAAAGAGCAACAGAGCAAUGGCGGAUAGCAAUGAACAAGAGGCAUUGAGAUGGAUCAAGUGACGGAAAGAGUGAGAUGGACAGACAUGAAACAAGCGACAGAUAGUGUGACAAGAGAAAGGAAAUGAAAUUGCUGCAGUUCAAUAUGGCACAAGGGAGGUUCAUAGGCUCUCAGACAUGGUAAAUUAAUCACUCUGUUAGAAAACAUAUAACAAAGGUACAUGCCCAAUUGUGCUUAUUUCUUUCAAAGUAGAACCUCAUGAAAGAAAGUUGACACCUAUUGAAGAUAUCAAAGCUCUAAACAUGAAAACAUAAGUAAUUUCAAAUUCUAACAACAUUAAAAUCUGGAAUCUUCUUUGUAUUUGUUCAAAGUUUGUUAUACGAAUCCUUCUUUGCAUGUCUCUCCACAUGUUCAGUGCAUAUAUCAUAAGUUAGAUUGUAUGUUAUGUGUGGUCAUGUUAAUUUUGUACUUAUUGACUAUAAAAUGCAUUUUAUUCAUGAAUGGUUAACGGUAACAACUGUAUUUGGGACAUGAAAAAAAAUACAAUAGUGUUGUACUUAAUAGAAAACGACAAUAAUUUCACAAAUAAUCCAUUUAUAAUUAAGCAUGAAAAAAAACACUCAUUAAUUCAAAUAAUAACUCAGAAUAUAUAUAAAAGCUAACAUCUAACCAUUCAAUUAUUAUCCAAAAUUCUUAAACAAAAGAACUUUAACCAUUCAUAAUAUAAAUUGUAUAACAAAAUUAACAAACACCAUAUAAUAUCAUACACAAAUUCAUCAACAAAUAAUAAUCACAAUAUAACAAAAUUUGUUAUACUUUGGUGAUAACUUUUUUGAAUCAACAACAAAUUUUGAGAUACAAUUAUGAUUAUCAUUUUUCAAAAUUGAUUAUAUAUAUAUAUAUACAUAUAUUAUAAAUGGGGGCAUUUACAUCAAAACAGACUUUUGUCGAAAUGGAAUAAAAAUUUGAAAAGAAAAAAUUUCAAACACUUAUGAAAAUAAGAUAAAUAAUAUUUUGAUAAUGGGUUCAAUUAGUUGGAUUGUAAAUGCAUAACUUUUAUUGUAAGAACUCAGUUUGUCAUUUUUAGUGCCAUAGUUGUAAGUUUUUUUAUCUACAAAAUAUUACAAUUUUUAAACAGUUGAUUAAAAAAAAGCAUAAAGAUAUAUAAGGUGGUAAAUUAAAAGGUAGAGUCCAUUAAAUAAAUCAUAUACUAAUUAGAAACAAACGUUAUAAAUAGUUUUAUGUGUACUGAAACAUGUAAGCAAAUCAACCAAUUAAGCACCAUAAAUAAAAAAAAAAAUUUAAAAAAACAAAAAAAUAUUUAAAUUUUGUUCAUUCUGCUUUUUACCUUAUAUAUAAUUUUUAAUGACAAAAAAUAGAUACACAAAUUUCGAAUCGCGUAAGACAAAAACAUUGAAUAUUUUAAAUUAUUUUACAUUUAUCUAUAGUUUUAUAUAUUUUUAUAAUAGAUUAUCAAAUUUAUAUAUUAAAAUAAUCAUACUAAAUAUAUAAUUAAAAUUAAAUUUAAUAAAAAAACCCGGGCGUAGCCCGGGCCGACCCUAGUAUAUAUAUAUAUACACACAACUACUUCCUUCAUAACUUAUAUCUUCGACUACUUGGCUGCUGCUCUCUCUCUCUCCUUGAUAAACCCUAGAUCUCCCCGAUAAGCAGCAACAAUGGCAGACGCAGAGACCUUCGCUUUCCAGGCUGAGAUCAACCAGUUGCUCUCGCUCAUCAUCAACACCUUCUACAGCAACAAGGAGAUCUUCCUUCGUGAGCUCAUCAGUAACUCUUCCGAUGUACGUCUCUUUUGCUUUCUCCUGGAUCGAUCUGUCGAUUAGGUUUGAUUAGUGUUGCUGUUGUAUCCGAUUUGAAUAUUGAAGUAGGGAGCUCUAUGAUAUUCAAAUCUGUCUUCCUAGAUUUAGUUUUGCUACCAUGGUUAAGCAUUAGGUGUUAAGCUUCGAUGAAUUUGAUUUUCGUCUUUUAUGAGAUAAUCGCAUCUUCAAUCUAUGUGCAUUCGGUUUGUUUGUAUACUUAUGGUUGGAUCUUACUCUGGUGACUUAGUUUUUGAAUGAAAUAAGUAACUCGGAGGUAUAGUUUUGGAUUGAUUCUACGAGAUAGUUUGAGUUUCUUUCUAUGCGUUUGUAUACGUUCUUGCGUUUGUUACUUAAUGGUUUUGAUCUGAUUCUUGUGAAACAGGCGUUGGACAAGAUUAGGUUCGAGUCCUUGACUGAUAAGAGCAAACUCGAUGGCCAGCCAGAGCUUUUCAUUCACAUCAUUCCUGACAAGACUAAUAACACCUUGACCAUUAUCGAUAGUGGUAUCGGUAUGACCAAGGCUGAUUUGGUCAACAACCUUGGAACCAUUGCGAGGUCUGGUACCAAGGAGUUCAUGGAGGCGUUGGCUGCUGGUGCUGAUGUUAGCAUGAUUGGGCAGUUUGGUGUUGGUUUCUACUCUGCUUACUUGGUCGCUGACAAGGUUAUUGUGACUACUAAACACAAUGACGAUGAGCAGUACGUGUGGGAGUCUCAGGCUGGUGGGUCUUUCACCGUGACCAGAGACACCUCUGGAGAGAGUCUUGGUAGGGGUACUAAGAUGGUCCUUCACCUCAAGGAAGACCAGUUGGAGUACCUUGAGGAGAGGAGGCUUAAGGAUUUGGUCAAGAAGCACUCUGAGUUCAUCAGCUACCCAAUCUCCCUGUGGAUCGAGAAGACUAUUGAGAAGGAGAUUUCUGAUGACGAGGACGAGGAAGAGAAGAAGGACGAGGAAGGAAAGGUUGAGGAGGUCGACGAGGAGAAAGAAAAGGAGGAGAAGAAAAAGAAGAAGAUUAAGGAGGUUUCUCACGAGUGGGACUUGGUGAACAAGCAGAAGCCUAUUUGGAUGAGGAAGCCCGAGGAGAUCAACAAGGAGGAGUACGCUGCCUUCUACAAGAGUCUCAGCAACGAUUGGGAAGAGCACUUGGCCGUGAAGCACUUCUCUGUUGAAGGACAGCUCGAGUUCAAGGCUGUUCUCUUUGUACCCAAGAGAGCUCCUUUUGAUCUAUUUGACACCAAGAAGAAGCCCAACAACAUCAAGCUCUACGUACGUCGUGUCUUCAUCAUGGACAACUGUGAGGACAUCAUCCCAGAGUACCUUGGCUUUGUCAAAGGUAUUGUCGACUCGGAAGAUCUCCCCCUCAACAUCUCAAGAGAGACGUUGCAGCAGAACAAGAUCCUUAAGGUCAUCCGCAAGAACCUCGUGAAGAAGUGCAUGGAGCUCUUCUUUGAGAUUGCUGAGAACAAGGAGGACUACAACAAGUUCUACGAAGCUUUCUCUAAGAAUUUGAAGCUCGGCAUCCACGAGGACUCUCAGAACAGAACCAAGAUCGCUGAGCUACUCCGUUACCACUCAACCAAGAGCGGUGAUGAGUUGACCAGCCUCAAGGAUUACGUGACAAGGAUGAAGGAAGGUCAGGAGGAUAUCUUCUACAUCACCGGUGAGAGCAAGAAGGCUGUGGAGAAUUCUCCAUUCCUUGAGAGGCUCAAGAAGAAAGGGUAUGAAGUCCUUUACAUGGUGGAUGCCAUCGAUGAGUAUGCCAUUGGCCAGCUCAAGGAAUUCGAGGGAAAGAAGCUCGUCUCUGCAACCAAGGAAGGUCUGAAACUGGAAGAGUCAGAAGACGAGAAGAAGAAAAAGGAAGAGCUAAAGGAGAAGUUCGAAGGACUCUGCAAAGUGAUCAAGGACGUCCUUGGAGACAAAGUCGAGAAGGUCAUUGUCUCUGACCGUGUUGUGGACUCACCAUGCUGUCUGGUAACAGGGGAAUACGGCUGGACUGCAAACAUGGAGAGGAUCAUGAAAGCGCAGGCCUUGAGAGACAGCAGCAUGGGAGGUUACAUGUCUUCCAAGAAGACGAUGGAGAUCAACCCAGAGAAUGCGAUCAUGGACGAGCUGAGGAAGAGGGCUGAAGCAGACAAGAACGACAAGUCUGUGAAAGAUCUUGUUCUCCUCCUCUUUGAGACUGCCCUUCUCACUUCAGGUUUCAGCUUAGACGAGCCCAACACCUUCGGAAGCAGAAUCCACAGGAUGUUGAAGCUGGGAUUGAGCAUUGAUGAUGAUGAUGCCGUUGAAGCCGAUGCAGAGAUGCCACCGCUUGAGGAUGAUGCCGAUGCUGAAGGCAGCAAGAUGGAGGAGGUCGACUAAAAGCCUGCCCUGUUGCUGCAGUCGAUUAUUUUUCUGGACUUCUCUGAUCCUUUUU